rnacentral:lncRNA from 1 species
GGUGUUUGCAAAUUAGGCCAAAAGAACCAAGCUUUGGCCUUGAUGAAUGAAAUGGUGGAGCAGAACAUAUCACCUGAUGUUUAUACCUUCAAUGUAUUGAUUGACGCUCUUUGUAAGGAUGGAAUGGUUUCAGAGGCUCAAAAUACAUUCAAUAUAAUGAUUCAAAGAGGUGUAGAGCCUAAUGUGGUCACCUACACUUCCUUAAUUGAUGGUCUUUGCAUUUCAGACCAAUUCAAGGAAGCUUUUGCCUUGUUGAAAGAAAUGGUGGGGAGGAACAUAUCCCCUAAUGUUUUUACCUUCAAUAUAUUGAUCGACACUCUUUGUAAGAAAGGACUGGUUUCAAAUGCACAGAUUAUAAUCAAAAUAAUGAUUCAAAGAGGUGUGGAGCCUAAUACUGUCAAUUAUAAUUCAUUGAUGGAUGGUUAUUGUCUUUGCAAGCAAAUUGAUAAGGCUAGAAAGCUAUUUGAUCUGAUGGUGACCAAUGAAAUAGCUGACAUUUUUAGCUACAGCAUUUUGAUCAAUGGAUAUUGUAAGUGCAAAAUGAUAGAUGAUGCAAAGGAUAUUUUUGUUGAAAUGUCUCAUAAAGGUUUAGUUCCUGAUGCUGUUACUUAUCAUACUCUUAUAAAGGGUAUGUUUCAAGCAGGAAGGCCCCAAAAUGCAAAAGAGCUCUUUAGGAAUAUGUGCUCUCAUGGUCAACAGCCAAAUAUAGUAACCUUCUCAAUUAUGAUUAAUGGCUUGUGUAGUCAGGGGAAUCUGGAUGAAGCACUCACCCUAUUGAAAGAAAUGGAGGAAAGUCGGUUGAAGCCUGAUCUUGUGACCUAUUGCAUUCUGAUCAAUGGUAUGUGCAAAGUUGGGAAGAUUAAUGAUGCCAAGGAACUUUUUUCUAGUCUUUUUGAAAUUGGUUUACAACCUGAUGUUUAUGUAUAUAAUGCAAUUAUGAAAGGACUCUGCCAACAAGGACUAAUGGACGAAGCGUAUAAGGUAUUUAGAGACAUGGAAAAGGGAGGAUGUUUACCGAAUAAUUGUUGUUAUAAUAUCAUCAUUCAAGGGUUUCUCAAGCAUGAGGAUUUACCAAAAGCAUCAGAACUAAUCAACGAAAUGGUUGAUAAGGGGUUCUCUGCUGAUGAUGCUAACACAGCAUUGGUAGUACAUUUAUCGCGGAAUAAUGAUCUCAUUCUGAGGCUUUUAAAGGUGCGCAAUGAGGGAUCAGCAAACUAAAGUUGUUAUAUCUUGACCAUUCAAGUUGUCUUGGAGCGCAACUUGGUAAUUACCUUUUUCAAAUAUAAUAGAUAUGUAAUUUAACUAACUUCUUCAAAUAUCAUUUUUAAUUUCAAUCAGCUGUGAUUCUCUUCCACAAAAUAAAAAUUUCUAACACGGCAAAUGACCUGUGGUGGAAACCAUGACAUGUGUGUGCCUUUCGCUUGAAUUCAGACAUGGACUUGAUCUCUUUGAGAUAAGAUUGUUGAUGAAUGGAGGUCAUGGAUUUCUAAUGAUCAAGUUGCUGGUAAACCCACCAUCUCCUUACAAUUUUUUAUUGGCUGCUACUACAGCCUCAACUGGAGAGCUCAGUCCUAAAAUUGAGUUGAGAACUAAAACUAAUUGGUUCCAUACUACAAUGCUUAAGAAUCUUUAUCUAUUUUUAUUUUUGUGCUCAAUGACCUUUUAAAAUGCUAUCAUUUCUCUUGUAGGUACUUGCAAGGAUAUGAUUACAACUUCACCUUUCUAACAAUAAAAAAGGUCUAAGCAAUUCUUUUUUGCUUAAUUAUUAUUCUAUUUUUAAUAAUUUUGAAAAUAAUGAUUAUAAAUCAGUGUGCUUUAAUUGAGAAUUGAUUUAACAAUUAGACUACACUAUAAAUGCAGGGUGCAGGAUAUACGGUCCCAGAGUACAAGGUAAGAGAAUCACUACACAUCUACAGCUGUUGGUUGGAUGAAAUGUCACUAAAAUUAUACACAACCGAAAAUGUUAUGGGAAUUGGGGAAAGGCAAACAUCCUCUUUGUNNNNNNNNNNNNNNNNNNNNNNNNNNNNNNNNNNNNNNNNNNNNNNNNNNNNNNNNNNNNNNNNNNNNNNNNNNNNNNNNNNNNNNNNNNNNNNNNNNNNNNNNNNNNNNNNNNNNNNNNNNNNNNNNNNNNNNNNNNNNNNNNNNNNNNNNNNNNNAUAUAUAUAUAUAUAUAUAUAUAGAUCCUUAAUUUCUUUUAUUUUCCUUCAAGUCAAAUUAGUGAAAUCAUUGCAUUAGCAUCUAAUAAUAUGAAGUUCACAAUCUUUUCCAAUGAAAUCAAUUUUUUAACAUGAAAAUUUGAAUUUUAGAAAUGUUUGUGGAAGGUAUAUAUAUUCUUCCCUUCGAGAUUCUUUAUUUUGUGCCAAGUUGAUUGGAUGUACUGUUUGAAAUGUUAGUUAAGUUAGGCAAGAAAAGUUGUUUUGGUUGUUUCUUUUCUCCUUUCAGCAGUAUAUAAUGAGACAUCUUAUGUUUUUACCACUUUCUAAUAUACUACUCAAUAAAAUUUUCUUUGGGCUCUUGUUUGUACAUGGUAUUUUUCUUUUUGCUUGAUGAUUCUUGAAGUUUUUGUGACUGCAUCCAUGGGAAUUGGUUUGUUAGGGAAGGUGGGGCUGACAGGGUACAUAUUGAGAGGUAGGAAACCAAUUGCAAAAUGAUUCAGAUCCUUUUACUCUUCAAAACUCAGAUAAUCCAAGUAGAAUUCUCAUAUCUGCACCGUUAAAUUAAGUAUAAAGAAUAUAUAGUUAAAAAGAUAAAUCUAUUUAUAUCCAUUUAAUUUUAAUUUUUUUUUAUCCGUUUGUAAAUUUAUUUUUUUUAUAGUGCUAGAGGUUUAAUAAGUUGGAGAGAGCAGGGCUCACAGCAGCCUCACUCUCUUGUAACCAUUCAAAGACUCGAGUCAUAUCAGUGGCGUUAAUAGCAUCUCUUGAUAUGUCACCUCUCUAGAAAAUUUGAACCCAUCCUAAAAAAAAAAGCAAGCAAACCACCGCACUUUCAGUGGCCGGAAGAGUGAUAUCACAUCUAUGAAUUGACUUAAACCAAGACUGGUCUUUAAAAUACUCUCACCAUGAAGCUCUAAAUUUACAACUGCAAAAGUAAAAAUAGAAAAACACAAUAUUUUCACCCCAGCCAUAGAGACAAGGAGAGUAAACCCAUAUCCAAGACUCGAGGAAGCCAUCCCUUAAAAGGAACAGGGAACGGUUGCAGGACUAACCAUUAGUAGAGAAACAAGGUUUGCCCUCAGAAGUAAACAGGCAGAGAUAAAGCACUCUCUCUUUAACUUUCACGGCUCUUAUUCAAAAAUUUGAUUUCAAAUUAUAAAAAUAUGCUUUUAUAUUAUAGCAAUUCUUAUCUAAACCAGCUUAACAUUAACUUAAAAUAUAAAUAUAUAAGAUUUUUCUUACAUUAGGUUUACAUAACUAUUUUUUUAUAUAUUAAAUAUACCCUUAAUUAAAAUGAUUUUUUUUCUAUUACAUGAAAAUAUAUUUGCACCUAUUUUCAAAUAAAACUUUAAUAUAAUUAAAAUAAACUAUGUUUGCCUUUGGUUAACAUACCAUUCACUCAUAUUACUCCUUAAAUAUUAAAGAACUCAUACUAUUAGAAGAUUUUUAAAAUCAGUAAAUUUUACUUUUUUUCAAUAGAUAUUAAAUAGAAUAUAUUAAUAAACUAAUAAAUAAAUCAUCAUAUACAAGUUCAUAUAAUUUAACAUUACACUGCUGAUUGCAACUACUUAGCUCCAUAACGCCAUUCUCUAAAACCCCAACUCUCACACCCAACCCUCUGCAAUAAACACAGAAACAAAACCUCAUCUCUCUCUCUCUCUCUCCCCUCAAAAGAAAAUCAAUAUAUAAUAUGUAAGUGAUCAAGUGAUUGAUUAUGGACAUCAUAGAUCUAACAGAAAAUUAUACCUUGCAAUUCACCCCCACAAAAAUAUUUUCCCGGCAAAGAACGAUCAUUCGAGCCGCUGUGUAUUCGAGCUCUCCAAUGACCACAGCUUGAAGUUACUUCAUUGUCUUGUUAGUGAAUGAUCAAGUAAUUCUUGAGAAGCAUUACCUCUUCUGGUUGGUAUUAAUUUUGUUGAGAAGCAAGCCAGGCAUCUCAUCAAUAAUGGCGAUUUACGCUUAUAGGAACGCGCUGAGCAGCUUCGCUACUGUUUCCGAACCAUUCACUGUUAUAAGAAGACCAAAGAGAAAGUCCACUUUUGUAUGAUAAGCUGUCAAUGAGAAAAUGAUCCUGAAUUCCUAUUCGUUGCCUCGGUGUGCUCAUCGACCUCGCCUUUGCCUUUGCAGAUUCUGUUGCAGCCAUGUAAGUUGGGAAAACAGGAGAAUUCAGUGCAGAACUGUCAUCUCCUGUAGUAUUCCGUUGUGUCCGACAAAAUGAUCUUCUUGGAAAUGACACUGGUGAACUCAAUGCUUCUAUGUUAUCUCGUUUCCGUGAACUCAUUUUCACUUGUGUUGUACCAAAUAUGUCACUUGCUUUCAGAUUCUCUAUCCGUUCUCUAGCCAAUUCUUCCAGCCAGUGUCUCUGUCUAUCAGGUUCAUUCUUGGCUAUUGAUUCUUCCAGUACAUAGAUAAGAAAGUAAAAAAGAGAUGUUUUUUUAAGAAUAUAAUCUUCGUUAUAUUAAUCUUCACAGUACACACAUGAUUUAAAUAAGAGAAUUGAUAACUAAAGUUGCCUAUUGAAUAGGAGAGAAUAAUGGAAAAAUAUCAUCAGUAAGUGAAUGAAUCACCCUAAGAAUCCUAAUCACAAGACUCAUUCAAUUGUAUAAUAUUUACAAAAUUAACACUUAUCACUCCAAUACUCAAGCCUUAGCACAGCAGCCUUAUUACUCCUGAGAGGUGGAACCAUUCUUAUGACUCCCUGAACUAGUAUCCCCCCUCAAAUUGUGUCCAGAAUGGAGACAGAGUUUGCGUCGAAAUUGUGCUAGACGAGUUUUUGUCAUUGACUUUGUAAAUAUAUCAGCAACUUGAUAUGCUGAGGGAAUGUAUCUCGUGAUCAGAACUCCUUGAGCAACGCGUUCUCUGACAUAGUCUAUAAAUCUUGAUUUUGGAUCAGUUACCAACACUCAAUAAAGUCUAUAAAUCUAUAUGCAGCCACUGAGUGUGUUGAUGGACAAGCAACUGCAAUUGGUCCUACUAGGGAUUGGAAUGCUAAUUUAGCUUCAGGUAUUUAACAGGACUUUUUGUCCAAAUGUAUUUAUGAACAAGUUCAUAAAAGGCAGGUUAGCUCUAUAUAUAACACAAGUAUAAUCUUGCAAUAUACUUGAUAAAAUUUUCUUUGAGCUGUUAUUUACACACCACCUGCAGUAGGUAUCCAGUCUUAAAUUAGUUAGAUAUUCAAUAAAAGGACUUUUUAUAUGAUUCCAAUAAUUCUCUACAUAAUAUGUUCCUUAAAACAAAAUUUGAUUCAAUUUAUUUUAACACCAUAAUUCUUUAUAAAAAAAAUAGCUACAAAAUUUCUUACAGUUAGUAAUUUAAUGGUCAUGGUCAGUAAACGGUCAGUAACUUAUUUUACAAAUCACUUUUUCCAUAAUUUGAUCAGUUAACAUGAUUUCUUCUGGUGCGUUAUUAUUUAUAAAUACUAAUAAUUACAUUGUAAAAUUUAUAAUUUAUUUUUAUUAAUAUAAUUUAUUUAAUUAAUUUAUAAUAUAAUAUUUUAAUUUACAUUUAAAAUUCACAUGUUCACGUCUAUUUUAAUGGAUUAAAAAAUUAUACAAAUAUAUAUUAUUUAAAAUAUUUCAAUUUAAUUUGUUCGAUUAAUUUACUAUUUUAAUUUAAUUUAUGUUCUAUUAACAAAUAUAAUAUUAAACUUUUAAUAGAUUAAAUAUUUUAUUAAAACUAUUAUAUGUUUUAAUAAUUUACUUAUAUUAAGGUUAGUAAUUAGAUAUAUUUGUCUAUACUAUAAAAUCUCAAUAUCAUACAAUACAUUAUUAAUAAAUAUACUACAUAAUUAGUUCAGGCGAGAAAGUGGGCAACAUGCUACAAACUAUAAUUCUUGCUAAGAAUUAGAAUUAAAUUAAAUUUGUAAUACUUUAAUAUAAAGAAAAACUAUAGUUCUUACUAAGAAUUAGAACCAAAUCAAAUUUUUAAUACUUUAAUGCAUUUCAAACUAAAUUUCGGUAUAGUUCUAAUACGAUUCUAAGUAAUUUUAGUACUAUCUCAAUUUGAUUUUAAUUUUUUUAUUUUAAUUUUAUUUCAAUUUAAAUUUUAAUUUUUACAAAUAAAAUCAUAAUAGCUUUUACGCAUAUUUUNNNNNUACAACUCUUGAUAAGAAUAUUUUAUUAUUUUAUGUAGUUAUUAAUUAUAUAAUUUUAAUUAAAAAAUGUAUGAAAUUAAUAUAUAAAUAUAUAUUAUAUUACUAAUAAUACAUUUAUAAUUGAUAUAAAAAAAGGAUGUAUAUAUCAUUCGAGUAUAAUAAUUUUUUAAAAAAUAUAUAUAUGUUAAUGAUAAUUUUAUUAAAUAACAGAUAUUAGCAAAUAUAAUAAAAAUUUGAAUAUUUCAAUUACAGUAAAAAAAUCAACUAAAAUGAUACAUUUUCUUAAUUUUAUUUUAUUAUAAUUUUUUUAUAACUUUGAUUAAAUAUAUUCAUAUAAUAAUGUGAUAUUAAGAUAAUAGGAGCCCAAAUUUAAUAGUCUAUUUGCAAUAAUAAUAAUAAUAUAUAAAAAAAUUAAUAAAGAGAUGAAAAAAUAACGGUAAAAUAUUGUUUAGUUUAUGAAAGUGUUAAAUUUGGUUGUGGAUAAAUAGAGUGGUUUAUUGAAGAUUUUGAAAUCAAAUGGACAUUCAAAGCCGCAAUAUAAAGAUUUAUUUGGCUUUAAAGAGAGAUAAAUCAACGUCAAUCAGACUGUGUAUCUUACUAGAGGUUCUUGUAUCCCACUUCUGAUUAGAUUGAUAAGAGAAUAAGAGACAGCUGAGGUUCAAGAGGUGAUUUGUUCAGAUCACAUGGGCAACUCAUACAAAAUUAAAUAUAAAAGGAAGUUUUUUCUUAGAAAUCUGAUAUAUUUUUCUAUGCUACAAAAUCUCAGUACAAGCGAGAUAGUGGGCAACAUGCUAAAAUAAAAAGCUAUAGUUCUGAUACUUUUAUCAUCAGAUUUUACUACAAUAUAUUUUAAUCUAUUAGUAAUUUUAACAGAUUUAUUAAAAAUUUUGAAAAUCCUUCAAUAAUUCUUAAUAUAAAACAUUAUAUAAAAAUUCACCAAUAGAUUUGAAAUCUGUUGGUAAUCUACUAGUAUUACUAACAAAUUUAAAAAUUUAUUGGAAAUUUAUAAAUUUAUAAAAUAAUUGGUAUUGAUAUUUAUCAACAGACUUAAAAUUUAUUAGUAAAUCAUUAACAAUUUUAAUCUGUUAGUAAAUUUAGGGGUGGAAAUGAAACAAACCGUUUGUGACCGUUUGUGAGCUAUUCGAGAUUCGACUCGAUAAAAACUUGACCGAACUCGACUCGAUUUCUAAACGAUUCAAACUCGAACUUAAUUUUUAGGCUUGUUUAGUAAACAAGGCAAACUUAAACCAUAUAGUGUCUUGUUAAGACUCGUGAGCUCGACUUGCGUUCGAAUUUAUGAGCAGACUGGUGAAUAGUCUCGUUAAGCAGACUGAAAUUAAUAUCAUAAGAGAAAUAAAUUUAACUCCUGCAUAUAUUUUCAUGAGGCAAAUCUAAAUUUUAUAAAAUUCAAUUCUAUAUUAUUUAAUUAUACUAUUAAAACUUGCAUAUUUGGAUUAUUAAGAGCUCAUUUUUAUAAGUUUAUAAGCUAAUUUUUAUAUGUGAAAGUCAGCUGCUUGCUUGAUGUGGGACGUCCCACAUCGGCGAAGUACAAAAAAUCAAAAUUGUAUAUAAUAAUUAGUAUGAAACUACUAAAUAACUUGAGUUAACCAUUUUGAGUUAGGUGGAAACUGAAUUCCAAGUUAUUUGGGUCAAAACUACCCCUGAGUCAGAGCUAGUGGCCCUGUCACAAUACCGAAGUUGAGCUUAUUAAUACUUAACUCGUCUAAAUUCAGUUCGAGUUCGAAAUGAGUAAAACUCGAGUUUGGCUUGAACUUAAAAAAAUUUUAACGAACUAAAUUUGAACUCUUCAAAUCUCAGCUCUACUCGUCGUUUACACCCUAAGUAAAAUUUUAAAAGUGUUUAAACUACUAACGGAUUUAAAAAUCCGUUACUAAAUAUUAUCAUCAAAUUAAUAAGUAUUAAAUUUAUUAACGGAUGCUAUCCACUAAUAAAUCUUUUAAUAAAUUUAAAAUAAAAUCCUACAAAAAAUUUCUGCAUUCUUUUUUUAUAACUCAUAUUUUUCAAAUUUUAAAUCCAUUGGUAAUUUUUUGAGAGAAAAAAAAAAAUUUUUUUUCAAAAUUUAGUAACGAGUCGUAAAUUUAUUAGUAAUUCACGUUUAUAAAUAUAACACAAACUCCUCUACUUUUAUCAUUCAUUCAUUUUAUAUCAUCCACCUUUCUUUCAUUUUUUUCACUUUCUCUCAUUUUCUUUUUUUCUAUUACAUUCUUUCAUUUUAUUUUUUUAUCUCAUAAUUUUUUUUUAUUUUUCUAUUAUUUUUCUUUCCUCUCUUAUCCUAUUUUCUCAUGGUUCUCUUUUAUCUUCUAUUAUUUUUUUCAUUCUUCAUAAUUUUCCUUUCAUUUUCUCCCUUUUCUUUUCCAUAUUUUUUUUUUCCUUUCCUCUCUAUACUUUUCAUUCAUAUUAGUUUUUUUAAUAUUAUUUUCUUCUAUUAUUUUCUUUCUAUUUACAUUUUUUCUAUUAUUUUCUCUUUAUUUAUUUUCUUCUCUAAGCAUUUGUUCACUUUUUUUCAUUUUUCUAAUCAUCUUUUUACUCAACUCUCAUUCAUUCUUUUUUUUCAUAAUUUUUAUUUUUCUAUUAUUUUCUUUAUUUUUCUCUUUUUUCUUUAUUUUUUAUUAUUUUCUCUCAUUUUAUACCAUUUAUUUUUUUAUUUUCACUUUUUUAGAUAUAAAUUAAAAACUUGGUAACAAUAAUAAUAUAAUUUUAAGUCUUAUUAAAUUAAUAAAAAAUUAUUUAAACUCUCAAUAGAUAUAUUAAUGAAUUGCAAUUCAUUGAUAAUUGACUAACAGAUUUCACAUCUGUUAAUAAAUUAUUUUUCUCUUAUACUAACGAAUUUAAAAUUUAUUAAUAAUUUAAAAUCUAUUAGUAAUAAUAGCGGGAAUUCCAUUAGUAAAUCCACUAGUUUACUGACGAAAUUAAAAACUGUUGGUAAAAAUUUAAUACCGACAUUUUAAUAACGGAUCGUAAUCUAUUAGAAAUCCCUUAUUAAUUAAUUUACCAACGAAUUUUUAUUAGAUUGCUAAUGGAAAAAUCAAUGCAUUAUUAAUAUAAAUUAAGAAGUUGAUUCUUAUCUUUACAAUAAGAUAUCUUUUAAACUCUUAAAAAUUUUGAAGCUAAAAUUGAAGAAACAUUCAUGACGUUAUAUUUUUCAUUUCAUGCAAGAUGAUAUCUGUUAUUGGAAUGCAUAUGAUUAUUUUAUUGAUAUAAAAUAAGUAUAAAGAAUAUACAAUUAAAAAGAUAAUUAUACUUAUCGAUCCGUUCGUAUCAUUUAAUUUUACUGUCUCUUUAUAAAUCUAUUUAUAUCCAUUUAAUUUUAAUCUCAUAUAGGUAAAUUAUAAGAGAUGAAGAGUUCUCCUUCCUUCCCUAUAAAAAGAGAAGGCCUCUCUUCCCUUCAAUAUUAGUACCUGAUUUUUUAUAAUUUAUAAUAUAAUAUACUAUAUAUUAAAUGUAUAGAAAUAAUUUAAUUAUUAUAAAUUUAAGUUAAUAUUAUUAAUAAUAAAAUAAAAUAAUAAAUAAAAUUUAAAAUGCAAAAUAUAUUUAGUGAGUUUAACAUUUCAAAAUUUUAUUAUUUUGAAAUAAUUUUAUAUNNNNNNNNNNNNNNNNNNNNNNNNNNNNNNNNNNNNNNNNNNNNNNNNNNNNNNNNNNNNNNNNNNNNNNNNNNNNNNNNNNNNNNNNNNNNNNNNNNNNNNNNNNNNNNNNNNNNNNNNNNNNNNNNNNNNNNNNNNNNNNNNNNNNNNNNNNNNNNNNNNNNNNNNNNNNNNNNNNNNNNNNNUUUUUUCCUCAUCUAUAUUAUAUACAAUUAGACUAUAAUAAUAUUUUUAAAAAUAUACAUUGAUAAUUAUUUAUUCAAUAAGGAAUAUUAUUUAAUAAAAUAAAAAAUCAAUAUUCUACAAUUAUAUUUAUAAUAUUUUAUUUAAAAAUAUAAAGUUAACAAAAUUAAUUAAUUUUCAAAUAAAUUUAAUUAAAUAUAAGGUACGGUUAUAAUAAAAUAUUAUUUUUAUGAAAAUCAAUUUAAUUAAUUCUCUAUAUUUUUAUUAAGAAUCAAAUAAAUUUAAUUUAAAAUUUUUAAAACUUUAAGCUAAUUAAACUAUAUAAUUUUAUUAAAGGCUAAAUAGAUUCUAACUUAAAAUGAUUUUUUAAUAAUAAAAUAUUAUUUUUAUAAUUUAAAAUAUUAAAAUUUAAUAUUUUAAUUAUCAUAAAAUUUUUAAAAAUAUAUAAAUAUAAUAAAUAAUUUUUAAAAUUAUAAAAAAAAAAGUUUUAUCAUAUAAAAAUUUUUAUUAUUAAAAAAUAAUAUUAUGUUAGAUUAUGAUUUAUUUGACUUUUGAGUAAUAAUAUAGAGAUUUAAUUUAUUUAAAAUUUUGAAUUAAAAUUAUUUAACUCUUCAAUAAAAGUAGAGACUUAAUUGCAUUUAUAUUUAUAAAAUUAUUAUUAUAAAAUGAUAAAUUUAAUUUGUUAUUAAAUAAUAUUUUUAUAUGAAAAAUUAAUUAAAAAAAUUACAAAAUGUGGCGCAUAUAAACAAUUCCCAAUUUCCUUUUGUUAUCCUUACCACAUUACCAGCAGGCAGAGAGCCUUCCUUUUCCGAUUCUCUAUUUCCGUUUCUCAUUCCCAAUCUCCGAUCCAUCCCUAAAAACGACUGACAAGAGAUCGAUGAUGAUGAAGAUGCCUUGGAGGAGGAAGAGCAGGAGCUUCCAUCUUCAGCUACAAGGGGCAAUUGGUACCAUUCAAUCUCCAUUCCUAUUCUUAUUUACCAAUUAUUGUCAUUCUUCUACUUCCACACUUGAAGAUGCACGCUUCUUGACAAAUAACUUCAAAUCUGCUUCUUUUACCCACCUUGAUGAUGCCAUUGCUUCCUUCAAUCAUGUAAUUCAUAAGCAUCCUCUGCCUUCUAGGGUUCCAUUUAAUAGAUUCUUAUCUGCCCUUGUGAAAAUGAAACAAUAUCACACUGUCCUUUCCAUGUCCAAAACAAUUGAAUUGCUAGGAAUCUCUCACGAUGUUUAUUCUCUUAGCAUAUUAAUUAAUUGCUUCUGCCAUUUACACAUUGUGGAUUUUGGCUUCUCUGUUUUUGGUAAGAUGCUCAAAUUCGGAUUGGAGCCUACCACUGUGACGUUUACUACCUUAAUUAAUGGGCUUUGUAUGGAGAGUAAAAUCCAUAAAGCAGUGGAAUUUUUCGAUGAUAUGGUUGCACGUGGUUAUCAACCUAAUGUUCGUACUUUCAAUGUGAUAGUAAACGGAUUGUGUAAAUUUGGGAAAACAAACGUGGCUAUUGGGCUACUAAAGGGAAUGGCUGAUAGAGGUUGUGAGCCAAAUGUUGUGACAUACAAUGCAAUCAUUGACGCACUUUGCAAGGAUGAGCUAGUUGGUGAAGCUUUAGAGCUCUUCUCUCAAAUGAGGAAUAAGGGCAUUUCACCUGAUGUCAUCACUUACACUAGUUUAAUUCAUAGUGUUUGCAAAUUAGGCCAAAAGAACCAAGCUUUGGCCUUGAUGAAUGAAAUGGUUGAGUGGAACAUAUUACCAAAUGUUUAUACCUUCAAUGUAUUGAUUGAUGCUCUUUGUAAGGAUGGAAUGGUUUCAGAGUCUCAAAAUACAUUCAAUGUAAUGAUUCAAAGAGGUGUAGAGCCUGAUGUGGUCACAUACAAUUCCUUAAUUGAUGGUCUUUGCAUUUCAGACCAAUUCAAGGAAGCUUUGGCCUUGUUGAAACAAAUGGUGGGGAGGAAUAUAUCCCCUGAUGUUUUUACCUUCAAUAUAUUGAUCGACACUCUUUGUAAGAAAGGACUGGUUUCAAAUGCACAGAAUAUAAUCAAAAUAAUGAUUCAAAGAGGUGUGGAACCUGAUGUUGUCACUUAUAAUUCAUUGAUGGAUGGAUAUUGUCUAUGCAAGCAAAUUGAUAAGGCUAGAAAGGUAUUUGAUCUGAUGGUGACCAAUGAAAUAGCUGACAUUUUAGGCUACAGCAUUUUGAUCAAUGGAUAUUGUAAGUGCAAAAUGAUAGAUGAUGCAGAGGAACUUUUUGAUGAAAUGUCUCAUAAAGGUUUAGUUCCUAAUGUUGUUACUUAUCAUACUCUUAUAAAGGGUAUGUUUCAAGCAGGGAGGCCCCAAAAUGCAAAAGAGCUUUUUAAGGAUAUGUGCUCUCAUGGUCAACAGCCAGAUAUAGUAACCUUCUCAAUUAUGAUUGAUGGCUUGUGUAGACAGGGGAAUCUCGAUGAGGCACUCGCACUAUUGAAAGCAAUGGAGAAAAGUCGGUUGAAGCCUAAUGUUGUGAUCUAUAGCAGUCUGAUCAAUGGUAUGUGCAAAGUUGGGAAGAUUAAUGAUGCCAAGGAACUAUUUUCUAGUCUUUUUGAAAUUGGUUUACAACCUGAUGUUUAUGUAUAUAGCGCAAUUAUGAAAGGACUCUGCCAACAGGGAUUAAUGGAUGAAGCGUAUAAGGUAUUUAAAGACAUGGAAAAGGUAGGAUGUUUACCAAAUAAUUGUUGUUAUAAUAUCAUCAUUCAAGGGUUUCUCAAGCAUGAGGAUUUACCAAAAGCAUCAGAACUAAUCAACGAAAUGGUUGAUAAGGGGUUCUCUGCUGAUGCUGCUACCACAGAAUUGGUAGUACAUUUAUUGCGGAAUAAUGAUCUCAUUCUGAGGCUUUUAAAGGCGCGCAACUAGGGAUUAGCAAACUAAAGUUGUUAUAUCUUGACCAUUCAAGUGUAUCUUGGAGCGCAACUUGGUAAUUACCUUUUUCAAAUAUAAUAGAUAUGUAAUUUAACUGACUUCCUCAAAUAUCAUUUUUAAUUUCAAUCAGCUGUGAUUCUCUUUCACAAAAUGAAAAUUUCUAACACCGCAAAUGACCUGUGGUGGAAACCAUGAUAUGUGUGUGCCUUUCGCUUGAAUUCAGAUAUGGACUUGAUCUCUUUGAUAUAAGAUUGUUGGAGAAUGGAGGUCAUGGAUUACUAAUGAUCAAGUUGCUGGUAAACCCACCAUCUCCUUUACAAUUUUAUUUUUGGUUGCUACUACAGCCUUAACUCGAGAGCUCAGUCCUAAAAUUGAGUUGAGAACUAAAACUAAUUGGUUUCAUACUACAAUGCUUAACAAUCUUUAUCUAUUAUUAUUUUUGUGCUCAAUGACCUUUUAAAAUGCUAUCAUUUCUCUUGUAGGUACUUGCAAGGAUAUGAUUAGAACUUCACCUUUUUAACAAUAAAGGUGUAAGCAAUUCUUUUUGCUGAAUUAUUAUAUUUUUAAUAAUAAUGAAAAUAAUGAUUAUAAACCAGUGUGCUUUAAUUGAGAAUUGAUUUAACAAUUAGACUACCCUAUAAAUGCAGGGUGCAAGAUACAGUACCAGAGUACAAGGUAAGAGAAUCACUAGACUUCUACGGCUGUUGGUUGGAAUAAAUGUCACUAAAAGUAUAGACAACAGAAAAUGUUAUGGGAAUUGAGGGAAAAGCAAAAAAAGACUAUGAAAAUCAGACAUAUGCAGCCACUGAGACAAGCAACUGCAAUUGGUCCUACUAGAGAUUGAAAUGCUAGUUUAGCUUCAGCUAUUUAACAGGACUUUUUGUCCAAAUUUAUUUAUGAACAAGUUCAUAAAAGGCAGGAUAGCUCUAUAUAUAACUCAGCUAUAAUCAAAGAAGGUGGCAGGAAAAAUGUCAAUACAAUGAAACUUCAUCUGAUUAAAUGGAAUACUCUUUGGUUGCCUAAAAAGAAUGGAGGCUUAGGCAUGAAAGAGAUCUGUCUUCAAAUUCAAGCUCUUUUGUUCAAAUGGCUUUGGAGAUUUGGAAAUCAUAGGGAUUCACUCUGAGUUCAACUUCUUCUAUCCAAAUAUUCUUUCAAUUUGGAGAAGGGUAUCUCUCUUGCUCCAGGAAAUUGCAUUUCUUCCCUUCAGAAAGACAUUCGAGGGUAUGCUACUUUCGAUGAACUCUUUCUCCUCUCCUUGAAUUCAUAUCAGAUUUGCUGUGGGGAAUGAGAUGAAAAUGAAAUUUUGGAAUGAGAGACGAUCGGUUGGUAAUAUUGCUCUCAAAUUCUCCUUUAGCAGACUAUUAAAUUUAGCUGCUAACCUAGAUGUGUUGAUGUUAAAUACGGGCUGUUGGGUGAAGAGCAAAUGGGAAUGGGAAAUAAUUGAAUUGUCAAUAUUAUACUUAAUCUUUUAUAUUAUUUCUAAUAAUAUAUUUUAUUAUUUAAAUAAAUUUAUUUUAGAGUUUUUAUGAAUUUAAAAUUUUAAGUUCCAUAAAUAAAUGUGGCAAUAUUUAUGUAAGAUUGUAAAUUCAAUAUUUUUUAAAAAGGUAGUUUUAGAAAAAAUAAAAUCGAUUUUGUAAACAACUUUUAAAAAAUGGAAAACCCAAUUACUUUAAAAAUAUCCAUUUCCAUAUAAAUUUAAUUAAAAAAUAAAUAUUUGCUUCUUUUUUUUUUAACUUUCAUUCCCCAUUAUUAUUUAUAAAUACUAAUAAUUACAUUGUAAAAUUUAUAAUUUAUUUUUAUUAAUAUAAUUUAUUUAAUUAAUUUAUGAUAUAAUAUUUUAAUUUGCAUAUAAAAUCCACAUGUUCACUACUAUUUUAAUGGAUUAAAAAACUAUAUAAAUAUACAUUAUUUAAAAUAUUUGAAUUUGAUUUGUUCAAUUAAUUUACUAUUUUAAUUUAAUUUAUGUUCUAUUAACAAAUAUAAUAUUAAAAUUUUCAUAGAUUGAGUAUUUUAUUAAAACUAUUAUAUAUUUUAAUAAUUUACUUAUAUUAAGACUAUUAUUAAUUAUUAAAAUUCUAAUACUAUUAAAAUAAAAAAUUUUAUUUUUUUUAAUAAGAGUACAGUUUUGUGAAUAAUAUUUUUUAUAUAUUAAAAUAAAAUUAUAAAUAAAAUAAUUAAAAAUAAAUAUUAUACAUGUUAAAAAAUUAAUAAUUAUUAAAAUUUGAAUAAUUAAUAUUAUUAAAAUACAAAUGGAAUUUAUAAAUAAUUAAUUUAGUGUGAAUAUUUCAUAUAAUUUGUGAUAAUCUAUCCCAUUUCAAACUCCUAACAAAAAAAUCUACUGACCUAUAAACUAAAUCUGCCAUCUUAAGAAACUUAAAACCAUAAAACCAAGAAAUUUUAUUUAUUCUCAGAAUUAUAAACUUAACCAUCACUUAAUUACCAUAUUUACCGAUUAACAUUAAUAAAUUAAAAUGAAAAUAAUUACAUAAUUAAUAAAAAUUCUUCUUCACUGCUUUAAUUUGCAAUUUUUUUUAAAACCAAUUAAUAAACUAAUCCAGCUAAAAAAUUUUAUUUAAUGCUAAAAAUCUAAAUUUUAUCAGAAAAAUCUAAUCUUUAUCCAUAUAUAUAAAUUGAAUCCCAAUUACUCUUCUCUCCUAUAAAAUUUCCUUUUGAGUUUUCUCACUCUCAAACAUUUUCUUAACUUAGAAAAUUUUAAUCAAUAAUGCCAUCGUGGAGAGCUUCUAACAUGAAAAUGGAUUCUCGCUCGAAAAUUUUAGGUCAACGACAUGUAACCAAGUCAUCUUUUUCCUACAAGUUACUUUCUAGUUCGACUGAUCAAAAAACUAAAAUACCGCAAAUUCAAAAGGGUUAUGUAGCAAUAUACGUGGGUGACGAGAGAAAGAGAUAUCAAGUUCUAAUAGAGAAUCUAGAGUUUUCGACAUUACAAGAACUUAUUAAACAGUCUCACGAUAGUGAUUUCGACUCCAAGAUUGAUGGACCAAUCGUGCUUACUUGCACUACUGAUAGGUUUGAUGAACUCCUGAAAUUUAUAAAUGGUUGACAUAUAAAACUUUAGAGAGUUUUAAAUAAUUAUUUUUUAUAUGUUUAAAUUACUAAUAAAUCCUUAUAUUUUAUCAAAAUUAGCUAUUUAAUCCCUAUUUUCAAAUCAUUAAAUUAAAACAUUUUGAAUUUUAUAAAGUCAAACUCUUUGAUAUUCUUAACGAAUAAAAUAUUAGUAAAUAUAUUUUUAAUUUUAAUUAGAAAAAUUAAAUUAUAUAUAUAAUUAAAAAAUAAAUAAAUAAUAUAAAAAUUUAUUUUAAUCGAAUAACAUAAAAAUAAAAAAUUAAAUAGUCAAUUUUGAUAAAAUAUAAUAACCAAAUAAUAAUUCAGACCCUUCAUGGCAAUUUCUCAGUAAUUUUAUCGAUUAUAUCUACCAUUUAUAUACCUCCUUUUUCAAGUUUUAUUUUUUCUAUCAUUGAUUUUUGUCAAUUUUUUAUUAUUUUAUCCGAUUUAAAUAAAUAACUUCUAUUUUAUUAUUUUAUUAAUUUUUUUAUUAUUAUUCUAAAGUUAUUGUUCACUUUCUUUCAUUAUAAUAAUAUAUAAUUGACUAUUAUAAUCUUAUUUAAUUUUAUAUUAUUUUCAAAUUAAUCUAUCAUUGAUUAUUAUUUUUUCAAAUAAGUAUUCAAAAUAUUUCUUAAUAUUUAAUAAAAUUUAAUAUUUUUAAAAUAGUAUAAUUGAAAAUUUUAUAAAAUAAAUUAUUUUUUAAUAUGUGUGAAAAAUUUAUAUUCAGAAAAUAAAUUUUUAUUAAAAAAUAAAUAAACUAUUAUAAUUAAAUCAUCAUUAUUUUCAUCUAUUUUUCACUCAUUAAAAUAUAUUUUUAAUGAUAUCAUUAUUAAUAUUUGUAAAUAUAUUUUUUAAUAUAAGUUAUCCAUCAAUUAUUUAUGAUUUAUUAUUGUAGAGUUGAUUUUUAAUUAUAUUUACUGUAAAAAAAAAAUCUUUUCACUAUUGUUAAAACAUGUAAAUUUAUAAAAAAAUUAUAAAAAUAAUAUAAUAUUUUAAUACAGGAUUUACUAUUAAAAUUUAUUUUUUUAAAAAAAAAAUUUAACUCAUUAAAAUUUAUUUUUGUAUAAUUUUAAUUUUAUAAAUAGAUUAAUAACAAAGUAAGAUAAAUAAAAAAAAUUAUAAUUUAAUAAUAAAAAUAGUAUUAUAAAAAUAAAUUAAAUAAUGAGUGAAUAACUUAAAAAAAAAAUUAAGUGGAGAUUUGAAUUUGAAAUCUUAAAAAUGAAAAGUAAAUUUUUUGAAUUGAAAAAUAAUAUAGAAGAUGAGAGAUUAAAUAAUAAAAAUUUCUUUGAUAAAUAUAUUAAAUAAUUUAAAAUUAUAAAAUAUAAUUAUAAUUUAAUUAAAUAAUUUUGAAAUAAGGUCGAAUUGGUAAAUUUUUAAAAUAUAUAAAAAUUUAAUAAUAAUUUUUCAUAUUUUAAGAAAAAUUAUCUAUACACCUUAAAAAAAUUUCAAAAAUUUCAAAAGGCUUAGGAGUCUGUCAAUGUGCACUAUCUUGCUAUUCGUUUGACACCAAACCCUUAGAUAAAGGUAAUAUAGAAAUUAAAACUUUAUUUAUUUCAUAAAAAAUAUUUUAUAAAAAAUAUUACACGUAUAGUUUUAAUAAUAAUAAAAAAAACAGCUAAUUUAGGGGUUAAGUGUCACUUUAUAAUUUUUGUGUUUUUAUUUUUCUAAAAACUAAUUAUAUAAAAAUAAAUAUAAAUUUUUUAUAUAAUAAUAAGAAAUAAUAUAAAUUUUUAAAAUAUGAUAUUUAAUAGCAAAAUAAUAAUUUUUAAAAUAAUAAAAUUUUAAAUUUUAUAAAAAAAUUCACUGAUUGCCCACAUAUAUAUAUAUAUAUAUAUAAAUUGAAUUCCAAUUACUCUUCUCUACUAUACAAUUUUUUUUCGAGUUUCUCACUCUUAAAUCUUUUAUUAAUUUAAAAAAAUUUUACCAAUAAUAUCAAGGCGGGAGCUUUUUAGCAGGAAAAUGAAAUCUCUUUUUAAGAUUUUAGACACCGUUAUACAAUUAAGUCAUAUUUUUCUUAUAAAUUACUCUCAAGUUUGACUAAUUAGAAAGCUAAAAUUCCACAAAUUUAAAUAGGCUAUGUAGCCAUAUACAUAAAUUUUGAAGGUAAGAGAUAUCAAAUUUCAGUAGUGAAUCUGAAGUUUCCAGUAUUACAAGAACUGAUUAAACAGUCUUAAAACAGUAAUCUCGACUCCAAGAUUGAUAACCAAUCGUACUUGCUUGCACUACUGACAAAUUUAAUGAACUACUGAAAUUUAUAGAGGUUAUCAUAUGAAACUUUAGAGAGUUUUAAAUAAUUCUUUUUUAUAUGUUUAAAUUACUAAUAAGUCCUUCCAUUUUAUUAAAAUUAAUCAUUCAAUCUCUAUUUCUAAAUUAUUCAUUUAAAAUAUUUUAAAUUUUAUAAACUCAAAUUCUUUAAUAUUUUUAUCUAAUAAAAUAUUAGUAAAUAUAUUUUUAGCUUUAAUUAGAAAAAAUUAAAUUAUAUAUAAUAUAAAAUUUUAUUUUAACCAAAUGACAAAAUUAAAAAAUUAAACGGUCAAUUUUGACAAAAUAUAAAAGUCAAAUAAUAAUCCACUCUUUUCUAUCUUAAAUUAAUUUUUUGGGUACUUCAUGGAAAAUUCUCAAUAAUAAUCUACUCUUUUAUAUAAAAAUAUUAAUAAAUUAUGUUUACACAACAUAUCAUAGAAAUUAGAUAAUAAAUUUUACUUAUAAAAAAAUUUAAAAUAUUUUUAAUACGGAUAAACUAAUUAAUAAAUAUUUUUAUAAAACUAAAAAAUUAAUUAAUAAAUUUUUAAUAUCAUAAAAACUAAAUAAUAAAAUGUUUAAUAAUUAAAACUAAUAAAAUGACUAAUUAAUAUAUUUUUUAAAAUUUAAAGGAUUUUUUAUUUUAUUUUUCAAAAUUAAUUAAUAAAUUUUUUUAUAUUAAAUAAUAAUUUUUUAUAAUAAUAAAAUAAAGAUAUAUUUUAUAAAUUAAUUAAAUAAAUAUUUAUUUAAUAAUAUGAAUUUGACUGAUGAAAUAAAAUUUUAAAAUUUUUAACGAUAAUUUAAUAAAAGUUAUAUAUAUAUAAAAAAAAAAAUCGCAAUGACAAUAAACAUAUUCUUAACUUUUCUCGUUAAUGGCACGUAUAUAACUAUUAAUAAUAUAAGGUUUUAAAGUGAAAAUACAUAUUUUCUCCAAAUGUCAUAUAGGAAAAAGAAGAAAUGAAAUAUCACUUAAAAUUAUUAUAAAUUAAUAAAUAAUAUAACUUAUAAAUUAUAUAAAUUUACUGUGAGUAGAAAUUGAACUUGUUAUGUAUUUAAUUAUUAUCAUAUUUUAAAUUUAUUAUACAAGAAAAUAAUAAUUUUUUAUUUAAUAAUAACUUUUAUUGUUAUUAAAUUUUUUUUAUCACUAUAUUAAUUAUUAUUAUAUAAAUUUAAUUUGUUAUUAAAUAAUAUUUUUAUAUGAAAAAUUAAUAAAAAAAAUACAAAAUGUGGUGCAUAUAAACAACUAGUAACGCAUUUCCUUUUGUUAUCCUUACCACUUUACCAGCUGGCAGAGAGCCUUCCUUUUCCGAUUCUCUAUUUCCUUUCCUCAUUCCCAAUCUCCGAUCCAUCCCUAAAAACAACUGAGGAGAGAUCGAUGAUGAUGAAGAUGCCUUGGAGGAGGAAGAGCAGGAGCUUCCAUCUUCAGCUACAAGGGGCAAUUGGUACCAUUCAAUCUCCAUUCCUUUUCUUAUUUACCAAUUAUUGCCAUUCUUCUACUUCCACACUUGAAGAUGCACGCUUCUUGACAAAUAACUUCAAAUCUGCUUCUUUUACCCACCUUGAUGAUGCCAUUGCUUCCUUCAAUCAUGUAAUUCAUAAGCAUCCUCUGCCUUCUAGGGUUCCAUUUAAUAGAUUCUUAUCUGCCCUUGUGAAAAUGAAACAAUAUCACACUGUCCUUUCCAUGUCCAAAACAAUUGAAUUGCUAGGAAUCUCACACGAUGUUUAUUCUCUUAGCAUCUUAAUUAAUUGCUUCUGCCAUUUACACCUUGUGGAUUUUGGCUUCUCUGUUUUUGGUAAGAUGCUCAAAUUGGGAUUGGAGCCUAACAUUGUGACAUUUACGACCUUAAUUAAUGGGCUUUGUAUAGAGAGUAAAAUCGACAAAGCAGUGGAAUUUUUCGAUGAUAUGGUUGCACGUGGUUAUCAACCUGAUGUUCGUACUUUCAAUGUGAUAGUAAACGGAAUGUGUAAAUUUGGGAAAACAAAUGUGGCUAUUGGGCUACUGAAGGGAAUGGCUGAUAGAGGUUGUGAGCCAGAUGUUGUGACAUACGGAGCAAUCAUUGACGCCCUUCGCAAGGAUGAGCUAGUUGGUGAGGCUUUAGAGCUCUUCUCUCAAAUGAGGAAUAAGGGCAUUUCACCUGAUGUCAUCACUUACACUGGUUUAAUUCACGGUGUUUGCAAAUUAGGCCAAAAGAACCAAGCUUUGGCCUUGAUGAAUGAAAUGGUGGAGCAAAACAUAUUACCAGAUGUUUAUACCUUCAAUGUAUUGAUUGACGCACUUUGUAAGGAUGGAAUGGUUGCAGAGGCUCAAAAUACAUUCAAUGUAAUGAUUCAAAGAGGUGUAGAGCCUGAUGUGGUCACCUACAAUUCCUUAAUUGAUGGUCUUUGCAUUUCAGACCAAUUCAAGGAAGCUUUGGCCUUGUUGAAAGAAAUGGUCGGGAGGAACAUAUCCCCUAGUGUUUUUACCUUCAAUAUAUUGAUCGACACUCUUUGUAAGAAAGGACUGGUUUCAAAUGCACAGAAAAUAAUCAAGAUAAUGAUUCAAAGAGGUGUGGAACCUGAUGUUGUCACUUAUAAUUCAUUGAUGGAUGGAUAUUGUCUGUACAGGGAAAUUGAUAAGGCUAGAAAGGUAUUUGAUCUGAUGGUGACCAAUGAAAUAGCUAACAUUUUUAGCUACAGCAUUUUGAUCAAUGGAUAUUGUAAGUGCAAAAUGAUAGAUGAUGCAAAGGAACUUUUUGAUGAAAUGUCUCUUAAAGGUUUAGUUCCUAAUGUUGUUACUUAUUCUACUCUUAUAGAGGGUAUGUUUCGAGCAGGGAGGCCCCAAAAUGCAAAAGAGCUUUUUAAGGAUAUGUGCUCUCAUGGUCAACAGCCAGAUAUAGUAACCUUCUCAAUUAUGAUUGAUUGCUUGUGUAGACAGGGGAAUCUCGAUGAGGCACUCACACUAUUGAAAGCAAUGGAGAAAUGUCAGUUGAAGCCUAAUGUUGUGAUCUAUAGCAGUCUGAUCAAUGGUAUGUGCAAAGUUGGGAAGAUUAAUGAUGCCAAGGAACUUUUUUCUAGUCUUUUUGAAAUUGGUUUACAACCUGAUGUUUAUGUAUAUAAUGCAAUUAUGAAAGGACUCUGUCAACAAGGAUUAAUGGAUGAAGCGUAUAAGGUAUUUAAAGACAUGGAAAAGGUAGGAUGUUUACCAGAUAAUUGUUGUUAUAAUAUCAUCAUUCAAGGGUUUCUCAAGCAUGAGGAUUUACCAAAAGCAUCAGAACUAAUCAACGAAAUGGUUGAUAAGGGGUUCUCUGCUGAUGAUGCUACCACAGAAUUGGUCGUACAUUUAUCACAGAAUAAUAAUCUCAUUCUGAGGCUUUUAAAGGUGCGCAAUGAGGGAUCAGCAAACUAAAGUUGUUAUAUCUUGACCAUUCAAGUGUAUCUUGGACCGCAACUUGGUAAUUACCUUUUUCAAAUAUAAUAGAUAUUUUAUUUAACUAACUUCUUCAAAUAUCAUUUUUAAUUUCAAUCAGCUGUGAUUCUCUUCCACAAAAUGAAAAUUUCUAACACCGCAAAUGACCUGUGGUGGAAACCGUGAUAUGUGUGUGCCUUUCGCUUAAAUUCAGAUAUAGACUUGAUCUCUUUGAUAUAAGAUUGUUGAAGAAUGGAGGUCUUGGAUUACAAUUUUAUUUUUGGUUGCUACUACAGCCUUAACUCCAGAGCUCAAUCCUAAAAUUAAGUUGAGAACUAAAACUAAUUGGUUUCAUACUACAAUGCUUAAGAAUCUUUAUCUAUUAUUAUUUUUGUGCUCAAUGACCUUUUAAAAUGCUAUCAUUUCUCUUGUAGGUACUUGCAAGGAUAUGAUUAGAACUUUACUUUUCUAACAAUAAAGGUAUAAGCAAUUCUUUUUGCUUAAUUAUUAUAUUUUUAAUAAUAAUGAAAAUAAUGAUUAUAAACCAGUGUGCUUUAAUUGAGAAUUGAUUUAACAAUUAGACUACCCUAUAAAUGCAGGGUGCAGGAUGUACAAUCCCAGAGUACAUGGUAAGAGAAUCACUAGACUUCUACGGCUGUUGGUUGGAUGAAAUGUCACUAAAAGUAUAGACAACAGAAAAUGUUAUGGGAAUUGAGGGAAAAGCAAAAGAAGACGAUGAAAAUCAGACGUAUGCAGCCACUGAAUGUGUUGAUGGACAAGCAACUGCAAUUGGUCCUACUAGCGAUUGGAAUGCUAGUUUAGCUUCAGCUAUUUAACAGGACUUUUUGUCCAAAUUUAUUUAUGAACAAGUUCAUAAAAGGCAGGAUAGCUCUAUAUAUAACACAGGUAUAAUCAAAGAAGGUGGCAGGAAAAAUGUCAAUACAAAGAAACUUCAUCUGAUUAAAUGGAAUACUCUUUUGUUGCCUAAAAAGAAUGGAGGCUUAGGCAUGAAAGAGAUCUCUCUUCAAAUUCAAGCUCUUUUGUUCAAAUGGCUUUGGAGAUUUGAAAAUCAUAGGGAUUCACUCUGAGUUCAACUUCUUCUAUCCAAAUAUUCUUUCAAUGUGGAGAAGGGUAUCUCUCUUGCUCCAGGAAAUUGCAUUUUUUCCCGUCAGAAAGACAUUCGAGGCUAUGCUACUUUCGAUGAACUCUUCCUUCUCUCCUUGAAUUAAUAUCAGAUUUGCUGUGGGGAAUGAGAUGACAAUGAAAUUUUGGAAUGAGAGACGAUCGGUUGGUAAUAUUGCUCUCAAAUUCUCCUUUAGCAGACUAUUAAAUUUAGCAGCUAACCUAGUUGUGUUGAUGUUAAACAUUAGCUGUUGGGUGAAGAACAAAUGGGAAUGGGAAAUAAUUGAAUUGUCUAAAAUAUACUUAAUCUUUUAUAUUAUUUCUAAUAAUAUAUUUUAUUAUUUAAAUAAUUUUUAUGAAUUUAAAAUUCUAAUUUCCAUAAAUAAAUGUGGUAAUAUUUAUGUGAGAUUGUAAAUUCAAUAUUUUUUAAAAAGGUAGUUUUAGAAAAAAUAAAAUCGAUUUUGUAAACAAAUUUUGAAAAAUGGAAAACCCAAUUACUUUAAAAAUAUCCAUUUCCAUAUAAAUUUAAUUAAAAAAUAAAUAUUUGCUUCUUUUUUUUUUUAACUUUCGUUCCCCAUUAUUAUUUAUAAAUACUAAUAGUUACAUUGGAAAAUUUAUAAUUUAUUUUUAUUAAUAUAAUUUAUUUAAUUAAUUUAUAAUAUAAUAUUUUAAUUUGCAUAUAAAUUCCACAUGUUCACUCCUAUUUUAAUGGAUUAAAAAAUUAUAUAAAUAUACAUUAUUUAAAAUAUUUUAAUUUGAUUUGUUCAAUUAAUUUACUAUUUUAAUUUAAUUUAUGUUCUAUUAACAAAUAUAAUAUUAAAAUUUUUCAUAGAUUGAGUAUUUUACAUAGAAUAAAAAUAUAAAAUUAUUUAGAAUUUUGUCAUAUCUUUCAAAUUAUAAAUCACUAAGUACAAUUUAUUAUUGAAAAUUAAUAAUUUUAAAUAAAAUAAAAAUAUAUUAUUAUUGUUAUUAAUUUUGAAAUUUAUAUUGUAUUAGGAUAAAGUUUUUUAGUUAUAAUUUAUAUAUAAUUUGACUAUAAUAAUUUUUUUAAAAAAAUGUAUAUUAACGGUAAUUUUAUUAAAUAACAGAUAUUAGCAAAUAAAAUUAAAAUUUGAAUAUUUCAAUUAUAGUAAAAAAAUCAACUAAAAUUAUUUAUUUUCUUAAUGUUAUUUUAUUUUAAUUCUUUUAGAUACUUUGAUUAAAUAUAUUCAUAUAAAAUGUGAUAUUAAGAUAAUAGGAGCCCAAAUUUAAUUGCCUAUUUGCAAUAAUAAUAAUAAUAAUAAUAAUAAUAAUAAUAAUAAUAAUAAUAAUAAUAAUAAUAAUAAUAAUAAUAUUUAAUAAUAAUAAUAAUAAUAAUAUUUAAUAAUAAUAAUAAUAAUAAUAUUAUCAUUAUUAUUAUUAUUAUUAUUAUUAUUAUUAUAUAAAAAAUUAGAUAAUUAAUAAAAAUUCCUCUUCACUAGGGUGAGCAGUAUUCAGUUCAAACCGAAAAAAUCGACCGAAUCGAAUUAAUUUGAAAAUUCAGUUCGGUUUUUUAUUUAUUUCGAUUCAGUUCGGUUUUAAAUUUCAGAAAUUUUGGUCAAAUCGAUUCGGUUCGAUUUUAAUCAGAAAAAAAUCGAAAAAACCGAACCGAACCGAUUAGUAAUAAUAAUAUAGUUUUUUAAUAAUAUAGAGAAAUUAAAUCAUAUUAAAAUUAAAAUAUUUUAAUUAAAUUUUAAAAUAUUAAAAAUAAAUUGUAAAAAAUAAAAAAAUUAUUAAAAAUUGAAACCGAUUAAACCGAAUCGAAUCGAACCGAAUCAGACCGGUUCGGUUCGAUUCGGUUUCUGACCAAAAUCGAUUCGGUUCGGUUUUCAUAAAUACUAAAAUUUCAAUUUUCGGUUUAUUCAGUUCGAUUCGGUUUUGAACAGAACCGACCGAAUGCUCACCCCUAUUCUUCACUGCUUUAAUUUGCAACUUUUUUAAAAUCAAUUAAUAAACUAAUCCAGCUAAAAUAUUUUAUUUAAUGCUAAAAUUCUAAAUUUUAUCUCACUUGUUAUCCAUAUAUAUAAAUUGAAUUUCAAUUACUCUUCUGAAUUUCCUUUCGAGUUUUUUCACUCUCAAAUCUUUUUUUAAUUUAGAAAAGUUUGAUCAAUAAUGUCAUUGUGGAGAGUUUUUAACAGGAAAAUGGAUUCUCUCCCUAGGAUUUUAGGUCAAUGAUAUGCAAUCAAGUCAUUUUUUUCUUAUAAAUUACUCUCCAGUUCAACUGAUCUGAAAACUAAAACACCGCAAAUUAAAAAGGGCUAUGCAACCAUAUACGUGGAUGACGAGGGCAAGAGAUAUCAAAUUCCAAUAGAGAAUCUAAAGUUUUCGACAUUAUAAGAACCGAUUAAACAGUUUCAUGAUAGUGAUCUCGACUCCAAGAUUGAUGGGCCAAUCGUGUUGCUUACACUACUGAUAAGUUUGAUAAACUGCUAAAACUUACAAGAGAUUGUCAUAUGAAACUUUAAAAAAAUUUGAAUAAUUCUUUUCUAUAUGAUUGAAUUACUAAUAAAUUUUUAUGUUUUAUUAAAAUUACAUAUUCGAUUUCUAUUUCGAAAUCACUCAAUUAAAAUAUUUUGAGUUUUAUAAAAUCAAAAACUUUAAUAUUCUUAUCGAAUAAAAUAUUAGUAAAUAUAACAAAUAAAAUUGAAAAUGCCAAAUAUAUGAAAUGAGUUUGAGCAUUUUAAAAUUUUAUUAUAUUGAAAUCAUUUUGUAUAUUAAUUUUUUAUUAUAUUAAUUAAAAUUGUAAUAUUAUUCAAAUAAAAAAUGCUUUAAAUAACUUUUGUAAAAGUAAAGCUUGGUAAAAAAAUUAAUUUAAAAUAAAAUAAUUAAUAAUAAAAAAUUAUAUAAAAUAAAAAUCAAUUAGAUUUUUCAUGAAAUUUUAUUCAAUAUUAAAAAUAAAAUUAACUAUUUAUAUAACCGCCUUUAAUUAGGUACCCAAUAUUGUAUAAAAAAAAUAAUAUAGAAGUAAUAUAUAUGUAUAAUUAACAUACACAAUGUCUACAAAUAGGCAAUAGCCAAUAGCACUUUAGCAAUGAUAAAUUAUUAUUAUAUAAAUUUAAUUUGUUAUUAAAUAAUAUUUUUAUAUGAAAAUUUAAUAAAAAAUUACAAAAUGUGGUGCAUAUAAACAACAGAGUAAUGCAUUUCCUUUACCAGCAGGCAGAGAGCCUUCCUUUUCCAAUUCUCUAUUUCCUUUCCUCAUUCCCAAUCUCCGAUCCAUCCCUAAAAACAACUGAAGAGAGAUAUGAUGAUGAAGAUGCCUUGGAGGAGGAAGAGCAGGAGCUUCCAUCUUCAGCUACAAGGGGCAAUUGGUACCAUUCAAUCUCCAUUCCUAUUCUUAUUUACCAAUUAUUGCCAUUCUUCUACUUCCACACUUGAAGAUGCACGCUUCUUCACAAAUAACUUCAAAUCUGCUUCUUUUACCCGCCUUCAUGAUGCCAUUGCUUCCUUUAAUCAUGUAAUUCAUAUGAAUCCUCUGCCUUCUAGGGUUCAUUUUAAUAGAUUCUUAUCUGCCCUUGUGAAAAUGAAACAAUAUCACACUGUCCUUUCCAUGUCCAAAACAAUUGAAUUUCUAGGAAUCUCACACGAUGUUUAUUCUCUUAGCAUCUUAAUUAAUUGCUUCUGCCACUUACACCUCGGGGAUUUUGGCUUCUCUGUUUUUGGUAAGAUGCUCAAAUUCGGAUUGGAGCCUACCACUGUGACAUUUACUACCUUAAUUAAUGGGCUUUGUAUGGAGAGUAAAAUCGACAAAGCAGUAGAAUUUUUCGAUGAUAUGGUUGCACGUGGUUAUCAACCUAAUGUUUAUACUUAUAAUGUGAUAGUAAAUGGAAUGUGUAAAUUUGGGAAAACAAGUGUGGCUAUUGGGCUACUAAAGGGAAUGGCUGAUAGAGGUUGUGAGCCAAAUGUUGUGACAUACAGUGCAAUCAUUGACGCCCUUUGCAAGGAUGAGCUAGUUGGUGAGGCUUUAGAGCUCCUCUCUCAAAUGAGGAAUAAGGGCAUUUCACCUGAUGUCAUCACUUACACUGGUUUAAUUCACGGUGUUUGCAAAUUAGGCCAAAAGAACCAAGCUUUGGCCUUGAUGAAUGAAAUGGUGGAGCAAAACAUAUUACCAGAUGUUUAUACCUUCAAUGUAUUGAUUGACGCUCUUUGUAAGGAUGGAAUGGUUGCAGAGGCUCAAAAUACAUUCAAUGUAAUGAUUCAAAGAGGUGUAGAGCCUAAUGUGGUCACCUACAGUUCCUUAAUCGAUGGUCUUUGCAUUUCAGACCAAUUCAAGGAAGCUUUGGCCUUGUUGAAAGAAAUGGUGGGGAGGAACAUAUCCCCUGAUGUUUUUACCUUCAAUAUAUUGAUCGACACUCUUUGUAAGAAAGGACUGGUUUCAAGUGCUGAGAAUAUAAUCAAAAUAAUGAUUCAAAGAGGUGUGGAACCUAGUGUUGUCACCUAUAGUUCAUUGAUGGAUGGAUAUUGUCUGUGCAGGGAAAUUGAUAAGGCUAGAAAGGUAUUUGAUCUGACCAAUGAAAUAGCUGACAUUUUUAGCUACAGCAUUUUGAUCAAUGGAUAUUGUAAGUGCAAAAUGAUAGAUGAUGCAAAGGAACUUUUUGAUGAAAUGUCUGAUAAAGGUUUAGUUCCUGAUGUUGUUACUUAUUCUACUCUUAUAGAGGGUAUGUUUCAAGCAAGGAGGCCCCAAACUGCACAGGAGCUCUUUAAGAAUAUGUGCUCUCAUGGUCAACAGCCAAAUAUAGUAACCUUCUCAAUUAUGAUUAAUGGCUUGUGUAGACAGGGGAAUCUCGAUGAAGCACUCACCCUAUUGAAAGAAAUGGAGGAAAGUCAGUUGAAGCCUGAUCUUGUGACCUAUUGCAUUCUGAUCAAUGGUAUGUGCAAAGCUGGCAAGAUUAAUGAUGCCAAGGAACUGUUUUCUAGUCUUUUUGAAAAUGGUUUACAACCUAAUGUUCAUAUAUAUAGUGCAAUUAUGAAAGGACUCUGCCGAGAAGGAUUAAUGGACAAAGCAUAUCAGAUUUUUAGAGACAUGGAAAAGGGAGGAUGUUUACCGAAUAAUUGUUGUUAUAAUAUCAUCAUUCAAGGGUUUCUCAAGCAUGAGGAUUUACCAAAAGCAUCAGAACUAAUCAACGAAAUGGUUGAUAAGGGGUUCUCUGCUGAUGCUACUACCACAGAAUUGGUAGUACAUUUAUCGCAGAAUAAUGAUCUCAUUCUAAGCAAACUACGAAAUCGUUCUGAGGCUUCUAAAGGGGUGCAAUGAGGGAUCAGCAAACUAAAAUUGUUAUAUCUUGACCGUUCAAUGGUGUCUUGGAGAGAAACUUGGUAAUUACCUUCUUCAAAUGUAGUAGAUAUGUAAUUUAACUAACUUCAAAUUUCAUGUUUAAUUUCAAUCAGCUGUGAUUCUCUUCCACAAAACAAAAAUUUCUAACACUGUAAAUUACCUGCAGUGGAAACCAUGAUAUGUUUGUGCCUUUCUCUUGAACUCAGACAUGGACUAGACCUCUUUGGAUAUAAGAUUGUUGAUGAAUGGAGGUCAUAGAUUUCUAAUGAUCAAGUUGCUGGUAAACCCACCAUCUUCCUUACAAUUUUUUUUUGGGCUGCUACUACAGCCUUAACUCGAGAGCUUAGUCCUAAAAAUGAGUUGAGAACUAAAACUACUUGAUUCCAUGCUAUAAUGCUUAAGAAUCUUUAUCUAUUUUACUUUUGUGCUCAAUGACCUUUUAAGAUGCUAUCAUUUUUCAGUAAACAUGCUGCAUUAGGACAAUAACUUGGAGAUUGGAUCAUAUAUUUUGAUUUUUACUAGUAAGAAUGCAGGUGUUAAAUCAGUGAACUAGCAGGUGUUAACACCUGCUUUCUGUAUCAUUUUACCAAAGCUACUCAUGCCUGUUUCCGUCCAUUAGAAUUUAACACCUACUAGUUUAUCAUAUACUUGCAUUACUUGUAAUAAGUUUAUGCUCCCAAAAUGAUUUCUAUUUAUUGCUAGUUUAUUACUUGUAGUAAGUUUAUGCUCAAAAUAAUUUAUAUCUAUUGCUCCUUGAGUUAAUACUUAUAACUUGAACUAGAGUUAAUACUUACUCCUUGAGUGCAAGUUUUAACACCUACUUGUUGAGUUUAAGUAUUAAUUUGAGCUUUUGCAACAGGUACAUCUGAGCUUUAGCAUGGUGCAGUAUGUCUUCCACCAGUCCAUCGGGUCUUUUCCCACAUGCCUGAGAUGAAGAUGGAUUAGAUGAGCAAAUCCAGGAUUUUUGUUGAUUACUUGUUGUACACAUUUUGGGGUACUAUUUGUUUUGGCAUUUACUACAAAAAUAUACUUUUAAUUAUACAUUUUUUUGUGGUUGUACUAGAUUAUUUAUGUGCAAAUUUAAGUUCAAAAGACUUUUCUUUUUAUUAUAAUUGAAUACAUCAGAUUUGUGGUUGAUUUGUGUUAUAUUAUGCAUUUAAUAGGUUGGUUUUGUGAUAUUUGUAAUUAUUUUGGAUCGGUUAAAUAAAAAUUGCAAACGAAAAUGCAAUUGAAAAUCUGGUUCAAAUUUCGUAAAGGGUGUAAGGAAGCAACAUUGAGUCACUUUGCUCUGUAGAUGAUUUGUUUUUGUCUUGUCAUGGGGCUAGGAAUUUGGUCUGUGGGCUUGGAGAGGCCUUGAAGUUGAGGAGGUUUUAGGAUUGCAAGUAAAUGAGUCUAAGAGCUGUGUUUAUCUUGCAAGAGUGCUAGAGGAGAUUAAGCAGCAAAUUCUACAAUUCCUCAAUUUCAGGGAGGCAUUUCUUCCUGUUAUCUAUUUGGGAUUACCUCUGGUAUCUACUAGUAUUAAAAAAGAGCAUUUUCAGAAGCUUAUUAGUAUAAUAACUAGUAGAAUUGACUCAUGGUCUGCUAAAUAAUUAUCCUAUGCUGGUAGGGUACAUGGUGAGGAAUAAGUUGAAAAGCCUCAGUUUUUGGGGAUCUCUAAACCUUGUAAUGCUAGUUGAUCUUGAAAGAAUUGGUGAAAAUUAGAGAUUGUUUUAGAAAGCAUUGUGCAUAUAAGUUGGGAAGAGGGGUUUUUCAUUUUGGUAUGACCCUUGCAUGGGUGGGAAAAGUCUUGUUGAGAGGUCUCUGAGUUGAAUAUGGGAUAUUCUGACAUCAUAGACAUACUAAGGUGAGGGAGGUUUGGAGGGAUGGUAUGUGGAGGCUUCCUAAUCCAUUGGGUUCCACUAUGGAAGGAGCCUGGGAAGAGGUUCAGAAAUAUUACGUAAGCAAUGAAUGGGCAGAUUGUAUUAAAUGGAAACUCAUAGACUUACACUGUUAAUAGUACUUGGAAAGUCCUAAGAAGGAAGGGUGGAGUGGUUAAUUGGUGGAAGGUGGUGUGGGGUGAGCGUAUUCCCAGGCACAGUUUUAUAACCUGGUUAGCUAUCUAUAGUAGACUUGUUGUCAAAAAGAGGCUACUUAGAUGGGGAAUGGUAAAUAAUGCGUGGUUUUGCUUAUGAUUACUUAAUAUUAAUUAGAUUAAUGAUCACUAAUAGAUAAAAGUGUCUGAAGGAAAGAGACACUUAUAAAGAUUAGUGUGUAAAAUCUAUAUGAUUAUUUAAUAUUAAUUAGAUUAAUGCUCACCUAUCGAAAAAGGUGAAAUUAAGUAAAAAGGUCAUGUUUUUUUAGUAAAUUGUAUCGCUCACGAUUAAGUAGAAAUGUUCUUGUGACAAUACUUUACAGUUUUGGCAUGGUGCAGUAGUUAGGAGUAUAAAUGAAUUAAAUUAUUUGUUUGUGAGUUAUUUGAGAUUCGACUCGAUAAAAAUUUAAUCGGGCUCGAUCUAAUUUAUAUACAAGCCAAGUUCGAGCUUAAUUUUUAGACUUGUUUAGUAAACGAGUCAAGUUUGAACUCCAUAGUAUUCGGCUCGUUAAAACUUGUGUGCUCGACUCUUUUCCGAGUUUAUGAACAGAUUCACAAAUAGGCUCGUAAAUUAUCUCGUUAAGUAGGCUGAGAUUAACAUCAUAAGAUAAAUAAAUUCAAAUCAUGCAUAUAUUUUCAUAAGCCAACCUAAAUUUUCUAAAGUUCAAGUCUACAUAGUUUAAUUACAUUUUUCAAACUUGCAGAUAUUUGGAUCGUUAAGAUUUAAGAGCUCAUUCUUUACAAGUUUGUGAGUUAAUUUUUAUAUAUAUUUAUUGAAUUAAAAUUAAGUAUUUGAUUGUCUAGUAUAACUUGGUUAAGUGACUAAAAGAAUAUGUAAUUCAUCUGAAAUUAUAAAUUCAGUUUUCACUCCUCUAUUUCCCAAAAAAUAAUUAUUAUAAUAAAAUAGAUAAUUGCUAAAAAAAUCUUACAUUUUUAAUUUUAUUACGGUUAUACCUUAAACUUUUAAAUUAUUAUCGAUUUAAUCGUGAAAUUUGUUGAUGUGUCAUACUGAUAUGAUAUUGAUAUGGCGAAUGACGUGGCAAUUCUGUUAGUUUUUAACGGCACAAGUAACAGUAGGGUAUAAUUAGAACAACUUUAAAAGAUAAGGGUUUAAUUGACACAAAAAAAAAAGUAUAGAGUGUAAUUACAAUAAAAUCAAAGUACAAAAUUUUUUUUUCCAUUAACGGUUGAACAUAUUAGUUUUAAACUAAAAAUCAUUAUAUAUGUACAUAAAUUGAACUGUUCAUGAAUUAUUCGAUAUUAAACUUGAUAAAAACUCAACUCGUUUAAGUCUGUCUGCUAAAUGAGGUUUAAGUUUCUUUACUAAAUGGGGCAAGUUUGAAUUUAUCGAUACUUGAUUGGAGUUCGAAAUAAGUAAAAAUUGAGUUUCACUCAACCUCAAAGAACUUUUAAGAAAUUAAGUUUAAGCUUUUCAAAGUUUGGAUCGUUUCACUCACACCCCUAACAGUAACUCCUCCAUUCAGUCCUUUCUUGUGAGUCUCAGAUGAAGAAGGAUUAGAUGAGGAGAUCAAAAAUCUUUAUCCGUUACUUGUGGAUUAUUUGUUAUUUACAUUUGUAGAUAUUAUUUAAUUUUAUGUUUACAAUAAAAAUAUACUUUUAAUUAUGAAUUUCAUUUUGGUGUUGUAUUGAAUUAUUUAUGUUCGAAAUAAUUUUUGAUUUAUUGUUUCAAUGCACUAUAUUUGUAGUUGAUUGUAUAAAUAUUGGGUUUUUGAUAUUUACAGGUGUUUUAGAUUAGUGGCAUAAAAAUUAUAAAGAGAAACGCAAAUUAAAAGUAUAUUUAUAAAAUUACAAAUAAAUUUAUAAAUAAAUAUUUUAUUACAUUUACAAACGGUGUCGUAUAUAAUUUAGCAAGCAAUGUCCAUAAAUAGAUAAGUUUAAAUUACAAAUGGACUUAAUUUUUUGUAUGAUUAAUGAAUUUAUAAAUAAAUAAAUUAUUUGAAUUUUAAAUGAAUUUUACAAAUAUAUAAACAGUUUGAAUUACAAAUAUAUUUCAUAUCAGACAUUUAUAUCAUAAAUAUUUUUAUAAAUAGAUUGUCCAUUUUAUAUCAUAAAUGAAUUUACAAAUAAAUUAUCUGUUUAUACAUAAAAUUUUAUUUAUAAAUGAGAGAAUAUAUAAUAAAAAAUUUUAUUUUUCAUUUCAAAAAUAUUACAUAUGAAAUUUACAUAAAGUUUGCGAUCGUAUAUUAAAUUACAAAUGAAAGUGCAUAAUUUUCAACUAGAUUUUUUCAUGUGUAAUUUUUUUUUUUUUUUUUAGUGGCAAGUCUAAUAAGAAUGUUGAACAAAUACUUGGUCUCUUUUUAUUCGCAGACGAGACAUUACAGUGGUAAAAGUUAGGAUCUUUUUAAUAGGAUUUGAACAAUAUAAAUAAAAACAAAGGCUGGGGGAGAAAUAAUAGGAUUGCAAAAAAUAUAUAAGAUAAUUUAUUAUUAUAAAAAUAAAUGAAUAAUCUUAUUUAACAUUUAUUCGCUAAUAAAAAUUAAAUAAUUCAAUAUAUUUUAAAAAUUUUAAGUUAUAAAAUUCUAAUAAUGUGAUAUGAAAAUAUAUACAAUAAUUUAAUAUUAUACUAAAAAGGAAUUAUUUUUAUUUAAAUUAAUUAAUAACAAAAUUAAAUUAAUCAAUACUUUGAAUAAAUUUCAACUUAUAAAAUUAUAGUAAAAAAAAUAAGAAUUCUAAUAUCAUCUCAAACUCAGUUUUAAAAUAAAACUCCUUCUACAUUAUUUACAUAGGAAUAAUAUUAAUAAAUUAAACUAAUAUUAUGUUUUUAAUGGAAUAAAAUAAAAUGAUAUAAAAUAUUAAUGUGGUUGAUUAAUUUUGAAAUUCUAAUACAUUUUUAAAGUUAGUGUACAGUAAAAUUAAUAUAAAAUACACUUAAUUUAAUUAAUUAAAUAAUAACUUUAAUUGAUUAAAAUAUAUACACAUAAAAACUCCAUGUGAUUAAUAAAAAAAUAAUAACUUUAAUUGAAUGAAAUAUAAAAGUUUAAUGUAAUCAAUUUUUAAUAAAGAGUGAACUAUAUUUAUUAUAAAUUUAUUAUAAUAAUGAAUAAUUAAAUUUAAUUAAUUUAAAAUUAAUAAUAAUAAUGAUCAUAAGAAUAAUUUAUAUAAAAAAAUAACGUUAUAAAAAUUUAAGAUGCUAUAAAAUUUUUUUAAUAAAGUUUAUUGGUGCAAAUAUAUAUCUAGUUUUUCUUAAUUCAAUUAUUAUCAAUUUAUUUUACUCUUUUAAUAAUUACUCUCUUAAAAUAUGUUAGAGAAACACUUUUUUUGUAAGUUUUAUACCAAACGUACUUUAUAUUCAUUUGAUAAAUCUGCUAAAAUUUAAUUUAUUGUACAGAAUUUAAAAUUAUUUAUUUUUCUUUUUAAAAAAUAAAAAAAAUCUUUGUUUUACCAUGUUUCAGCUUUUAUGUAAUUAAUAUGAAUAAAGAUUGGUUUUAUACUUAGUAAAAUAUAAAUUCAAGUAAAUUCAUGUAUAGAUUUGUCCUAAAAUAUAUGUAAAAUGUAAUGUAAUUAAUAUCAAUAAUAGUAUUUAGUGAUGGUAUCCUCAGCAUAUAUAAUGUCGGGUAUAAAUUUGUAAAAUAAAUAAAUACGGAAUGGUUGGUUGUGGAUAAUUUUUGUGAUACUUAGGUCAGUAAGUGAUUUAUCAGAAAUUUUAAAAUAAAAGGUAUAGAGAAUAGUUUGAUUAAAAGAGUAUAUACAUGAGGUGUCUUUUUAUAGGUCUAAAGUUGGUUGAUUUUUGGUAGAAGUAGGAUUCUUUUUUGAAAUCUAUUUUUGUAACGACCCGGAAACCGGACCGCUACCGGCGCUAGGAUCCAGAUCGACUUAAGGUCGCCGGGAUCCGUAGCAAACCUACUAUACAACCUGUGUACCUGAUAAAACCCAUACAUGAUCAUACAUUUUCAUAACAUUUUAAAUUUUUCAUAUGCAAGCUUGACCUGUGCAUGCACCAUAGCCAAAAACACAAAACCCCUAUACUAGAGCCCUCAUCAAAUGCUCUAGUAGGGUCAACAUUUCAUACGUCAAGCUUGGUUCAACAUACCUCAUCAUUAAAAUAUUUCAUAUAGAUCAUGUAUAAAAGGGUUUAACCAUACAUCACUAGGGCAAAGCACAAUUCUAUCCAUAAUACAUUACAUUACAUUAUAUUACAUUUCGUUCCAUAUCAUGUUCACUACUGUUCUAUUACAUAACAUAACUAUUACUCUUGCUGACUUCUUGAGCUACCUCUGACCUGCAAACUGGGGGUUAGGGGAAAUGGGUGAGCUACUAAGCCCAGUGAGCAGAACCAUAAAACAGUUAAAUAAUCAUAUGCUCAUAUGGAAUGCACCACAACACAAACAAUACACAUUAAGGAUGGACUGACCCAAAAAUCCCUCUACUCUGUGCCCGGCCCUCGGUGGAGCUCCUCAUGACUUCUUUACUUACAUAAAUUGCGUGCCAGGGGCGUAGAAUGGGCAAUUCUGGUCUUUCAUUACAUAACAUAAUAUGUAGAGGGCUAAUGGUCGUCCUGUUGUCCAUCCACAUCAACAACCAGUUAUGCAGUGCAGCAUAUUCGUGAAGUCUAAUGCAAACAACCUAUUACAUAUACAUGAUGCGUGAACAUGCUUAAAACAUUUGAUUUCUUGAGAUAAAAGAUUAGUUUAGUUCUACUCACCUCUGACUGACGCUUAACUAACUCUGAAGCAGCUAGCUCACUGCUGGUCUCUUCGGUCUCUCGGCUCCGAACCUACACAGGUGGACUCAAAUGAGGGACCAAACAUACUCUAUAAAGACUCUAAAUAUAGCCCCCAAAACCCCCCAAAGCAUCAUAAAACAUGCAUGCAAAACAGGCAAGGGAAGGCUGGACAGAGGACUUUCGGCGGCAGGUUCGGCGGCCGAAGGUCCCUACAGAUCCGAAAGUCAAGCACUUUCGGGGGCAGGUUCGACGGCCGAAACUUCACUCUAGAGACGAAAGUCACCAACCUUCGGCUGCUGAAACUCCUCUCCAGAGCCGAAAGUUCAACUUUCGGAGGCGAGCUUAGGCGGCCAAAACUGCCUCCACAGUCAGGUUCGACGGCCGAACAUGGCUUCGGCGGCCGAACCUGGAUCCUUCUGAGUGGCAGAACCCGAUUCUGCCAUUCCACAUCUAGCCUCCCAAAACCUUCCAAACUCAAACUCAACACACCAAAGCAUGCAUAAACACAUUCUUAAGCAUAUAGGGGCAUAAAACUAGCCUAAACCCCAACAUAACAUCACAUAAACAUACAUAGAGCAUACAUUCAAUAUAAACCCUAACAUUUUCACAACUAACCUAAACAUGCAUCAACAACCCAUAACCCCCUUAUAAAACAUACUUAAAACAUAAAAAAGGGUAUGGAUCUACACUUACCUCUUGAAGAUCGAGAGGAGAGGUGAUCCAAACUUGGAGAUUGGGAGAAAUCGAGCUCCGGGGUCUCCAAGCUUCAAAACUUUAAUCUUAGCUUAAAAACUUCAAAAUAAGGGUAAAAACUCAUCAAAAACAUAAUUGAUUUGUAGGAAAACAUAAAAUCAACCAAAGGAGGGCGAAAUCUCACCUAUGCUCAAAAAUAGAGAGAGAAAACUCGUCCGUUUUCGGAUAAGGGGCUUUUUAUAGGUGGCUGGCCAGACCACCUUCGGAGGCCAAAAGUGCCUCCGCAAGAGGCCAAUGUUCGGAGGCCGAACAUGAGGUUUGGCGGCCGAACCUGGCUUUUUUCCUCCUUGGUCUUUUCUUUCAAAACUCAAUUUCCUUCUUCAUUAAAACCAUAAGAACAUAUAAAAAUAUUUUAGAAAACCUUUAUUUUCACCAUUCUAAGGGAUUCCGGCCUUAAGAUUCCAGAUUUCAACGGAAAUUCCGCUGGAAAAUUGGAAUUCCGGUGCCGGAACUUAGCCAGGUGUUACAAUUUUGGUCCUAAAUUGUAGAAUUUUACUUUAAAGACUUUUUACUUAUAUGUGAUUUAGAAUCCUAAUUGUCAUACGACUUUUACGUGAUUUGAACAAUGUUGUCUAUUUGGAUUUCGGCCUAGUAGGCCGAAGCCUUCGGCUCCGUGAUCGUCACCUUUGGUUUCAAUCCUAAGGCUGAGACCUCGUGUUGAUAUUAGCCUUGAGGCUGAAAUCUUGAGGUCUCGACAUCCAUUUAGCAUUUUGGAUGCCGAGAUCUAAGAGUUUCGACCUUUCGGUCCUAAAGCCGAACACCUUUGAGUAUCAGAACCUUAUUUCUCACUAAAAUGCAUCGCUUAGAAUCAAGCAAAAUAUGACAUAUUUUUAAACUAAUAUAAAUGAUUAAUUAUAUAAUAUUAUGAUAUAGACACUAGAGAGCAUUUUAGUUUUCUUUUUUUUUUCUUUAUAUAUAUAUAUAUAGACACUUGAGUUUAUCUUAUAUAUGUCUAUAAAUGGUAGUUUUAGAAUUUAAGAUAUAAAUAUAAAUAAUAAGGUAUUAUUAUUUAAAUUGCCAAAACUACAUUUAAUAAUUGUAAGUUUGAUGAGUAGCAGAACUCACCACUUGUUUCUUAUUAAAUUUCAUAAUUUUAAUAUAAAUAAUUAAUUUUUACUUAAAAUUUAAUUUUGUUCAGGUUUUUAAGCGGAAGUUAAAGAAAAGGAACGCAAAUAGGCUUAAUUAAAAGAUUUUCAAAUUGAGAGUUACAGUAUUGGGUAAGCCUGUAGUCCAAGACAAUGGACAGCUUCCGAUUUCAAAAAAUGCAACUUCAGCCCAAUUUUUUCAGCUGUAUUAAUAUAAGAUCAACUUUAAAUUGGAGCAAAUACAAUCAUAUUAGAAUAGGGAUAAGAUAGAAGUAAUAAAAUUUAUUUUAAAUUGUAAAUAUUUAUAUUUUUGUUGGAAAAAAAUCCAUAUAAAGGCUACUCAAAAAUUAAUCUAGGUAUCAUAUUUUUCUCUUCUUCUUCUCCCCUCUCAAAUUUGGCCACCUCCUUGCUGUCCCCUUCUUCUUCUCUUUAGUUUUUGUAAUUUUAUCAUGACUCUUAGGGAUUGACCAAUUCUUUUCAAUUGAAAGUUAAUCUAAAUUGAGGUUUUAUUCAAGUUGUGAGAUUAUGUGCUUAAAUUCUCUUCCUAUUAUUUCUAUUUUCUAUUAAUUUCUAUUUUCAAAAAAUACGACCUCGAUUGUUGUCCUCUUAGAAAUUAAGGGGCCCAUUGAAUCUCUUGGAAAGACAACAUAUUACUCAUUAACUCAAUUAAAUUCGUAAUUGUUUAAUUGAGUUAAUAAUAAAUACUAAUUAUGUUAAGAAAUUAGUUUUGAUUUAAAUAAUUCGCGUGUUAUUAUUGAUCAAAUUUAGUGCAAACUUCUUUUCUUUUGUUGGAGUGGUUUGACGUCUUUGUCAACAGACAACUUAUGAGCAGUGAGAGCGAAAUUCACUCUUAUUACAUCUUUUGGAGACCAAGCGAAAAUGGUUACUUGGCAAUUUAGCAACUCUAUUAAAUAAGUCUUUGUUUCACUGGUUAACGCAAUACCGAACCGUACUUUUUGAUUCUUAUCUAAUUCAACCUUUUCUACUAGGUCUCUAGCUCUGUUUUUAUGUGAGAUUCUGGCUUCUUUAGCAAGUCAAUGGGUAUUGUGGCUUUCUCGAGACUUUUUGCGGGGUGUUCGUAAUAUUCUUUAGCCAAUCUCAGGCUACCUCAGACCACGGUUAUCCCCCUGGAGCUGUUAACUUAAGACACAUAGUAUCCGUGUUAAUAACAAUACUGUGACAGUUUAGAACUGGGCGACUGAGUAUCACAUGGUACACAAAUGAGAUAUCUACCAUCGCAAACUCUACAUACAACUCUCGCCUAUAUUUUUCGUCACCCAGGGAAGGUUGAUGGUAUCUACUACUGUCACGGACUUAUCUCCUAAGAUAGGAAACUUUGACAAGACUGUUUUUAUCUAAAUCUAACUUGUUAAAAAUAUUUUAUAUGAGAAGGUUAAUGGAACUAACUGUAUUCACCCAUACUCGCCUUACUUCGAAUCUAUUUUAGAAGGAUUUUAACAACCACUAGGUCAUUUUGAAAGAAUCCAAUCACUUUACCUACAGGACCAAACCUUUAUUUUUUCCUUUACCCUUGUCAUGUCCUCUAUAAUGAUAUGUAUGAUUCCGGCCAUUUAGCUAUUUCAAGAUAGAGAAGAGAUAUUUCUUUUUUAGAGAAUUAGAUAUAUUAUAUGACCCUAUUUACGCUGGACUGUAUCUGAUAACGGUUACUUUACAUUGAAAUCUUGAUAAUCAACCGCAUAUUUAAAGUGUCUGAAUUUUUCUUUUCUCAAAUGAAAAAGUAUUACUUAUUUAUAAGGUUCUUGUCAUAUCACCCUAUUUUAUGGCAAUAACUUAUAAAUUUAUUGUAUUUUAUUAUUAUUUAUAAAUAUUUAAUUUAAUUGAUUAAUUAUAUCAAUUUUCUAUUUAAAUUUAAAUAAAUUUUAUUAUAAGAACCCACUAAAAUUUAAAACUUCUUAUAAAAUAUUAAUUUUAUAAUAUCAAUACUUGAGUUGGCUAAAAAUUUCAGCAAUAAAUAAUUCAUGCUAAUAAUUUUUACUAAUUAAUAUUUCAUAAAAAUAAUAAAUCGGCAUAAAAUUUAUUUUUUUAAUAUUAUAAUAAAUAGAUAUAAAAAUAAAAGUAUUAGUAAUCAAUACUAUUUUAUAAAAAUAAUAUAAAAAAUGAAUUUUAAAGCCAUUUAAAUUUUUGAUAAUUUUAUAUUUUAAUGUUUAGGUUCACACAUUAAUUUAAUUUUUUUAAUUUAAAAUUUAUAUAACCGCCUUUAAUAUACACAAUGUCUACAAAUAGAAAGUAGGUUAAAAAAANNNNNNNNNNNNNNNNNNNNNNNNNNNNNNNNNNNNNNNNNNNNNNNNNNNNNNNNNNNNNNNNNNNNNNNNNNNNNNNNNNNNNNNNNNNNNNNNNNNNNNNNNNNNNNNNNNNNNNNNNNNNNNNNNNNNNNNNNNNNNNNNNNNNNNNNNNNNNNNNNNNNNNNNNNNNNNNNNNNNNNNNNNNNNNNNNNNNNNNNNNNNNNNNNNNNNNNNNNNNNNNNNNNNNNNNNNNNNNNNNNNNNNNNNNNNNNNNNNNNNNNNNNNNNNNNNNNNNNNNNNNNNNNNNNNNNNNNNNNNNNNNNNNNNNNNNNNNNNNNNNNNNNNNNNNNNNNNNNNNNNNNNNNNNNNNNNNNNNNNNNNNNNNNNNNNNNNNNNNNNNNNNNNNNNNNNNNNNNNNNNNNNNNNNNNNNNNNNNNNNNNNNNNNNNNNNNNNNNNNNNNNNNNNNNNNNNNNNNNNNNNNNNNNNNNNNNNNNNNNNNNNNNNNNNNNNNNNNNNNNNNNNNNNNNNNNNNNNNNNNNNNNNNNNNNNNNNNNNNNNNNNNNNNNNNNNNNNNNNNNNNNNNNNNNNNNNNNNNNNNNNNNNNNNNNNNNNNNNNNNNNNNNNNNNNNNNNNNNNNNNNNNNNNNNNNNNNNNNNNNNNNNNNNNNNNNNNNNNNNNNNNNNNNNNNNNNNNNNNNNNNNNNNNNNNNNNNNNNNNNNNNNNNNNNNNNNNNNNNNNNNNNNNNNNNNNNNNNNNNNNNNNNNNNNNNNNNNNNNNNNNNNNNNNNNNNNNNNNNNNNNNNNNNNNNNNNNNNNNNNNNNNNNNNNNNNNNNNNNNNNNNNNNNNNNNNNNNNNNNNNNNNNNNNNNNNNNNNNNNNNNNNNNNNNNNNNNNNNNNNNNNNNNNNNNNNNNNNNNNNNNNNNNNNNNNNNNNNNNNNNNNNNNNNNNNNNNNNNNNNNNNNNNNNNNNNNNNNNNNNNNNNNNNNNNNNNNNNNNNNNNNNNNNNNNNNNNNNNNNNNNNNNNNNNNNNNNNNNNNNNNNNNNNNNNNNNNNNNNNNNNNNNNNNNNNNNNNNNNNNNNNNNNNNNNNNNNNNNNNNNNNNNNNNNNNNNNNNNNNNNNNNNNNNNNNNNNNNNNNNNNNNNNNNNNNNNNNNNNNNNNNNNNNNNNNNNNNNNNNNNNNNNNNNNNNNNNNNNNNNNNNNNNNNNNNNNNNNNNNNNNNNNNNNNNNNNNAAUUCCUUAAUUGAUGGUCUUUGCAUUUCAGACCAAUUCAAGGAAGCUUUGGCCUUGUUGAAAGAAAUGGUGGGGAGGAACAUAUCCCCUGAUGUUUUUACCUUCAAUAUAUUGAUCGACACUCUUUGUAAGAAAGGACUGGUUUCAAAUGCAGAGAAUAUAAUCAAAAUAAUGAUUCAAAGAGGGAACCUACCGUUGUCACUUAUAGUUCAUUGAUGGAUGGAUAUUGUCUAGGCAGCCAAAUUGAUAAGGCUAGAAAGCUAUUUGAUCUGAUGGUGACCAAUGAAAUAGCUGACAUUUUUAGCUACAACAUUUUGAUCAAUGGAUAUUGUAAGUGCAAAAUGAUAGAUGAUGCAAGGCAGAUUUUUGAUGAAAUGUCUCAUAAAGGUUUAGUUCCUGAUGCUGUUACUUAUCAUACUCUUAUAAAGGCUAUGUUUCAAGCAGGGAGGCCCCAAACUGCAAAAGAGCUCUUUAAGGAUAUGUGCUCUCAUGGUCAACAGCCAAAUAUAGUAACCUUCUCAAUUAUGAUUGAUGGCUUGUGUAGACAGGGGAAUCUCGACGAGGCACUCACCCUAUUGAAAGCAAUGGAGAAAAGUCAGUUGAAGCCUAAUUUUGUAAUCUAUAGCAGUCUGAUCAAUGGUAUGUGCAAAGUUGGGAAGAUUAAUGAUGCCAGGGAACUUUUUUCUAGUCUUUUUGAAAUUGGUUUACAACCUGAUGUUUAUGUAUAUAAUGCAAUUAUGAAAGGACUCUGCCAACAAGGAUUAAUGGAUGAAGCGUAUAAGGUAUUUAAAGACAUGGAAAAGGUAGGAUGUUUACCAAAUAAUUGUUGUUAUAAUAUCAUCAUUCAAGGGUUUCUCAGGCAUGAGGAUUUACCAAAAGCAUCCGAACUAAUCAACGAAAUGGUUGAUAAGGGGUUCUCUGCUGAUGAUGCUACCACAGAAUUGGUAGUACAUUUAUCGCGGAAUAAUAAUCUCAUUCUGAGGCUUUUAAAGGUGCGCAAUGAGGGAUCAACAAACUAAAUUUGUUAUAUCUUGACCAUUCAAGUGUAUCUUGGAGCACAACUUGGUAAUUACCUUUUUCAAAUAUAAUAGAUAUGUAAUUUAACUAACUUCUUCAAAUAUCAUUUUUAAUUUCAAUCAGCUGUGAUUCUCUUCCACAAAACGAAAAUUUCUAACGCUGCAAAUUACCUGUGGUGGAAACCAUGAUAUGUGUGUGCCUUUCGCUUGAAUUCAGACAUGGACUAGAUUUCUUUGAUAUAAGAUUGUUGAUGAAUGGAGGUCAUGGAUUUCUAAUCAUCAAGUUGCUGGUAAACCCACCAUCUCCAUUACAAUUUUUUUUUGGCUGCUACUACAGCCUUUACUCGAGAGCUCAGUCCUAAAAUUUAUUUGAGAACUAAAACUAAUUGGUUCCAUACUACAAUGCCUAAGAAUCUUUAUCUAUUUAUUUUUGUGCUCAAUGACCUUUCAAAAUGCUAUCAUUUCUCUUGUAGGUACUUGCAAGGAUAUGACUACAACUUCACCUUUCUAACCAUAAAGGUAUAAGCAAUUCAUUUUUGCUUAGUUAUUAUAAUUUUUAAUAAUAAUGAAAGUAAUGAUUAUAAACCAGUGUGCUGUAAUUGAGAAUUGAUUUAACAAUUAGACUACACUAUAAAUGCAGGGUGCAAGAUAUACAGUCUCAGAGUACAAGGUAAGAGAAUCACUAGACUUCUACAGCUGUUGGUUGGAUGAAAUGUCACUAAAAUUAUACACAACAGAAAAUGUUAUGGGAAUUGAGGGAAAAGCAAACAUCCUCUUUGUCACCUUUUUUUUUUUCUAGUCAUCAAGUUGGGUAUAUAUAAAUAUAGAUCCUUAAUUUCUUUAAUUUUCCUUCAAAUCAAAUUAGUGAAAUCAUUGCAUUAGCAUCUAAUAAUAUGAAGUUCACAAUCUUUUCCAAUGAAAUCAAUUUUUUAGCAUGAAAAUUUGAAUUUUAGAAAUGCUUGUGGAAGCUAUGUAUAUAUAUUCUUCCCUUUGAGAUUCUUUACUUUGUGCCAAGUUGAUUGGAUGUGUAACUGGCGAUUAAAUGUUGAUAGUUUAUAGCAAUAGCUAUCAAAUAAAGCGAGUCCAUUUUAAGGAUAUGAUUAAAUCACUUUGCUUGGCCUAAUGCAACUAUUUUCUAACUGCUUUCUAAAUUAACCAAACCUCUAUUGUAUGAUUUGUAUCCUGCUGAAGCCAAGGUACAAGUGUAGUGGUUGAGAAAUCUGCCAUUUUUUUUUUUAGUUUUUUGUUUGACAGAAAAUCUAACAAUUUAAGUGGUUGAAACUGUUGAAUCUUGUGAUAGUAAAUUAUUUACAAUUGCUGUAUAUUAAGGAAAAUUACUUAGGAAAUCAUCUCUGUAUAAGAUAUCUUUAUCGUAUUAUAUAAUAAUAAUAGAAUCAAAUAUGAUCAUUUUGUCAAUAUGGUAUAUAACGGAUAUAUUUUAGUGUUGGACCACCAUUUGAGUUAUUUGUAUGGUGCAUUUUGCGAUACUUUUAUGUGGUGGUAUGAAUGUGAAACGCAUUGUUUCUUACUGUUUGAGAUGUUAGUUAAGUUAGGCAAGAAAAGUUAUUUUGGUUGUUUCUUUUCUCCUUUCAGCAGUAUAUAAUUAGACAUGUUAUGUUUUUACCACUUUCUAAACCUUGUAAUAUACUCGAUAAAAUUUUCUUUGGGCUCUUGUUUGUACAUGGUAUUGUUCUUUUUGCUUAAUGCAUCAUUCUUGAAGUUUUUGUGACUGCAUCCAUGGGAAAUGGUUUGUUAGAGAAGGUGGGGCUGACAGGGUACAUAUUGAGAGGUAGGAAACCAAUUGCAAAAUGAUUCAGAUCCUUCUACUCUUCAAAACUCAGAUAAUCCAAGUAGGAUUCUCAUAUCUGCACCGUUAAAUUUAGUAAAUUAUUCGACUUGGAGUAUGUCUAUGACUAUGACACUUACUUUAAAGAAAGAUUUGGGCAACUUAUACACCAAUUAAAGAAAGAAAUAAGUAGUUUCAGUCAAGAAUCUAUAUGAGUUGUUGUUUACUUUACAAAAUUGAAGAAACUAUGGGAUAAACUUGGUGUUUUAAAGCAUCAUUAAAGAGUAGGUUGAAUAUGAGUUUGUUUUUAGUAUAAUUCUAUGUUCAGCCUCCUCAUUCUUAAAAGAAAAGUUAGGAAGUUAGAAAGUUGGGAGUGGAGGAAAGAGUUUCAUAUAGAUUUUGUGACUUUUGGAANNNNNNNNNNNNNNNNNNNNNNNNNNNNNNNNNNNNNNNNNNNNNNNNNNNNNNNNNNNNNNNNNNNNNNNNNNNNNNNNNNNNNNNNNNNNNNNNNNNNNNNNNNNNNNNNNNNNNNNNNNNNNNNNNNNNNNNNNNNNNNNNNNNNNNNNNNNNNNNNNNNNNNNNNNNNNNNNNNNNNNNNNNNNNNNNNNNNNNNNNNNNNNNNNNNNNNNNNNNNNNNNNNNNNNNNNNNNNNNNNNNNNNNNNNNNNNNNNNNNNNNNNNNNNNNNNNNNNNNNNNNNNNNNNNNNNNNNNNNNNNNNNNNNNNNNNNNNNNNNNNNNNNNNNNNNNNNNNNNNNNNNNNNNNNNNNNNNNNNNNNNNNNNNNNNNNNNNNNNNNNNNNNNNNNNNNNNNNNNNNNNNNNNNNNNNNNNNNNNNNNNNNNNNNNNNNNNNNNNNNNNNNNNNNNNNNNNNNNNNNNNNNNNNNNNNNNNNNNNNNNNNNNNNNNNNNNNNNNNNNNNNNNNNNNNNNNNNNNNNNNNNNNNNNNNNNNNNNNNNNNNNNNNNNNNNNNNNNNNNNNNNNNNNNNNNNNNNNNNNNNNNNNNNNNNNNNNNNNNNNNNNNNNNNNNNNNNNNNNNNNNNNNNNNNNNNNNNNNNNNNNNNNNNNNNNNNNNNNNNNNNNNNNNNNNNNNNNNNNNNNNNNNNNNNNNNNNNNNNNNNNNNNNNNNNNNNNNNNNNNNNNNNNNNNNNNNNNNNNNNNNNNNNNNNNNNNNNNNNNNNNNNNNNNNNNNNNNNNNNNNNNNNNNNNNNNNNNNNNNNNNNNNNNNNNNNNNNNNNNNNNNNNNNNNNNNNUUAUAUACAACUCUCAAUAAGAAUAUUUUAUUAUUUUAUGUAGUUAUUAAUUAUAUAAUUUUAAUUAAAAAAUAUAUGUAUAAUUAAUAUAUAAAAAUAUAUUAUAUUACUAAUACGUAAUUUAGUCAUAUAAUUAAAAACUACAAAAUAAUUAAUACAUUUAUAGUUGAUAUAAAAAAUAUACACAUAGAUAUAUACGUAUAUAUAAUCUAUUUAGGUAGAAUACACUAAAAUUAAUUAAUUAAAUUAUUUAAUUAUAUAUUUAAUAACUAAUUAAAAUAUAUGUUUAUUUUUUAAUAUCAUAGCAGCCGAAACCUGAUAUAAUUUGCUUAAUUAUUUUGAAAAUAUUUUCUAUUUAUUAUGAUCUUUCACUCUUUCAUCCUCCACAAUUUACAAACAGUUACAAAUUUAUUUAUAAAUGUUAAGAGUUUCACAAAUGGACACAACAAAAACAGUUUCUUUUCACGAUUCUAUAUUCGUUUGUACAUUUAUUUAUAUCUCGAUAAUUUUACAAAUAACUUAUAUAUUCGAUUAUAAAUAUGUUUGUAGUAAUUUAAUUUUACAAAUCAAUUAUACAUCCAUUUGUAAAUUUAUAUGUUCUUUUAAUUUUAUAAAAAACGUUUGUAAAUUCGUGUGUAUUCAUUUAAUUUCAUAAAUGAAUUAUAAAUUCAUUUACAUAUCUAUUUAUGUCUAUUUAAUUUUAGAAUGGUUAAACUUCCGUUUGCAAAUCUGUAUAUGUCCAUUUAAUUUUACAAAUAAAUUAUAAGUCCAUUUGUAAAUUAUUCUAUGUCCAUUUAAUGUUACAAACAACUUAUAUAUUGGUUCGUAAAUUUAUUUGUAGCCGUUUAAUUUUUUAAAAAAAUUAUUAUUUAGUUCUUAUGAUAUGAUAAAAUUUAUUAGUUGAUCCCUUUAUUUUAAAAAAUAAAAUAAAACAUUCUUGACAUUUUAAAAAGUCUAUUAGUUAGUCUCUCCAUUAAUUUUAGCCGUUAAGUAUUUUAAUGUUUAGUUCUUAUGCCUUGAAAAAUUUAUUAGUUAGUCCUGCAACUUUUUAAAAAGUCUACUAAUUAGUCUCUCUGUAUCAGGGGCAUUUUAUAAUUUUUUGCAAUACUUAGGGGUUAAAAAUAACAGAAUGAUCAAUUAGUAAAUUUUUUUAAAACGUCAGGAAUAUUUUAAUGUAUUUUCAAAACAGAGGAACCAACUAGUGAGUUUUGUCAUACUAUAGAGACUAAAUAAUUAAUUUUUCUUAAUUUUACAAAUCAAUUACAUGUUUGAUUGCAAAUUCGUGUCUUUUAAAUUUUACUAAUGAUUAUACUUUCAUUUGCAAAUUUGUGUGUACAUUUAAUUUUAAAAAUGGAUUAUAAGUCUGUAGCAAAUUCUUAGGUGUCUAUUUAAUAUUACAAAUGGUUUACACAUAUGUUGUGAGUUUAUUUAUGACCAUUUAAGUUUACAAAUGGUUUAUACAUCCAUUUGCAAAUUCGUGUAUAUCUUUUUAAUUUUACAAACAGUUGGAUUUUCAUUUGCAAAUUCUUAUGUGCCCAUUUAAUAUGGAUUAUACAUCCGUUUGUGAAUCUUUUUAUAAAUAUAAUAUAAGUUUGUUUAUAAAUUCAUGUAUAUCCAUUUAAUUUUAUAAACAGUUUAUAUAUUCGUUUAUAAAUAUGUUUGUGAUGAUUUAAUUUUACAAAUGAAUGACACGUCUGUUUGCAAAUCUGUGUGUCAUUUUAAUUUUAUAAACAGAUUAUAAGUUUGUUUGCAAAUCCAUAUAGGUCCAUUUAAUUUUUCAAACAGAUUAUAGGUCUGUUUGCAAAUUCUUUUCUGUCCAUUUAAUUUUACAAAAGAUUUACACAUCUAUUUGUAAAUAUGCUUGUGACCAUUUAAUUUUAUAAACAAAUUACAAGUCUGUUUUGCAAAUCCUUCUAUUUACAUUUAAUUUUAUAAAUUAAUUAGAUGUCCAUUUGCGAAUCGUUUGUAUACAUUUAGUUUUACAAACAGAUUGCAUGUCCUUUUGAGAAACUAGAUUUAUCUAUUUAAUUUUAUUAACAAAUUAUACGUCUAUUUGUGAAACUGUUUGUAUUCAUUUAAUUUCCUCUUGCUAAUAAUCUAAUCUUUCUCCCAAUGUUCAAAAUUAAAAUAAUCAAUCAUUUCUUCAUCAGCAUGCCUUUAAUCGACCCACCCCAUCUUUUUUAGUGAAUCUGACCUCCUCAUAGAUCCAUCGAUAAUUAAGAGCACUUGAGUAGUUCCACUGACUAGAAGCACCACUCAGAUCCACCUAUAGAUAUUUUGUUCGGAUAAUUUUCACUACAAAAAAUUUUUGAAUUAUCAACAGAUUUUAUUAAUAUGGUAAUUCGCUAACAAUUUCAAUCUGUUAGUAAAUUUAGGGGUGUAAAUGAAUUAAAUUGUUUUUGAGCUAUUUGAGAUUCGGCUUGAUAAAAACUCGACCGAACUUGACUCGAUUUCUAUACAACCCAAACUUAAACUUAAUUUUUAGGCUUAUUUAGUAAACUAGUCAAGCUUAAACUCUAUAGUAUUCGGCUGGUGAACUUACUCAUUUUCGAGUUCAUGAGCAUGCUCGUGAACAGUUUCGUUAAGCAGACUGAGAUUAAUAUCAUAAGAGAAAUAAAUUCAAAUCAUAUAUAUACUUUUAUGAGCUAAAUUUAAAUUUUCUAAAGUUAUUAUAAGAAAUUUUUGGAUUUUCAACAGAUUUUAUCGUUAAUCUAUUGGUACUUUUAACAGAUUUCUAACGAAUUUGAAAAUUUAUUGGUAAUUGUUAAUUGAAAAAAUUGUGUAAAAAUUCACUAACAGAUUUAAAAUCCCUUGGUAUUACUAACAGAUUUAAAAAUUCGUUGGAAAUUUAUAAAUUUAUAAAAUAAUUGGUGUUGAAAUUUACUAAUAGACUUAAAAUCCAUUAGUAAAACCGUUAGUAAUUCACUAACAAUUUCAAUCUGUUAGUAAAUUUAAUGGUGUAAAUGAACCAAACUGUUCGUGAUCUAUUUGAGAUUCGAGUCGAUAAAAACUUGACUCAAUUUUUAAAUGAGUCAAACUCGAACUUAAUUUUUAGACUUGUUUAGUAAACGAGUCAAGUUUAAACUCCAUAGUAUUCGACUCGUUAAGGUUCGUGAGCAGAACUCGUUUUUGAGUUCAUGAGCAGGCUUGCAAACAAGCUCGUAAACAAUCUCGUUAAACAAACUGAGAUUAAUAUCAUAAGAGAAAUAAAUUCAAGCUCUGCAUAUAUUUUCAUGAGCCAAAUCUAAAUUUCUUAAAGUUCAGCUCUAUAUAGUUUAAUUAUACUUUUAAAACUUGCAUAUAUUUGGAUCAUUAAGAGCUCAUCUUUAUAAAUUUACGAGCUAAUUUGUAUAUUUAUUUAUUUAGUUUUAAAUUAAAAAGUACUAUAUAUGUAAAUAAAUUGAACUAUUUGUGAACUAUUUGAAACUAAACUCGAUAAAAACUCGACUCGUCUAAAUUCGUUUGCUAAACGAGCUAAAUUUGAACUUAUUAAUACUCGGCUCAAGUUCGAAAGGAAUAAAACUCAAGUUCAGCUCGAACUGAAACAAAUUUUAACGAACCAAACUUGAAAUCUUCAAAAGUUAGUGCUGCUCGGUUCGUUUGAACCCUAAGUAAAUUUUAAAAAGUGUUUAAAAUACUAACAAACUCUAAAUCCGUUGGUAAUUUGCCCAAAAAAUUACUAACGAAUUUAGAAAUUUGUUUCUAAACUUUAUCAAUAAAUUAAUAAAUAAAAGAAAAAUGUUGAAUUUAUCAACAGAAACUAUCCGCUAGUAAAUUCAUUGGUAAAUUUAAAAUAAAAUCAUGUAUAAAACAUUUGCGUUCUUUUUUUACAACUCACAACUUUCAGUUACCAACGGAUUUAUUAACAGAUUUUAAAUCCGUUGAUAACUUUUAGAGAGAAAAAAGUUACUUUUUUUUAAAAAAAUUAAUAACAAAUUACAAAUUUAUCAGUAAUUCGUUUGUAAAUGUUACACCAGCUCCUAUACUUAUAUCAUUCAUUCAUUUUAUCAUUUUUCUUUCUUACAUUUUCUUUCUCUUUCUCUCAUUUGCUUUAUUUUUCAACUACUUUCUUUCAUUUCACUUUUUUUAUCUCAUAAAUUUUUUUCUUUUUUCUAUUAUUUUCCUAUAAUCACUUAUCCUAUUUUCUCUUGUUCUCUUUCCUCUUCUAUUAUUUUCUUCAUUCUUCAUAAUUUCCUUUCAUUUUCUCCAUUUUUUUCAUUUUUUUUCUUUUCUUUUCUCCAAUUUUCUUCCUUGUCUCUAUAAUUUUCGUUUAUAUUAGUUUUUCUAAUAUUAUUUUCUUCUAUCAUUUUCUUUCUAUUUAUAUUUUUUUCUAUUAUUUUCUCUUUAUUUAUUUUCUUCUCUAAUCAUUUGUUUACUUUUAUUCAUUUCUCUAAUCAUCUUUACUCUGCACUCAUUCUUUCUUCUUUUUCAUAAUUUUUAUUUUUCUAUUAUUUUCUUUAUUUUUCUCUUUUUUCUUUCUUUUUUCUUAUUUCCUCUCAUUUUAUACAAUUUACUUUUCUCUUAUUUUCACUUUCUAUGUAUUUUUAAUAAAUAUUAGACAUAAAUUAAAAUUUAAUAACAAUAAUAAUAUAAUUUUAAGUCUUAUUAAAUUAAUAAAAAAUUAUUAAACUCUCAAUAGAUUUACUAACGGAUUGAAAUCCGUUUGAUGGGUAUUGAUGAUAAAGGAUUAUUUAGAGUCUGUCAGGAGGUUUAACCAAUAUUGUUUAGCUAAUACCAUAUAAGAGAAAGAUAGGUUAGAAUCCGAAAAAUCUUAUUGAAAUUUUUUAAAUAUUGAAAAGUGAGUCGCUAAUAGCCAACGAAAACUAUUUAUAAAAAAAAAUCUUAAUAUGUAAAAUUGUAAAAAUAUUUUAAAAAAUAAUUAAAAUGUAAAAUUAAUCACUCAAACGAUGAAAUUUUUAUCUAGUCUCCAUGCUUGCCACUAUCACAAUUUAUUUUGUAUUGAAAAACCAGAAAUUUAUUUUAUCUAGUCUCCAUGCUUGCCACUAUUAAACCCAACUGAAAAUUUGGUGGUUGGAUUUGAACUUAGUUUGAUUCAUUCAAAUACUUAUUCUCAUUUUUUUUUAUUACUUUAUUAAUUGCAACCUACAUCUAUGUUUGGAAAUAGGUGCAGAGUAUUGGAGAAGAAGAGCUUAGAAUCCGGAGCUUGAUGAUGACUGCUAAGUGUGUGUUUGGAGAUGGUUUCUUUUCAGAAGCUGCGCGGGUCACAUUUGUUUUUACCUUGUUUAAUAUAUUUAUUUAUUAUUUAGUUUAUUUUUCAGUUAAUGAAUUUAAGUUUUAAAUCUAUAAGUAUGGUCCUUGGAUUCAGAAGGGAUGAGACACUUUUAAGUAUUAGUGUGUAAAAUCUAUAUGAUUACUUAAUAUUAAUUAGAUUAAUGAUCACUGAUCAACAAAAGUGAAGCAACCAAACUCAUGUAAAUCUUAUUUUUUUAGCAGAGUGUAGUGCUCCAAAUCAGGUAGGUGUUCAUGUGACAGGUAUUUUACAGUCUCAUUAUGGUGUAGUAGUUAGAGGUGUAAAUGAACCGAACUAUUUGUGAGUUACUCGAUCUUUGCAUUGAUAAAAAUUUGACUGGACUCAAUUCGAUUUAUAAACGAGUCAAGAUCGAGCUUAAUUUCUAAGCUCGUUUAGUAAACCAGUUAAACUUGAACUCCAUAGUAUUCAGCUCAUUAAAACUUGUGAACUCAGCUCAUUUCUGAGUUUAUAAGGAGACUCGCGAAUAGGCUCGUGAACAGUUUCCUUAAAUAGAUUGAGAUUAAUAUCAUAGGAGAAAUAAACUCAAAUAUUAUAUAAACUUUCAUGAGCCGACUUAAGUUUUCUAAAGUUCAAUAUUUUUACUCGUUAUUAAUUCAAUAUUUAUGUUAAUUCAAAAUUUUUAUGUUAAUUCAAUAUUUUCAGUCUUUAUUAAUUUUAGCUAAUCUUAUUAAUUUUUAUUAAUUUAUUCAAUAAUUUUAAUAAUUUUGUUAUUUUUAACAAAGUUUCGUGUUGAUAUAAAAAAAUAAAAUAUUUAAUUUUUUAUUAUAACCAUUUCUUUUUUUUAAUCGAAGAUAACCAUUUCAACAUUCUGUAUGAAAAAUUUAGAGAAUUAAUUAAAUGUGAAUAUUGCAUAUAAUUUGUGAUAAUCUCUCCCAUUUCAAACUCCUAACAAAAAAUCUACUGACCUUUAAAUUAAUUCUGCCAUUUUAAGAAACUAAAAACCAUAAAACUGAAUAAAUUUUAUCGUCAUAUCUUAUUAUUCUCAAAAUUAUAAACUUAAGCAUCACUCCAUAUUUAGCAAUUACCAUUAAUAAAUCAAAACGUAAAUAAUUAGAUAAUUAACAAAGAUUCUUCUUCACUGCCUUAAUUUGCAACUUUUUAAAACCAAUUAAAAAACUAAUCCAGCUAAAAAAACUUUGCUUAAUGCUGGAACUCCAAAUUUCAUUUGAAAAAUUCACUCGUUAUCCAUAUAUAUAAACUGAAUUUCAAACUAUUCUUUUUUGUUAUAAAAUUUCCUUUCGGAUUUUCUAACUCUCAACCUUUCUUUAACUUAAAAAAAUUUCAUCAAUAAUGCCAUCGUCGAAAGCUUCUAGUAGGAAAAUAGUUCUACUGAUCAGAAAGCCAAAACUCCACAAGUUCGAAAAGGCUACAUAGCCAUGUAUGUGGGUGACGAGAGUAAGAGAUACCAAGUUCCAGUGGAGAAUCUGAAGUUUCCAGCAUUACAAGAAUUGAUUAAACAAUCUCAGAAUGGUGAUCUCGACUCCAAGAUUGAUGGGCCAAUCGUGCUUGCUUGCACUACUGACAAGUUUGAUGAAACUUGCAAGGGGAUUCUCACGUUUGAUGAAACUUUAGAGAGUUUUGAAUAAUUCUUUUUUAUAUGAUUAAAUUAUUAAUAGGUCAUUGUAGUUUAUCAAAAUUAACUAUUCAAUCUCUAUUUCUGUAAUGACCCGGGAACCGGACCGCUACCAGCGCUAGGAUUCAGAUCGACUUAAGGUCGCCGGAACUCUUUAGCAAGCCUACUGUACUUUUUAUUGUACCUGAUAAAAUCCCAUACAUGAUCAUACCUUUACAAAAAAACUUAAACAUUUCAUGAAAUCAAGCUCAACCUGUGCAUAUAUCAUAAACUGAAACAUAAAACCCAUAUAGAGCCCUCAUCAAAUGCUACAGUAUGGUCAACAUACAUGCCUUGCUUGAAACAUAACUCAUACAUAAAACUUUUACAAUAAAAAAAAUCAUGUAAACUGGGAUUACAAGACUAUCAAUAGGGCAAAACACAAUUCUAAUCCAUUAUAACAUUACAUGUCCACAACUAUUCUAUUACCUAACUAUACCAGCUACUAUGCCGGCUCCCCGAUGCUAUCUUAGACCCUGCAAAGUCUGGGGUUAGGGGAAAUGGAUAAGUUACAAGAGCUUAGUGAGCAUAACAGUAAAAACAAUUUAAUAAACAUAUGCUCAUAUGAAAUGCGUCACAACACAAACAAAUCACCUUAAGAUGGACUUAUCACCAGUAACCCUCUACAUAUUCCAAAUAAUGUCCGGCCCUCGACGGAGCUCCUCAUAACUUCCUCUUAAACAUAACAUAACAUAUUCAACUGUGCCAGGGGCAUAGAAUGGGCAGCCCUGGUCUUCCAUAUCGUAUCAUAUCAUAACCUGCUCGAGGGCUAGUGGGUCAUCCAAUAUCCAUCCACAUCAACAGUAAAAAUGCAAUGCAUCAUAUUUGUGAAUUCUAGUGCAAGCAUCCUAAUACAUAAACAUGGCAUUCGUGAUGCAUGAACAUACUUAAAAGUUUAGUUACUUUAGAAAAUAUAGUUCAGUUCUACUCACCUCUGGCUGACGCUUUCUAAACACUGAAGCAGCUGACUCACUGCUGGCCUCUUCGGUCUCCCAAGUCCGAUCCUACAAAGAUAGACUCAAAUGAGGGACCAAACAUAACUCUAACAAGACUCUAAACAUCUCCCCCAAAACCCUCUAAAACAAUAUAAACCAUGCAUAGAAAACAAGCAAAGGAAGGCUGGAUAGGGGACUUUCGGCGGCAGGUUCGGCGGCCCAAAGUCCCUUCCAGAUUGGAAAGUCAGGGACUUUUGGGGGCGAGUUCGGCGGCCGAAGGUCUUUCACAGAUCCGAAAGUCACUAACAUUCGGGGGCAGGUUAGGCGGCCAAAGGCUGCCUCCACAAGCAGGUUCGGCGGCCGAAUCUAGGUCCUCCAGAAUGGAAGAACCCGAUUCUACUUCAUGCCCAAAGCCACCAAAACCUUCCAUUCUCACACCCAACUUCUCAAAAACAUGCAUACACUCACUCAUCAAGCAUAAGGGGCAUAAAACUAGUCUAAUCCCAACAAACAAUAACAAAAACAUCACAUAAGCAAACAUUCAUAAACAACCCAGCACAAACCCUAUAACAUUAUAUCUAACCAUUUCAUGCAUCAAAACCCUUAAACCUCUUUAAAACUUACUUAAAACAUAAGAAAAGACUAGGAUCUAUGCUUACCUCUUGAGGAACACGGUCUCCAAGCUUCCAAAACUUUGGUUUUAAGCUUAAAACUUCAAAAGCAAGGGAAAAACUCAUAAAUAUUUUGAAGGAUUUGAAGGAAAAACAACAAAAUUAACAAUGGGAGGGCAAGAACUCACCUUUGCCUGAAAAUGGGAAGGCAACAACAAACUCAUAAAUAUAUAUUCUUUUAUAUAUUAUAAUUUUACAUUAAUAUUAAUAACAAAUAAAAUUGAAAAUGUGAAAUAUAUGUAGUGAGUUUGAGCAUUUCAAAAUUUUAUUAUUUUGAAAUAAUUUUAUAUAUUAAUUUUUUUAUUACAUUAAUUAAAAUCAUAAUAUUAUCUAAAUAGAUGUCAAAAUAAAAAUGCGCUAAACAAUUCCCAUAAGAGUAAAGGUUGGUAAAAAAAAAAUAAUUUUAUUAUAUUAAAAAAAUAAUUAAUAAUAAAAAAUUAUAUAAGCUAAAAAUUAAUUAUAUUUUUCAUGAAAUUUUAUUAAUAUUAAAAAUAAAAUCAACAAUUUAUAUAACCGCCUUUAAUUAGGUAUCUACAAAUAGCACGUAGGUUAAAAAAAAUUAUUAUUACAAAAUGAUAAAUUUAAUUUGCUAUUAAAUAAUAUUUUUAUAUGAAAAUUUAAUAAAAAAUUACAAAAUGUGGUGCAUAUAAACAACAGAGUAAUGCAUUUCCUUUACCAGCAGGCAGAGAGCCUUCCUUUUCCAAUUCUCUAUUUCCUUUCCUCAUUCCCAAUCUCCGAUCCAUCCCUAAAAACAACUGACGAGAGAUCGAUGAUGAUGAAGAUGCCCUGGAGGAGGAAGAGCAGGAGCUUCCAUCUUCAGCUACAAGGGGCAAUUGGUACCAUUCAAUCUCCAUUCCUAUUCUUAUUUACCAAUUAUUGUCAUUCUUCUACUUCCACACUUGAAGAUGCACGCUUCUUGACAAAUAACUUCAAAUCUGCUUCUUUUACCCACCUUGAUGAUGCCAUUGCUUCCUUCAAUCAUGUAAUUCAUAAGCAUCCUCUGCCUUCUAGAGUUCCAUUUAAUAGAUUCUUAUCUGCCCUUGUGAAAAUGAAACAAUAUCACACUGUCCUUUCCAUGUCCAAAACAAUUGAAUUGCUAGGAAUCUCACACGAUGUUUAUUCUCUUAGCAUCUUAAUUAAUUGCUUCUGCCAUUUACACCUUGUGGAUUUUGGCUUCUCUGUUUUUGGUAAGAUGCUCAAAUUGGGAUUGGAGCCUGACGUUGUGACAUUUACUACCUUAAUUAAUGGGCUUUGUAUAGAGAGUAAAAUCGACAAAGCAGUGGAAUUUUUCGAUGAUAUGGUUGCACGUGGUUAUCCACCUAAUGUUUAUACUUACAGUGUGAUAAUAAACGGAAUGUGUAAAUUUGGGAAAACAAGUGUGGCUAUUAGGCUACUAAAGGGAAUGGCUGAUAGAGGUUGUGAGCCAAAUGUUGUGACAUACAGUGCAAUCAUUGACGCCCUUUGCAAAGAUGAGCUAGUUGGUGAGGCUUUAGAGCUCUUCUCUCAAAUGAGGAAUAAGGGCAUUUCACCUGAUGUCAUCACUUACACUGGUUUAAUUCAUGGUGUUUGCAAAUUAGGCCAAAAGAACCAAGCUUUGGCCUUGAUGAAUGAAAUGGUGGAGCAGAACAUAUCACCUAAUGUUUAUACCUUCAAUGUAUUGAUUGAUGCCCUUUGUAAGGAUGGAAUGGUUUCAGAGGCUCAAAAUACAUUCAAUGUAAUGAUUCAAAGAGGUGUAGAGCCUGAUGUGGUCACCUACAAUUCCUUAAUUGAUGGUCUUUGCAUUUCAGACCAAUUCAAGGAAGCUUUGGGCUUGUUGAAAAAAAUGGUGGGGAGGAACAUAUCCCCUAAUGUUUUUACCUUCAAUAUAUUGAUCGACACUCUUUGUAAGAAAGGACUGGUUUCAAAUGCAGAGAAUAUAAUCAAAAUAAUGAUUCAAAGAGGUGUGGAACCUACCGUUGUCACUUAUAGUUCAUUGAUGGAUGGAUAUUGUCUAGGCAGCCAAAUUGAUAAGGCUAGAAAGGUAUUUGAUCUGAUGGUGACCAAUGAAAUAGCUGACAUUUUUAGCUACAACAUUUUGAUCAAUGGAUAUUGUAAGUGCAAAAUGAUAGAUGAUGCAAAGCAGAUUUUUGAUGAAAUGUCUCAUAAAGGUUUAGUUCCUGAUGCUGUUACUUAUCAUACUCUUAUAAAGGCUAUGUUUCAAGCAGGGAGGCCCCAAACUGCAAAAGAGCUCUUUAAGGAUAUGUGCUCUCAUGGUCAACAGCCAAAUAUAGUAACCUUCUCAAUUAUGAUUGAUGGCUUGUGUAGACAGGGGAAUCUUGAUGAGGCACUCACCCUAUUGAAAGCAAUGGAGAAAAGUCAGUUGAAGCCUAAUUUUGUGAUCUAUAGCAGUCUGAUCAAUGGUAUGUGCAAAGUUGGGAACUUUUUUCUAGUCUUUUUGAAAUUGGUUUACAACCUGAUGUUUAUGUAUAUAAUGCAAUUAUGAAAGGACUCUGCCAACAAGGAUUAAUGGAUGAAGCGUAUAAGGUAUUUAAAGACAUGGAAAAGGUAGGAUGUUUACCAAAUAAUUGUUGUUAUAAUAUCAUUAUUCAAGGGUUUCUCAGGCAUGAGGAUUUACCAAAAGCAUCAGAACUAAUCAACGAAAUGGUUGAUAAGGGGUUUUCUGCUGAUGAUGCUACCACAGAAUUGGUAGUACAUUUAUCGCGGAAUAAUGAUAUGAGGGAUCAGCAAACUAAAGUUGUUAUAUCUUGACCAUUCAAGUGUCUUGGAGCGCAACUUGGUAAUAACCUUUUUCAAAUAUAAUAAAUAUGUAAUUUAACUAACUUCUUCAAAUAUCAUUUUUAAUUUCAAUCAGCUCUGAUUCUCUUCCACAAAAUGAAAAUUUCUAACACGACAAAUGACCUGUAGUGGAAACCAUGAUAUAUGUGUGCCUUUCGAUUGAAUUCAGACAUGGACUUGAUCUUUUUGAUAUAAGAUUGUUGAUGAAUAGAGGUCAUGGAUUUCUAAUGAUCAAGUUGCUGGUAAACCCACCAUCUCCUUUACAAAUUUUUUUUGGUUGCUACUACAGCCUUAACUCGAGAGCUCAGUCCUAAAAUUGAGGUUAGAACUAAAAUUAAUUGGUUCCAUACUACAAUGCUUAAGAAUCUUUAUCUAUUUUUAUUUUUGUGCUCAAUGACCUUUUAAAAUGCUAUCAUUUCUCUUGUAGGUACUUGCAAGGAUAUGAUUACAACUUCACCUUUCUAACCAUAAAGNNNNNNNNNNNNNNNNNNNNNNNNNNNNNNNNNNNNNNNNNNNNNNNNNNNNNNNNNNNNNNNNNNNNNNNNNNNNNNNNNNNNNNNNNNNNNNNNNNNNNNNNNNNNNNNNNNNNNNNNNNNNNNNNNNNNNNNNNNNNNNNNNNNNNNNNNNNNNNNNNNNNNNNNNNNNNNNNNNNNNNNNNNNNNNNNNNNNNNNNNNNNNNNNNNNNNNNNNNNNNNNNNNNNNNNNNNNNNNNNNNNNNNNNNNNNNNNNNNNNNNNNNNNNNNNNNNNNNNNNNNNNNNNNNNNNNNNNNNNNNNNNNNNNNNNNNNNNNNNNNNNNNNNNNAUCUAACAAUAUGAAGUUCACAAUCUUUUCCAAUGAAAUCAAUUCUAAUACUCUUUCGUUGUCUAAAAAGAAUGGAGGCUUAGGCGUCAAAGAUAUCUCUCUUCAAAUUCAAGCUCUUUGGAGAUUUGAAAAUCAUAGGCAUUUCUUCCCUUCAGAAAGACAUUCGAAUUGCGGGUAUGCUACUUUCGAUGAACUCUUCUCUCCUUUUAAUCAUAUCAGAUUGGCUAAUGAUAUAUUUUCUUAAUUUUAUUUAUUAUAAUUUUUUUAGAUAACUUUGAUUAAAUAUAUUCAUAUAAUAAUGUGAUAUUAAGAUAAUAGGAGCCCAAAUUGAAUAUUAAAUAACAGAUAUUAGCAAAUAAAAAGUUGAAUAUUCAAUUAUAAUGAAAAAUCAACUAAAAUGAUAUAUUUUCUUAAUUUUAUUUAUUAUAAUUUUUUUAGAUAACUUUGAUUAAAUAUAUUCAUAUAAUAAUGUGAUAUUAAGAUAAUAGGAGCCCAAAUUUAAUUGCCUAUUUGCAAUAAUAAUAAUAAUAAUAAUAAUAAUAAUAAUAAUAAUAAUAAUAAUAAUAAUAAUAAUAAUAAUAAUAAUAAUAUAUUAUAUAAAAAAAUAAUAAAGAGAUAAAACAAAAAUAACAGUAAAAUAUUAUUUAAUUUGUGAAAGUGUUAAAUUUGGUUGUAGAGAAAUAGAGUGGUGAUGAUCUGAGAUCCACUAAAAUAGGGUUUUAUAAGGAUUUCUUGUAUGGAAUCAAAAGCUUAUCCUUUUUUUUAGGGAGGGGUCUACCCUUUUAUCUUUUUCUUCCUGCUUGCUAGUGACGUGUAACGUCCUUCCUGUCAUUGGACCACGCGUCUCUGCUAUGAAGAUAUGGACGUACGAGGAUAUCAGGCAUCUGCCUCAUGCGUAACGACUUCUGAUUCUCUCCAUGCGUACACACGAGCGGAUCUGCGGGCUGGUCGACGGGUCUCGUUCUUAAUUCUGGGCUGGGCCGAGAGAGGAACUGAAUGCUGAGCCCAGGAGAUGGAGAUGGAGAUCUGCAUGUGAGGUCAUGCGAGCCGGGCUGAUCUGGGUGAAGAGUCCUGGUGGAGUCCGGCCUCAAGGGUUGAAUGAGACGGGCCUGCUUCAUUUAUAUGGCAUGUGGGCCUUCCUUUCGUGGGCUAUGGCCGUGGUCUAGGCCCAUAAUCGGGGUGGAGAAAUCCAGCGGUCAUCAAUUGCCCCUUUACCUUCUCGGCAGUUAUUGCUCGACUGUCGAGGGGGUAAAUACCAAGAACCAUUAUGACCGCGUCUGUUCGGAUGCAGAUGCCUUUAUAACACCCUUUCAUCUUAUUGCCACUUCUCAGUUUUUGAAUCUGGUCUGCCUUUUUCCCUUUCCGGCUUUUCCUUAUUCUUCGUGUACCCUGCCAUCUUUGCUUUCCUGCCAUUAUCGUCCGGACACGCAUUUUCUUUCUUUUUCCAUGAAUAGCUUUUAAGGAUCCUGACAUUGUCAGCUUAGAGUCUAGCACCACCCUACCUUGCACUAAAACCCCAACUUUUGGGUAUAUAUUAGCAUCUCCUCCUCUUCAUUCUCAGGCACUUUGUUGGAGCAAGGAGGUCUUUCUUUCGAAUUUGUCUGUUAGAACGAGAGUUUUAUAUCUGUAGAGGGUCUAUCCGAUGCCUUCUUCAAACUAGUUAAGACGAGCUUAGGACUUCAUUACUCUGUUUCUCGUGAGGUUUGCUUCAAUCUCUCUUAUAUGAUCCUGAUAGAAUAUUAUUUUGACUUGCCCCGGUUUUGGAUUUUUUGCAGUAUCUGAGAUGAAGAUGAGUCAGUCCGAGCCUCUGGAAAAUUUUACGUUGCCCCUAGGGAGUCUGAACGUUGUUUCGGAGGUCCUCCUAGUGGGGCGAUCGAUGGGUGGGACCAUUCUGCAGGUCAUUGAAACCAUCUCGCCCAGGUCGUCCGGCCGACCUCCUCCCCUGGUUAUUGUUCGAGCUCCAAAGAGGUUCCGGGCUGCUGAGAGGUCCGCUCUGGCUUUGUCUUCUUUCGAGAAAGAAAAAGAAACUUCUACGAUGCCCCUGUUGUCCGCUCCUGAUUCAAAUAGAGGUGGUGAAAAUGAUCAGCUUAUUGCCGACUUCGGUGUGGAGUGCUUGCGUUAUGAGAGACUGAGAUCUGCUGUACUCAGUCAAGCUUCCGUCGAUGCCUUUGAAUAUAUGCUCUGCGAUCUUCCUGGAGCCGUAACUCGAAGGCUUAUGUUUUUCAUGCGUGAUAUGCGAUCAACGUAUAAUAUCUUCGCUUGUUCGUAUGCACCGUGAAUCACACUUGGGCAACAGAAUGCUCGCCUAUAACGGAACGGUGAGAAAUGCUUAUGGGAAUCAACUUGUUCAGUUCUCCUAUAAUAACAAAGUAGAGCUCGGCCGACCUGCAAAGCUCGUUUUCCUAACUACGAGAAUUCCUCUGAAUUGAAAACUAAGAUAGUGGGAUAGGUGACAGUGAUGUAAACGUAGAUGAUGAUGUAUCUGGGCAUGUAAAUCCUUUAAGGAUAGCCUUUUAUUCCGUAAUGUAGGUAUUCGUAACGUGCUGUAAUGAAAUUUUUGUUUUUCGUUCAUACUCGAGCUGUUCUUUCCCCAUCAUGAAUGAAGUAUUUAGAUUGCUUGCUUCGUAGUUUUUCCUGAGGGAUCCACUAUUGUUUUUUCCUUCUUGCCUCCUAGUUGAUCAGAACUAGAGUCCAUUUAGCCGACUGAGCUUUCGAUUUACUUUUUCCGAACUGGACUAACCGUACCCGUGAGCUCUGUUUUUAAUCAAUGAGUUGAGCUCUGAGUCCACUUAGCCAACUGAGCUUUUGGUUUACUUUUUCCGAACUGGACUAACCAUACCCAUGAGCUCUGUUUUUAAUCAAUGAGUUGAGCUCUCGACCCACAGCUUUGUAUGAUUCCGAGGCGUCCUUAUCGCUUCAUUACUACAACUUCAGGCUCGUAGCCUUUGUUUAGUGAUGAUAAAUCAAAUCCUGUACCUUCCUAGGUGAUGGGCAGGUCUGAUCUUUAUCAUGCUUCCCUCUGUUCGCGUCCUUGGAUCUUUCCCUGAUUUACCCCUUUUACCUCCUUAGUAUUUAUCGUAUGAGUGAUGAUGAGGUAAACCUUGCAUGUUGAGCCGUCCUGGGUGAGAGAUCGAAGUAGACCUCGGUCUUAAGGUUUGGACGAGUUGGGCUUGUUUUAUGUAGAUAGCGUAUGGGCUUUCGGGUGAUGGGCUAUCGUCGUGGACCUGACCCUUGAUAGAGGUGAAGAAGCCCAGCGGUCAUCCCUUUGCCCCUUUACCUUCUCGCCAGUUAUUGUCUAACUGUUGAGGGGGUAAACUUCGAGAGUAAUAAUAACCGCGCCGCUCCAAAACAAAACUGCUCAGAACAACGCUUCAUCUCAUUAUUGCCUUUCACUUCGAAUUCUCUGUGUCUUCCGAAGAAACUUGUUCUCGUCUGCUCUCUGUUUUCCUUCAACUUCUUCUGCUUUUUCCACCUUAUCGCGUUUCAGGUACGCUUCCUUAUUCCUCCAUGGAGGGUUCUAAGCUCUCCGAUGUUGCUAAUCUUGGUCGCACGUUACCUCUUCUACCAUAACUAAGUACAUUUCUAGGAGGUAUUUAGACACUCCUCUUUACCUUAUUCGGGCUCCUUUCCGAAAUGAAAGAAUAGUUCUUCUAAAUCCUCCCCCUCCUGGUUUGAUGGAUCCCCAAAGGGGUCGUUGCAUAGUCUUCUUCCUCAAACAAAGAGACUUCGGUCAGACUUUCCCUUUUACCCCUUUCUUUAUCGAGGUUUUUCGAUACUUUAGGGUAACCCCCGGAUAUUGUCUCCAAAUUCCAUUUUGUUCAUGUGUUAUUUUGAAUCUAUCUGCCUGAGUUGGGGUUUUACGCCCACGGCAUGUUUAUUCGUUACUUUCUUCCGCCUCGUCAAGGCGGUUUAGAAUUUUUACUAUUUUUCCCCCCGUGGUGGGUUGUCUCUUUUCACGGGCUACAAGGAUUCCAUAAAGGGAUGGGUAGAGAGUUUCCUUGUGGCAGAGCUGAGAAAAGAGACCGCCUUAUCGUGGGGAGUGGAGCUAGGUUGGGAGGAUGUCGCUCCGGGCUGCAACGACCUACCCCAACUAAGCCUUACUGAGCAGGUGGGGUUUCUUCGACUGACUUCUGUUGACAAGAAGUAUGACGUCGAGAAGUGUAUGUUCGUGUCUAAUCUUAGGGAUAUCCGGGACACGGGUAUAGUGUCUUGUUCAGCAAUUCUGUUUUUUCCUUGCAAAUGAUAUCGGAAAGUACGCUAACUCUUUAUAGUUUUGUGUUUUUGCAGCUUCUGACGUUAAAAUGGAUGAGAUCAAGCCCCCGAAGAACUUAGUUCUGACCCGGGACAGUAUGCAUGCCUCCUUUGAUGCUCUUCGGGCUGGGCGUCAGGUGUCUGAGGUCGCUGCAGAGGUGGCUCAGAUUGCCUCUUCUAAGAAGGUUAGCCGUCCUCCUGCUAGAUCUUCCUCUCGAGCUCCUAAGCCGAGCUCUCGCGGUACCAAAUCACUUCGGCCAUCUAGCCGUGGCAGGUCGAUCUCGACUCCUAAACCUGCUGAAGAGUCUAAGUCUGCUCAAGCUUCUACGGAAGAUGUGAGGGAAACUCCUCAAGUCAUUGUGGAGCAGACAGAGGUUAUUGAGCAAGCGAAGUUGGGUCUUGCUCAUCCUUCUGAGGAGGGGCCAGGGGGAAGUUUAAGUCCCCCAUUACCGACGAGGAGGUUCCUGGGAAGGGAAUGGAGGUCGUUCUUGGGGAGGACAAUGUCCCGACGGCUCCUAUCAAAGAUGCCCCUGCCCUUGUGGAGACUGGAUCUGGGUCUGGAGGUACCAUAGUGAAAACCGGGGACAAGCGUCCAGCCCCUCCCGAAACGUCUGCCCCAGCCCCUACUCGGAAGAAGUCCAAGGUUUCCAAAGUCUCCUCUCCAGCCCUUCCUCCCAUUGGGAAGGAGAAAGAUGUUCCUGUUGUGCCUCUGUUGUCUGCUCCUGACAAUAAUAUUUUGAACAAGGAGGACAUCACCCAUCAAUCUCCGGCCAGUGUAGUCGCCGAGAUCCUUAGAGAACGGAUGUUUGGUGGAAUUAGGGAGGCCUCGGAUCAACAUCUGCUUGCCCUCACUGGUCUUUUAGCCAGUUCUACUAAGGAGCAAGUGUCAUUCCAGUAUCGAUCUCGUGAGGAGCUCGGGAAUACAAUUAGGGAGAUGCUUCUGAUGGUAAAUCGUCUUUCUCUUUUGGUUUUCUUUAUUUCUUUCUUUUGAUGGUUGUUCUUUUGUAUUAGGUGAUGGGCCUUUUCAUAGAGGUAGACGCUCGCGACCAUUCUCUCCGGGAGUCUGUGAAUCACCGGAUUGAAAAGGCGCGCCUGGAGGAGAACUUAUCUGCUACCGGCGACGCUAGAGGCAAUCUCACAGCUGCUCGAGAGCAUACCCAGUCUCUCCAGGUGGAGUUGCACUCUGCAUUGGAGGCCCUUAAAAGAGCUGAGGGGAGGGCGGCUGAGGCAGUGGAGCACACCAAGUCCCUGGAAGUAGAGUUGUCUCAUACUCGCAGGGUUCUCAAGGAGUCUGAUGAGAGGGCGGCUGCAGCGGAGGUCCGAAGUGAAGAAGUUUUGAAGCAGUUGUCCUCUAUGGUAGAGGCCCUUCGUGAAAGGAAUGAGGCUAUAAGCCAGAAGGAGGAGGUUCAGCGCCAGUAUGAGGCCCUGAAGGCUGAUUUAGAAGGGCUUCAGGUUCACCUGGAUAAGGCGAAUACUCAAAAGGAGAGGGCCCUGGCUCGGGUCGAGGUUCUUGAGCAGGAGUUGAGCAAGAAUUCUGAACGUAUUAGAGAUAUGUCUUCAUUGGUGGAGGAGUCCUAACUUCACAGUCAACAGCUUAACCAUGAAGUCAGGACUUUAGAACGUAAAUGUUCAGCCCUGCUCAAGGUAGUCAAACAUGCUGAAGGCAAGGUCCAGUUGGAGCGUGAGAAAUGUCUAGUGGAGUACCAGGAGUCGGAGGAGCUAAAAAGAAAAAUUGAGCAGGCCUGUGAGGCUCACCUCCAAGACUACAAAGAUUCCCCUGAGUUGAAGGCAGUCAUAGCUGAGGCCUGCGAGUCACAUCUUGACGAGUAUAAGGCCUCUACGGAGAUGAAGACUGCUAUUUGGCAGAAAGCCUUUCGCAUGUACAUGACUGGCUACAACCGGGGUAUAAGAGAGGCUAGACAUGCUCCUGAUACUCCUCUGGCAGAAUUUCGAAUUGCUGAAGUGGAUUCUGAUGGCGAGCAGGUGCUAUAUGGAGAAGAUGAUUUCCCUUUGCCUAGAGGAACCUCUCGCAUUGCAGCUGGGUCAGCUGUGUCUUCUGGGGAAGAAUCCGAGCCGGACGGGGAAGACAUGGAGGCCCUCGGAUCUGAAGGAGACGACUCUGAGCCUGAGGGGGAAGACCCCGGCCCAGGGCUGGAGAUUAUGCCUUUUGUUGGCAUUGAGAAAUCUAAGCUGGAGGAUGUCAAAUCUCCUUCAGAUGCAAAUGUAAAUAAAGAUAGUGUAGGCGAGGAUAUUCUUAGAAAUGUGAGUCCCUUGAGGACUGUUUUUCCUCCGACCUCGUCUGAUAAAUAGAUUGUAAUAGCCUUUUCUCUUAAUGAAAUUUUAAUUUCUUUUACUUGAACUACUUUUUGUUUUUCAUACAUCCUGGAAUUUAUCUCUUCUUAUCAUAAUUGGAACACUUAAACUGCAUAUCUCGUAAUUUUUCCUGAGGGGUCCUCUGUGAUGUCUUUUUCUUUUUGCCUUUAUGCCCCUCAGAACUGCGAUUCCGUCAUUUGGCUGAGCUCCUGACUUGUAGAUUUAUCUAUUUUACUAGGAUAUUUUUAUUCACAAGCUUUUUCCGAGCUAAACUAGUCUUUAGUUAUGAGUUUGGUUCUUAGCUAAUUGUUUGAGCUUAUGAGAAGUCAGAUCACAUACCUUUUAAUGGUGACUAGCAGGGCUGCCUUUUUGCUUUUAGUUCUGACUUGUCAGGGAAUAGAGUUGAAGUCUCUUCUGUUCAUAUCAUUGGGUUUCUCCCCGAGUUGCCCCUUUACCUCCUCAACAUUUCAUUACAUGAAUGGUGAGGGGUAACUCCCUAAACUUUGUAUGUGCUUGUAUGGGCUUAUUUUAGAUAAUUUUACCUUUCUUCUUGGUUAUGAGCUCGGAUGUCUAUUCAUGGCGAACUGACUCAGGUUGUGGGCAUAGUCCUUUGCUUUCAUUUAUCCUCCUAUGUGUUCCCGAGUGUUUCAUGUUGCGAGUUUAUCCGAGCUGAAAGCUCGGUCCUUUACUCUUCGCUUAGGCUUUUAUACCUAUAACCUGUGAUGCUUCUUAUACCCCUGAGUGUUUUCCGGGCUCUUUGCUGUUUUAGACCUCUCUCUAAGCUAGUUGAGCUAGUUUAGUGUCAGCGGUCACUUCUCGAGGUCUGUGCCUCUUGGCUAUUGUGGCCCGAGCUUCUUCGGGAGGUCGGAAUCUGGUUUUUCAUUGGUAGCUUUGGACUUAUCUUUCUCGUGAGAUCGGAGCUGUAUUUUUAUGAGUCGUCCCUGCAUAUGAUACUGGGAAUCUUUGCUCCGGGAGGCCCUUAAGACCUUCACCGACCGUUUUUGUUUUGUUUUUCCGGGAGAUCCCGGUCUUGUUUGUUUUUCCGGGAGUUCUUAGGGGAUCUCGGUCUUAUUUGUUUUCCCGGGAGUUCUUAGGGGAUCCCGGUCUUGUUUGUUUUCCCGGGAGUUCUUAGGGGAUCCCGGUCUUGUUUGUUUACCCAGGAGUUCUUAGGGAUCCCNNNNNNNNNNNNNNNNNNNNNNNNNNNNNNNNNNNNNNNNNNNNNNNNNNNNNNNNNNNNNNNNNNNNNNNNNNNNNNNNNNNNNNNNNNNNNNNNNNNNNNNCUUGUUUGUUUACCCGGCAGUUUUUAGGGAUCCCGGUCUUGUUUGUUUAUCCGGGAGUUCUUAGGGGAUCCCGGUCUUGUUUGUUUACCCAGGAGUUCUUAGGGAUCCCGGUCUUGCUUGUUUAUCCGGGAGUUCUUAGGGAUCCCGGUCUUGUUUGUUUACCCGGGAGUUCUUAGGGAUCCCGGUCUUGUUCCUCCAAGAGGUCUUUCUGAGCCCUGUUCUUUCUUUCUUAUGGAGGAUUAUUAUUCAUAAAAGAUAAUCUCAUUAUGUAAACAAUUUUAUUCAUUCAUGUUUGUCAGAAUACAAUGUUUUUCUUUACAAAUAUAUCAGGGGAAAUACCUCUUUAGGUGCUGAAUAUUCCAAGCGUGGAGCUCAGGGUUUCCUUGCAUAUCUUCGAUUUGGUAUACCCCUGGCUUGACCACUUUUGCUACCCUGAAUGGGCCCUCCCAGGUCGGUGCUAACUUACCCGCUGCCGCUCUUUUUCCUGUAGCUUCUAGGUUUCUCAAGGCCAGGUCUCCCACUUUCAAGCUUCUUUCUCUAACCUUUUGGUUGUAAUAUCGUGCUGCCCGUUGUUGGUAAGCGGCAGUUCGGACUUGAGCUUCUUCCCUAAUUUCUUCGAGAGCGUCCAGAUUGCUUUUUAUUUUGUCAUCAUUAGUGUUCUCACUAACAAAUUGGACCCGAUGAGUGGGGAUCUGCAAUUCGAUUGGGACUACAGCCUCUGUGCCGUAAGCAAGUGCAAAGGGUGUUUCUUUAGUGGGCCUUCUGGGGGUGGUUCGGAGUGCCCACAGGAUACUGUUGAGUUCUUCCGCCCAAUUCCCCUUUGCCCCAUCCAGCCGUUUCUUUAAUCCUUGGAGGAUAGCUCUGUUGGUAACCUCUGUUUGACCGUUAGUUUGAGGAUGGGUCACGGAGGAGAAUUUGUGCCAGAUGCCCAUGUUCGUCGUAAAUGCUCUGAAGGUGCUGCAAUCAAAUUGUCUACCAGUAUCUGAGAUAAGCACUCUUGGUAUGCCAAAUCUGCAGAUGAUAUGUCCCCACACAAAAUCUAUCAUCUUGCGAGCUGUGAUCGUGGCUAUUGCUUCCGCCUCUAGCCAUUUUGAGAAGUAUUCUACAGCCAUCACUACGAAUUUUCUCUGCCCCGUGGUCUUGGGGAAGGGUCCCAGGAUGUCUAUUCCCCAUUGCGAGAAUGACCAUGGACUGGAUAUGCUGGCUUGAGGAGUGGCUGAGACUUUGAUGGCGUUAGCAAAUCUUUGGCAUACGUCGCAUCUUUGGACAAACUCUUCUGCUUCUCUUUUAACAGUGGGCCAAUAGUACCCUUGCCUGAAUAUUUUAUUGGCUAAUGUCCCUGCUCCCUCGUGGGCUCCACACAUGCCUCUAUGUAUCUCUUCCAUCACCUUCGCAGCCUCUUUCGGGCUCACACAUCGGAGCCACGGACUGGAUUUUCCUUUUCUAUAUAAGGUUCCCCUUAUUGCUUGGUAGUUGGCGGCACGAGCUGCUAUCUUUCUGGCUUCAUCUUUAUCCUCGGGAAGCUUGCCCUUUUCCAGGUAUUCUAGGUAUGGGGUCAUCCAAGUUGGGUUUUGUUCUACUUGCAGUACCGUGUUUGUCUUAUUAAAAGCAGGUAUAUGGACAUGCUGUAUGUACACUUCAUCGGGGAGUUGUUCUAAUUCUUCUUUGGACAAUCGACUAAGCAGGUCUGCUUCCUCAUUUUCCUCUCGAGGUAUUCUUUGAAAUCUGAUGGUAACUCCUCGACUUGUGAGCUCGGCUUCUAAAGUUUUUACUUUAGCCAGAUAAUUCUGCAUGAUGGGGUCUCUAGCCUGAUAUACCCCUGUUACCUAGUUGAUCACCAGCUGAGAGUCGCUAUUUACCUCGAGAUCGGUUACCCCUACCUUCAGAGCCACCAACAUCCCAUUUAUCAGGGCUUCAUAUUCUGCCACAUUAUUAGAGGCCUUAAAUUCUAGGCGUAAGGCGUAGCAUACCUUAAAAUCCUCUGGUCCCUUAAGCAUUAUUCCAGCACCACUGUCCCCGGUGCCUUGCUCCGUCUACAUACAACUUCCAGUUAAAUUCUUGGGAAGGCUCUCCCUUACCUCCCUUUCCUGAUAUCUCUGAGGAUGAUCCUCCCCGCUCCUCAUUGAAUGUGCACUCUGCUAUGAAGUCAGCCAGAGCUUGAGAUUUUAUAGCUGUCCGAGGUCGAUACUCUAGAUAGUAAGGGCUGAUUUCUACGGACCAAGCCAACAUCCGACCUGAAGUUUCCGGCCUGCGUAGAAUCUUCUUCAAGGGUUGGUCUGUCAUCACAACUCCUUGGUGGCCUUCCAGAUAAACUUUGAAUUUUCGGACUGCUAGUAAUAGAGCGUAAGCCAUUUUUUCAAUAUUUGAAUAUCUGACCUCAGUAUCUCUGAGUACCUUGCUAACAUAGAAAAUAGGUUUUUGCUCCCCUUCUUCUACCCUUACUAAUAUUGCGCUGACUGCUUGUUCCGAGGCUGCCAGGUAUAUCAGAAGCUCUUUUCCUUUCAUGGGACUACUGAGCACGUGAGGCGAGCUGAGAUAUCUUUUAAGCUCUAUGAAAGCUUUUUGGCAGUCUUCUGUCCAUUCGAAGUUUGGUACCUUCCUUAACUUUUUGAAGAAUGGUAAGCACUUUUCUGCCGACCUUGACAUGAAUCGAUUAAGCGCCACUACUCUCCCGAUUAGUCUCUGGACGUCCCUUACACAGGUCGACUCUGGCAUAUUCAAUAUGGCUUCUAUCUUCUCCGGGUUGGGCUCGAUGCCUUUUUCGCUCACCAUGUACCCCAAGAAUUUUCCUCCCCUAAUGAAGAAGGCACAUUUUGCUGGGUUCAACUUCAUUCUGUACUGAUCUAAUACUCUGAAUACCUCCCCCAAAUCUGCUAUGUGCUGUUGGAAAGUUGGGCUCUUGACCACCAUAUCAUCUACGUAAACUUCUACAUUUCUGCCGAUUUGAUUUUUGAAGAUUUUAUUCAUCAAUCUUUGGUAAGUUUCCCCGGCAUUCCUCAAUUCGAACGGCAUAGCUCUAUAGCAGUAAGUCCCAUCUUCAGUUAUAAAUGAGGUCUUUUCCUCAUCCGUGAUAAGCGGUUGUCGAAGCCGUCAAAAAUAAACAUAUUCUCAAUCAACAAAAUAAUUUGCAGAUAGUGGCAAUAGGGUCGAAUCACAGGGAAUUGACACUACGGAUUUUCCUAAUAAUGACUUGGUCAAGUAAAUAACAAAUAAUUAAAAGAGGGGGUUUUGAGUUGAUGAUAAUGGAUUAAAACUAAAUAGCUAUAUAAGAAUUUCAAUAAGAGAAAAGCUUCUAGUUGAAAUAUGGAUCUUUUUCAGAUUGUUUAGAAUUGAUCAUUGAUUCUUUAAUACUCCUAUUUAUCUCAAUAAAUUAGUUUAGCAUGUGGAAGACGCUUCUCACAAUCCAAAUUCCUCCUUAGUUCUAGUUUGAUUAGGAAAGUUCACUAAUCAAACACUAGUUAACAAGUUGCCAAGGAACGUCCUUGGGGCCUUUGGCAUCGAACAACUGUUGACUGCAUUAAGACUUAGAGAAACCCAAUUCUAUCCUUGCCAACCGCGUGGUCAAAUUUAGAUUAUGCAAUUUGAUUAAAUGUGUAUUUGAACAACCUAAGCAAUUACGGACCUAAAUCAUUCAAAUAAUAUUACUUAAGCAAUUUAAAAGCAAUGGGCCCUUAUUGAUUCUAAAAGCAAAGUAAUAAUUAUAGAAAGCUCAAAUUGCAUAAAUAUUGAAAAUAAAUAGAAGUUUAACAAUGGAGAUUUAAAUCUCCCAAUUCAUCACAAAAUCUGAAAUUCACCAACUUCAACUAGAAAAGAAUGAAUUUAGCCACUCAUGGUGGACUAAAUACACAAAAAGAUGAAAAGAAAAGAAAGAGGAAAGAGGCUGCAGAGUUUCUGGCGAGGGGAGAAGAUGCUGAGUAGCUGAUCAGAAGAUGAUGCUCCUUGCUGGUUUGGAGGUUGCUCUUUUAUAGCUGAAGAAUUCCAUCCUUCUAGGGUUUUGAAAUCCCUUUUUAAUUUGGCUUGUGAUUCCUCUUUUGAUAUUGAAUUUAAUUGCAACUGGAAUUCCUUAGGUGAGAAACUCUUUCGUGGCUCUUGGAAUUGUGUUGGUAGUGAUUGAGUUGGAUUUGGACUUCUGAAAAAUCGAAAUUUGGUUCCCUGCUGUUUUCCCGCUUCUGCUGUCAAUUUUGCUGUCAAUGUGAUCGGGGCAGUGAUUUGGGCAAAUCACUUGGUCCAUCUGCCCUGAUCACUUUCUGCAAUUCUGUCCAGUUUCAGUUUCUGCCCCUGCGAGUGAUUUGACCAGUUUCUGCGAGUGAUUUGGGCAAAUCACUUGCCCAUAUCACUUCUGCCUGUUGCCUCCAGGUUUCUGCUUCAGCUUGAUCUGGACAGUGAUUUGGGCAAAUCACUGACCCAAUCACUUUUCUGUCAAUUUUCUGCACUUUUUCUCCAUUUUUCCAAUUUCUUCAUUUUCUGUAAAAACAAGAUAAAAAUCAUAAAUUAAGCUAAAAAAAUGUGUAAAUAAGCAAUAAAAAAGAUAAUAAAAAUGUGGCUAAUUUAUGCUUGAUCAAUCCGACCUAUCCAUUGGGAUUUGAUGAUAACCAGACAUAGCAUCCAAAGAAGACAUAUAAUCGAAACCGGCCGUAGAGUCGACCAUUUUAUUAAUAUCAGGGAGGGGAUAACAAUCUUUAGGGCAGGCCUUAUUCAGGUCAGUAAAAUCUAUGCACAUCCUAUAUUUGCCAUUGGCUUUUUUGACUAAUACAGGAUUUGCUAACCACUGCGGGUACAUAACUUCCCUAAUAAAGCCUGCCUCCUCUAGUUUCUGCACUUCCUCCCUGGUGGCCUACUGCUUCUCUCUUCCUACUACCCUCUUCUUCUGCUUUACUGGCUUGGCCUCGGGGAGGACAUUCAAUUUGUGUGUCAUUACCUCAGGAUCGAUUCCAGGCAUGUCGGAGGGCCUCCAGGCGAAACUCGACGCGUGACCUCGGAUCAGGGCCAUGACUUCAGCUUUUUAUUCUUCGGUGAGACCGGCGUUGAGACUGAAGACCUUAUCUGCCUCUGCUUCUGAUAAAGGGAAGAUCUCCAGUUCCCCCACCGGUUCUGUCCUGACCUCUGUUUUCUCAUCCUGGACCUCUAGAACUUCCGAGUCAAGCGUUUCUCCGGUUGAACUCGGUUCUGCUACUGUGGCUAAGUAUACUGCUCUUGCUUCUUCCUGGCUACCCCGGACUAUUCCCACUCCUUCCUCUGUUGGGAACUUAAGCGCCAAAUACCUGAUACUGGUGACGGCCUCGAAGUUGAACAGCGUCGACCUCCCCAGGAUCGCAUUGUAGCUCAACGGAAGUUUGACCACCAAAAACACCUCAUGGUGGGUGCGAGUUCUGGGUGCUUCGCCUAAGGUAAGAGCCAGCUUCACCUUUCCUUCUACGAGCACCGGUACUCCUCCGAUCCCCUUGAUUGGUGCCUGGUCUCGGACCAGCUGUUCUUCUGGAAUUCCCAUCUGCUGGAAGACCCGAUAUGGCAGUAAGUUGACCUUACUCCCGUCAUCCACUAGGACCUUUUUCACCCGAUAAUUAUGAAUAACGGUUUCAAUGACGAGCGCAUCGUCAUGGGGCAUCUGAAUAUCCUGAGCAUCUUCCGAAGAGAAAGUGAUGGUCAUGGGAGAGUGUUCAACGAUUUGCAUGACUUCGAUACUGCUGCUCUCUCCUUCCCGAUUUCUCUUCUUCCCUCUGCGGCUCAUCCGACCCCUUGUUCCCCCAACUAUCAUGUUGAUGGUCCCACUGGACCCAUCGUUCACUGGUCCAGUUCCUGUUCUCCUCGGCGUCUGGGUCGCCAGACUGGGUUGAGGCCUCUGUCCCUCUGGUUUCUUUAUGAAAUUCUUGAGGUGCCCUCUUUUUAUCAGCCUCUCGAUCUUCGUGAUUAACUGGAAGUAGUUAUUGGUAUCGUGGCCGUGUGUUCGAUGGUACUGACAAUAUUUGUCAGGAUCCCGUUGGUUUGCUUCCGAUUUCACAGGUUUGGGCCACUAGAGGAAUUCCUUAUCUUGGACAGCCAUGAGCACUUCGGCUCUGGAGGCGUUGAGUGGGGUCAGCUUCUCAGGAACCCAAGGGGGAAGUGAUCUUUGCUCAGGAACCCGAGGAGGAGGAGGUCUUUGAUCCCUUCGCUCCCAAGAUUGCUUGUACGGCUCAGGCCUCUUGCCAUGUUUCUUUUCGUGUCUCUCUGGCCUCCUUUCUUCUGAGGCUUUUUCUUUUCCUGCCAUCCCCUUGGCAAAUCGGCUUGUCACCAAGGCGUCAUCCUGCCUUAUAUACUUCUCAGCCCUCUUCAUCAGCUCGGCCAGUGAGGUCGGAGGCUUCCUGCUUAAAGAGCCGAAGAACUCGGCAGAGGUUGUCCCCUUUUGCAUGGCCUCCACCGCCCUUCCUUCAUCGAGCUCGGAAAUCUGCAGGGCCUCCGUAUUGAAACGAGCGACAUAUUCCCUGAAUGAUUCAUCCCCUCUCUGUCUUACUGUUUCCAGGUAGCUCGUCUUCCUAUCUGCUGGCACCCCGGCUAUGAACCGGCUGAUGAAGCGAGUGGCUAGAUCUCCGAAACUUCUAAUGCUUCCGGUCUCAAGGCUGUUGAACCACGCCCGUGCUGGUCCCGAGAGCGUCGUUGGGAAUACCUUGCACACUAAGGCAUCCGACAGAGUUUGCAGCUCCAUGAAGGUCUUGUAGUUCAUGACGUGCUCCCUCGGGUUACUAGCUCCGUCAUAAGCCGCCAUCGACGACAUCAUAAACUUCUUAGGAAUAGUCUCCUGCUGCACCUACUUCGAGAAAGGGGAAGAAGUGGGCAGGAAGGUUUGGCUCUUAUCCUUCUUGCCCAGCUCGGCCAAGAGCUGCUCUCUCAACUUCUGCAGCUUUUGGUCCACAUUCUCGUCUUCCAGCCUGGGUUUUUUCUCCAGGUGGUAUUCCUCCUCCUCUGCUUCAUUCCUCGUCCACCUGGUUGUCUCGGGGGAAUAGUUAUCAGCUUCCUCAUUUUCUAUCAUCUCUCUCGACCUCUUUCCAUGGAUUCGAGCCUCCGGUUCUUCCUCUUCCCCGGCUCUUCUCCCCUUUUCCCCGGUAUCGCGGCUGCUGGUUUGAAGGCGGUCAGGGGCAGGUCGGGGCUCAUUGGUUUGAGGUUCUUCUACCACUGGGAGUGUAUUUAUCGGGGUGCUGAGGCCCCUUUGUUGCAUUAUCUGCCCCAACCAGUGGGCGGUAUUCUGUAGCUGGAGAGCCAUGGUUUGAAGGUCCUGGUUAGAUAAGGUAGCGGUGGGAGUAUUCCCUGCCAAGCUUGGCGAGGGAUUGAGAGGAAUAGGCGUUUGGUUGUUUAGUAUUGUAGGACUAGAAAAGGAGAACUGCUGCCCCUCUUGGGCAGAGCUCAGGUCAUUUGGGAUGUUAAGGUUGCUUUCAUGGUGAUUAGCCAUCGUGGAUCUCAGUGGGUUUUUUCAAGAGUGGAACUCCGGUGAUGAAAAAAUCUCCUUCGUUCCCCACAGACGGCGCCAAUUGAUGAUCUGAGAUCCAGUAAAAGAGGGUUUUACAAGGGUUUCUUGUAUGGAAUCACAAGCUUAUUCUUUUUUUUUAGGGAGGGGUCUCCCCUUUUAUCCUUUUCUUCCUGCUUGCUAGUGAUGUGUAACGUCCUUCCUGUCAUUGGACCACGCGUCUCUGCUAUGAAGAUAUGGACAUACGAGGAUAUCAGGCAUCUGCCUCAUGCGUAAUGACUUCUGAUUCUCUCCGUACGUACACACAAGCGGAUCUACGGGCUGGUCGACGGGUCUCGUUCUUAAUUCUGGGCUGGGCCGAGAGAGGAACUAAACGCUGAGCCCAGGAGAUGGAGAUCUGCAUGUGAGGUCAUGCGGGCCGGGCUAAUCUGGGUGAGGAGUCCUGGUGGAGUCCGGCCUCAAGGGUUGGAUGAGACGGGCCUGCUUCGUUUAGAUGGCACGUGGGCCUUCCUUUCGUGGGCUAUGGUCGUGGUCUAGGCCCAUAAUCGGGGUAGAGAAAUCCAGCAGUCAUCAAGUGGUUUACUGGAGUUUUUGGAAACAAAGGAGCAUUUUAUAUUUUUUGGAAGGCAAACUCAAAGCUACUAUGAAUUCUACUAGAGGUUCUUACGCUCCACUUCUUAUUAGAUUGAUAGGAAAAUGAGAGAUAGCUGGAUUUCAGGAAGUAGUUUGCUCGGAAAUUACGAAAACAACCGGUUACAAGAUUUUGCAAUCGCUUUUAUCAAAAUGUCAGUUUUAGAGCUACUCAUACAAAACCAAAUAUAAAAGGAAGUUUCUUGUUAGUAAUUAGAUAUAUUUCUCUAUGUUACAAAAUCUCAGCAUCAUACAAUACAUCAUUAAGGAAUAUACUACUUUAAUGGUUCAAGCAAGAUAGUUGGCGACAUGAGAACUAAACCAAAUUUCUGAUAUUUUAAUGUUUAGAACCAUAUUUGGAAUUGAAUUUCAGUAUAGUUCUCCAUUUUAGUACAACCUCAAUUUGAUUUCAGUUUUUUUUUUUUACUUUAAUUUUAAUUUCAUUUCAGUUUAAAUUUUAAUUGUUCACUCUUUCAUCAUCCACUAUGAAAAUUUAUUAAAAUGCAAAUAAAAUUUAUAAACAGGUACAAAUUCAUUUAUAAAUUUUAUAACUUCACAAAAUCCACAUUGAGUUUUUAAUGGUUUAAUAAAUAGAUCGAAUGGUCCAUGCCGUUAAUAUGUUAAUUGAAUAUUUAGCGGUAUAAAUUACCUGAAAGUUAAUAUAAUGAAAAACCUAAUACCCAAAAUACUUAUGGCACUUGGAGUGAGAAGUAAGAGCAUUUCCCUCUAUUAACUUUGUCCAUGUAAAACACAUCAUUAUCCGUCCAAAGAGAGUGGGACAGGGCAAUGAGAGAAAACAUCCAUUUCUUUGAAAGUUUUAAAUUUGGUUGCACAAAAAUGGAAUGGAGCUUUUGGAACUAGAGGAACACUUGUAUUUUGGAGGGCAAACUCAAAGCAGCAAUACGGUGAUUCAUCAUCUAACUUUGAGGAGAUAUCUCAACGUCAAUUAGACUAUAUAAGAGUCCUACCAGAGGUUUUUAUGUUCUACUUAGAUUGUAAAGAAGGAGAGACAGUUUGGCUUCAAGAAGUGGUUUGUUUAGAGAUCCGUAGGCAACUAGUUAUAGGGUUUUGCUAUUGCUUUUCUCGUACAAAAUUAAAUAUAAAAGAAAGCUUCUUGUUAAUAAUCACGAAUGCUUUCUCUAUGCUAUAAAAUCCCAGUAUCAUAUAAUACAUCAUCAAGGAACAUGCUACUUUAACAAUUCAAGGGGAGUAGAGAGUGAAAUGCUAAAAGAAAAAGCUAUGGUGAAGGAAGUACAUGCCCAUAAAGAUAUACACUUCUCCAUAUUCAGUUUAGUACUCUAGUUAUAAAUGUGACAAAUUGAAAAGAUUUGAUUUUAUUAUUCAAAAUUUAAAAUUUAAAAUAUAAAUAUAGAUUAAUGUAAAUAUUUGGAUUAUUUAUCAUUCUAUGUCUGUUUACAAAUCCAAACAUAUCCAUUUAAUUUUACCAGCAAAUUAUUUAUCCGGUUGCGAAUUAGUUUGUAUCCAUUUAAUUUUACAAAUUAUACACUCAUUUGUGAUAAUUUUAUGUCCAUUUAAUUUUGUAAAUAGAUUCUACGUUUAUUUAUAUCCAUUUAAUUUUAUAAACAGAUUAUAUAGUCAUUUGCAAAUUAGUUUGUAUUUAUUUAAUUUUACAAAUAGAUUAUGUGUCCGUUUGUAAAUCAUUGUAUUCAUUUAAUUUUAUGAACGAAUUACAUGUUUAUUUGUGAAUCAGUUUGUAUCGAUUUAAUUUUACAAAUAGAUUAUAUAUCCUUUUGAAAACAAUUUGUUUCCUUUAAUUUUAUAAACGGAUCAAACAUUCUUUCAUGAAGCAAUUUGUAUCCAUUUAAUUUUACAAAUGGAUUAUACGUCCCUUAGCAAAUAUAUUAAUUUCUAUUUAAUUUAUAAACAAAUUAUAUAUUUGUUUGCAAAUUAAUUUGUAUUUAUUUAAUUUUAAAAUGGAGUAUACAUCUAUUUAUAAAUUUGUCUGUGAUGAUUUAUAAAAUUUUUACAAAUAAAUUAUACAUCUAUUUGUAAAUCAAUUUGUGAUGAGUUGCAAAACUCACCAUUUUUUUCAUAUUAAAUUCUAUAAUUUUGCUAUGAUUCUGAUGUGAAUAAUUUAUUUUUAUUUGAAAUUUGAUUUUGGAUAGGUUUUGAGCUAAAAAUGAGAAAAAGUAUCAAGAGAGGCUGGUUUAGAUUUUUUUUUUUCUGACCGGAAGUUACAGCCUUACUCAAGGUUGUAGUCUAAGUUGACGGACAGAUUCUAGGAUUACUGCUGUAUAAAAUUCAAAACUGUUUCAGAUAUAUGCAAACAUUAGAAUUAAAAAAUAAGAGUUAUCAUAGAAGUAGUAUAUUUAUUUUAUUUUUUCUUUUAAACUAUAAAUAAUUAUCUUUUUAUUUAUAAAAAGUCUAUAUAAAGACUGCCCUAGAAGUAGAAUUUACCAUCUCUUCUCAUCAUCUCAUCUCCUCUCUUUUCGGUCCCUUCUUGGCUGAAUUCUUCCUCCCCUCUUUUUAUUUUUCUGCAAUUUUAUUAUGACAUUUAGAAGCUAAACUCUUUUAUUUAGUUAAAAGUUAAUCAAAUUGAAGUUCAUUUAAAAUUACAAGAUUAUGUUUUUAAUUUUUGUUUAUUUUAUUUUUAUUUUCAAUUAAUUUCUAUUUUUGAGAAACACCACCUCCAUUGUUGUCCUUUUAGAAAUUCAAGAAGUCUAUUGAAUCUCUUAGGAAAACAUAUUAUUAUUUAAUUCAAGUAAAUAUGUAAUUGUUUAAUUGGGUUAAUACAAUUAACAACUAGCAUUUUUUUAUGUUAAGUAAUUAAUUUAUUUGUUAUUAUUGAUUAAAUUUGAGUUAUUCUCCUCUUAAAGCGGUUAAUUAAUUAAAUCUACACGCUUAAUGGAGUUAUUAAUUAACUAGAAAUUAAUUUAAGCGCUAUGCAAAUUAAUUUAAUCAUAAGAAAGAAUCAGUGGAAUUCAUUUGUUUGAACACUAUAGCCAAAAACUUUCUUUUUAAUCAAUAAUUAAUGGCAAAUCUUUUAAUUUUGAUUAUCUUCAUUUUAAUUUGAUUAUUUGUUUCAUCGUUUUAAUUCCGUUAUUUUCUUCUUUUAAGUGUUCUUUUUAAAUUCUAUUCUUUUCUUUUUUUUUUAAACUAUUCUUUUAUCCUACUUGUCAUCUAAUUUAAAUAAAAUUAAGGUCUUUGUGUAGAUCAACAUUCAUUUACCCUAUCUGCAGAUUUUUUUAAAUCAAGUAAAAGGAAAUCAAUUUUAAUUAACGGAUUCAACGCCUGUUUGUAUCUAUUGAAUUUUAUAAAUGGAUUCUAUACUUGUUUAUGAAUCCUUUUGCAUUUAUUUAAUUUUACAAACAGAUUAUAUAUUCGUUUAAAAAUCAAAUUGUGUUUAUUUAAUUUUAUAAAUGUAUUACUCAUUGGUUUGUAAAUACAUUUAUGUCUAAUGCUAAAUAUGUGAAAAAAAAUAUAUCAAUUCUAUAUUUAAUCUUUAUAUUAAUUUAUAUUUUAAUCAUUUUUUUUAAUUUCAAUUUAAUACUUCAUGAGUUGCAAAAUUUAUUAUUUUUUCCAUAUUAAAUUGCAUGAUUUUGAUAUAAGCAAUUGAUUUUUACUUAAAUUUUAAUUUUGGAUAGAUUUUAAGCCGAAAAUGAGAAAAUAAAUCAAAUACCAUGUUAGAGCUUUUUCUGACUAGAAGGUAUAGUUUUAUUCAAAGUUGUGAUCGAAACUCGAUGGACAAAUUGCAUUAUUUCUGUUUUGCCAGCUUUAUAGAGUUCAUAACUAUUUUCAUAUAGAUGCAAAUACAAUCAGAUUAGGAUUAAGAUAAGAGUUAUCAUAGGUGACACGGAGCAACUAGCCUUAGAUUUUACGGCAGACUUGGACCGAGUCUAACUUUUACUGCCGACGUCCGAUGGAAAUCCACAAUAAUUUUUCAGAAAGAGAAUUUCAAGAUGCGCAAUUUUCAAAAGUGUGAUAAAGGCCGUAGGCCUGUCACAAAAUUCGAUAUGAAAAUUCCACUGUUUAGAGGGUCAAUUUUGCAUUUUAUUAUUUUUUUGGAUAUUUUUAUAAUUUUGCAUAUUAGAGUUUGUUUCUUAUUAUAAAUAGCCUUCCUUUGCUAUUUGGAACUCACUUUUCAAUCUUUAAAGAAUUUCAAUAAGAUUUUGCGGCUUUUAUCCUAUCUUUCUCUUAUAUCGUCUUAGCAAAGCGAUAUUGGUUAAAACUCCUGACGGAGUUUAAAUAGUCUUUUAUCAGAUAGGUAUCAGAGUAAAAGUUCGACUAUGGCAGAGAACUAAGAGGCGCGAUUUACUGCAAUUGAGGCAUCUUUGGCAGAAUUGAGGGAGAUGAUCGGAAAGUUGGCCUUGCAGUAGGGAAUCCACCAACUCGCCGCCGCCGCCCACCCCCAGCCAGUCGCUAAUCCUGUGGCUGCCAAUCAUAUGCCUACAAAUCCCUAAUAGAAUUAUCAGGAAGGUUACAAGAUCAAGAUAGACUUUCAAAACUUUUGUGGUUCGUUGGAUGUAGAAUAUGUUCUUGAUUGGUUGGCGGAGGUUGAACGUUUCUUCGAAAUUAUGAACGUGAAAGAGGAUUGCAAGGUUCCGUUUGUGGCCUAUAAGUUAAAGGGGGUGCAGCAUCCUGAUGGAAUUCAAUUCAAAACGAACGCUAUCGGAGGAGGCUUGAUCCCAUACAAAAUUGAAUGUUGAUGAAGUAGAUGAUUGAACAACGGUUCUCGCCUAGCGAUCACGCUCAAAUUUUAUAUUAUCGGAAUCAUGACUGUAAUACCCGGUUAGACCCCGGUAUCGGAGUUCUUAAGUUCCGGCGGAUUUUCCGUUGGAAUUAGGGAUUCGAGGAUGCCGGAGCUUGCCCUAAGGGUAUAAGAGAGGUUUUUAAAGUGUUUUUUAUCAUGUUUGCAUGUUUUAAGUUAAGAAAAUUGAGUUUUUGCAUGAAAAGACCAAGGGGACGGAAGCCAGGUUCGGCCGCCGAAGGUGAAGUUCGGCCGCCGAAGGUUGCAUGGUUUCGCAUGCACGUUAGGCCGCCGAAGGUGAGCUGGUUGGCCACUACAAAAGCCCUUUGACCGAAAACUUUGGGGUAGAACACCCUGUUUUUGAGCCAAAGGUAAGUCCAUGUCCUCCUUAGAAGAUUUUCUCAUGUUUUCCUCAAAUCUUGCAUGUUUUAACAUGAUUUGAACUUUGGUUUAGAGUAUUGAGCAAAAGGAAGCAAGUCGAGCAACUUGGAGACUUUGAUUAGUUUUCCCCCACAUCUCCCAGCUUGGACCAUCAAUCCUCUAGUUCUUCAAGAGGUAAGCAUGGAUCCGCACCUCCCCUUAUGUUUAAAGUAAGUUUUGAGAAGUUUUAGAGAGUUUUUGGCAUGGUUUGGGGUGUAACCAUGAGUUUGAGCAUAUGUUGACCAUAUGAGUUAUGAAGAGUUUUGAUGUUGCUUUUGGGGUAUGAGUUAGUUUUUAGGCCCCUUUAUGCAUGAGAUAUGUUAUAUGUUAGUUGAGAAGUGUUGCUAUGCAUGUUAUGGGGGUUUUUUAGGUUUUGGGAGGCUAAAACCCUGAGUUGGGUUGGGAUUCUGCCUUUCUGGAGAAUCCAGGUUCGGCCGCCGAAGCAAGGUUCGGCCGCCGAACCCCUUGAGGAGGCAGUUUCGGCUGCCAAACCUUGCCCCCGAAAGCCAGGUUUUCGGAUUAGAAAAGGACUUUCGGCCGCCGAAAGAGGGAGUUCGGCCGCCGAAAGUGUGUGAGUUUCGUCUCUGGACGUGACUUUCGGCCGCCGAAGGUGCCGCCGAACAUGCAUGAGUUUCGUCUCUGGAGGGAGGUUUCGGCCGCCGAACUAGCCGCCGAAAGUACCCUAUCCAGCCUUCUUUUGCAUGUUAUAUGUGUAUGUUGUAAGAUCUUUUAGGGGGGUUUUGGGGAGAUAUUAAGAGUGAUGUUUAAGUAAGUUUGGUCCUCAUUUGAGUCCACCUGUGUAGGUGCGGACCCGAGGAACCCAGAAGGCCCACAGCGUUAGAGUUACAGAGACUGCUCAGCAGUUGACAGAGGUGAGUGGAACAGAACUUUGUUUUUAAGAUUACUGAAUGUUUUAGCAUGAUUCAUGCAUCAUUAAUGCCAUGAUAUGUAGGAUGUUUUGCAUUGCACUAGAAUACACGAAGAUAAUGUGUUGCAUUAUUAUUUGUAUAUGUGGAUUGGACCAAGGCGACUCCAAUAGCCCGUAAGUCUGUCAUUAUUGAAAGACCUGUGUGAGCUCCUUUGGGGCCGGGCAUUUUACUUGGAUGAGUCCUGUGAGAGCCCUUUCUAGGGUCGGGCACCAUGAGUAGAUUAGUGAAAGUCCUGUGUGAGCUCCUUAGGGGGCCGGGCACCGACAGAGGGAGUUUUGGGGUCAUGUCCAAUCUGAGAUGUGAAAUGUUUGUGCUGUGACGCAUUUCAUGUUAGCAUAUUUUAAAUGUUUUUAUGGCUUCCACUCACUGGGCUUUAGUAGCUCAUCCCUCUCCCUAACCCCAUUUUUCAGGGCCUCAAGAAAGAGAAAGAGAAAGAGAAAGAGAAAGCAAGGGUAAAAGCAUAUGUAAUAGCAUAGAGUAGUGGACAUGAUUUACAGUACAGCGUUUAUGUAAUGUAUAGACAUGAUAUAACAGUUAAGUAUGUAUUGAGUUAUAGAAUUGUGCUUGGCCCUAGUGUAUGUUUAUCCCUUUGCACAUGAUCAUUUUAUGUUUGAGUUUUAUGUAUGAGAUGAUGUUUUAUGCUGAGUUCUAGCAUGGUUUAAGGACUCCAAGUAAGGGGGUCUUCAUGCUUCCAGUGACUGUAUGGUACCACAGCAGGUAUCACUCUCAGAAGUGCAUACAGUAUAUGUUCAGUUUAAGUUUAGUAAGAGAAAAAAAAAAGUAUAAAAAGUUUACAGUUUAUGCUUAAGUGUGAUCAUAUAUGGGAUAUAUCAGAUACAUAGAGUUCAGUAGGCUUACUACGGGUCCCGGCGGCCUUAAGCCGAUCUGGAUCCUAGUGCCGAUGGCAGUCCAAUUUUGCGGGCUGUUACAAUGACUGUGUAUAAGGAAAUCGAAGGGUGGAUGAAUAUACCAAGGAGUUUUUUAAGUUGCAGGCGAGGUGUGAAAACUGUGAGAAUGAAGUUUAGCAGGUUGGUCAUUAUUAGAGGAGUUUGAAUCAUGAAAUUCGUUGUAUGAUGGGAGUAGCUACGAUUUUCACUUUGGCAUACGCCAUUGAGAUGGCAAAAAGGGUAGAAGAGCGUGUUGAUUGGUAGCUACGACAGCAGUAUUGUAAUACCCGGCUAGACCCCGGUAUCGGAAUUCCUACGUUCCGGCGGAUUUUCCGUUGGAAUCCGGGAUUCGAGGAUGCCGGAGCUUGCCCUAAGGGUAUAAGAGAGGUUUUUAAAGUGUUUUUAAAGUGUUUUUAUCAUGUUUGCAUGUUUUGAGUUAAGAAAAUUGAGUUUUGAAAUGAAAAGACCAAGGGGACAAAAGCCAGGUUCGGCCGCCGAAGGUGAAGUUCGGCCGCCGAAAGUUGCAUGGUUUCGUAUGCAUGUUAGGCCGCCGAAGGAGAGGCGGGUUGGCCACUACAAAAGCCCUUUGACCAAAAAUUUAGGGUAAAACACUCUGUUUUUGGGUCAAAGGUGGGUUCAAGCUCUCCUUGGAAGAUUUUCUCAUGUUUUCCUCAAAUCUUGCAUGUUUUAACAUGAUUUGAACUUUGUUUUAGAGUUUUGAGCAAAAAGAAGCAAGUUGAGCAACUUGGAGACUUUGAUUGAGCUUUACACCCAUCUCCAAGCUUGGACCAUCAAUCCUCUAGUUCUUCAAGAGGUAAGCAUGGAUCCUCACCUCCCCUAUGUUUAAAAGUAAGUUUUGAGAAGUUUUAGAGAGUUUUAUGGCAUGGUUUAGGGUGUAACCAUGAGUUUGAGCAUAUGUUGACCAUAUGAGCUAUGAUGAGUUUUGAUGUUGCUUUUGGGGUUUGAGCUAGUCUUUAGGCCCCUAUAUGCAUGAGAUAUGUUAUAUGUUAGUUGAGAAGUGUUGGUAUGCAUGUUAUGGGUAUUUUAUAGGUUUUUGGAGGCUGGAACCCUGAGUUGGGUUGGGAUUCUACCUUUCUGGAGAAUCCAGGUUCGGCCGCCGAACCCCUUGAGGAGGCAGUUUCGGCUGCCAAACCUUGCCCCCGAAAGCUAGGCUUUCGGUUUAGAAAAGGACUUUCGGCCGCCGAAAGAGGGAGUUCGGCCGCCGAAAGUGUGUGAGUUUCGUCUCUGGACGAGACUUUCGGCCGCCGAAGGUGCCGCCGAACAUGCAUGAGUUUCGUCUCUAGAGGGGGUUUCGGCCGCCGAACCAGCCGCCGAAAGUACCCUGUCCAGCCUUCUUUUGCAUGUUUUAUGUGAUUGUUUUAGGAUCUUUUAGUGGAGUUUUGGGGAGAUGUUAAGAGUUAUGUUUAAGUAAGUUUGGUCCUCAUUUGAGUCCACCUGUGUAGGUGCGGACCCGAGGAACCCAGAAGGCCCACAGAGUUAGAGUUACAGAGACUGUCAGCAGUUGACAGAGGUGAGUGGAACAGAACUUUGUUUUAAAGUUAAUGAAUGUUUUAGCAUGUUACAUGCAUCAUUAAUGCCAUGAUAUAUAGGAUGUUUGGCAUUGCAUUAGUAUACACGAAGUUGAUGCAUCGCAUUAUUACUUGUAUAUGUGGAUUGGACCAAGGCGACUCCAAUAGCCAUAAGUCUGUCAUUAUUGUAAGACCUGUGUGAGCUCCUUUGGGGCCGGGCAUUUUACUUGGAUAAGUCCUGUGAGAGCCCUUUCUAGGGUCGGGCACCAUGAGUAGAUUAGUGAAAGUCCUGUGUGAGCUCCUUAGGGGGCCGGGCACCGACAGAGGGAGUUUUGGGGUCAUGUCCAAUCUGAGAUGUGAAUUGUUUGUGCUGUGACGCAUUACAUGUUAGCAUAUUUUAAAUGUUUUUUUAUGGUUUCCGCUCACUGGGCUUUAGUAGCUCAUCUCACUCCCUAACCCCAUUUUUCAGGGCCUCAGAGAAGAGAAAGAGAAAGAGAAAGCAAGGGUAAAAGUUUAUGUAAUAGCAUAGAGUAGUGGACAUGAUAUACAGUACAGAGUUUAUGUGAUGUAUAGAUAUGAUGUAAUAGUAAGUUAUGUAUUGAGUUAUAGAAUUGUGCUUGGCCCUAGUGUAUGUUUAUCCCUUUACACAUGAUCAUUUUAUGUAUAUGUUAUAGAUAAUGUUGCUUUGAUGAGAGCUAGGCUUGGUGCAUGAUAGUAUAACCCAUCUAAAGCAUAGUGAGAACUUUAGUGAGGGGUUUCUAUCUCUGUAGUUACUGUAUGGUACCAUAGCAGGUAUCACUCUCUGAGUGCAUACAGACAGAGCAUGCAUAGUCCAAGCUUAGUGUAUGAGAAAAGUUUCAAGUUUUACAGAAAAGAAAAGAUUAGAAAAGCAAAGUAAGAAAAAAAUAUGUAGUACAGCUUAAGUAUAUGUUGAUCAUGUAUGGGAGUUAACAGGUACACAGAGUUUACAGUUGGCUUACUACGGGUCCCGGCGGCCUUAAGCCGAUCUGGAUCCUAGUGCCGGUGGCGGUCCAAUUUCCGGGCUGUUACAAGUAUAACCGAAAUUUUAAUUACAGAAAUUCUGGAUUGACAGGGACGCAGCAGUAUAGAGGCAAUUAUAGCGGACAACCUUCUAUGGUUGUAAAUUUUGGCAAUUCUCAGAAUACUAUGGAAGAAACGAGAGACAAUAAGGGAAAAACAGUCACCACUACAGCAGACAAAGAAGACAGAUUUUUUAGUAGAAGUUGAGAAAAUGAACGAAAAAAGACUGAAUUAAAAGAUUUUUGUACAGAGAGAUUGCAAUAUUGGCCAAACUUGUAGUCCAAGGCGAUGGGAAGUUUCAAAAAGCCCCAUCUCAGCAAAUUUUGCCAUCUAACCAAGGAUAAGAUAAGUUUCAAAUUGGAUCAAACACAAUCAGAUUAGAAUGGAGAUAAGAUAGGAGUGGUAGAAUUUAUUUUAAAUUAUUAAAUUCUAUCUUUUUGUACCUAUAUAAAAACUCUUAGAAUUAAACCUAGGCAUCAUAUUUUCUUCUUCUCUCCCCCCUCUCCUCUCCUCUCUUGCCGCCACCCCUCUCUCUUCUUCUCCAUCUUCUUUUCUUUUUCUUUUUUCUUUUUUUUUCUUUAGCUUUUGCAAUUUUAUUAUAGUUUUUAGAGGCUAAAUAAUUAUUUUCAGUUGAUAAUUAAUUUCAAUUGAGGUUUUAUUCAAGUUGUGAGUUUAUGUAUUUCAAUUUUUUUUUAUCUUAUUUCUAUUUUCUAUUAAUUUCUGAAUUGGAGGAACACCACCUCCAUUAUUAUUUUCUUGAGAAUUCAAGGGGCCUAUUGAAUUUCUUGGAAAGAUAAUAUAUUGCUAAUUAAUCUAAUUGGAUCUAUCUAAUUGGAUCCAUAAUUAUUUAAUUGGGUUAAUAACAAAUAACAAUUAACAUAUUAGUUUAUGGUAAAAAAUUAGUAGAUUUGAUUUAAACAAAUCGCGUGUUUUUAUUGAUUAAGUUUGGGUUAUUCUCUUUUAAUGCAGUUGACUAAUUAAAUCUAUACGCGUGUUUGGGUUAUUAGUUAACUAGGAAUUAAUUUAAGCGCGAAACGGAUUAAUUUAUUCAUAAGUAAGAAUUGGUAGGAUUCGUGUGUUUGACCACCAUAACCAAACAAUAGAUAAUAAUAUGAAUUUUUUUUCUAACUAAUGAUCAAUUAUAAAACACAUUUGAUUACCUUCGGCUGAAAGUUUUAAUUAAUUAUUUGUUUCUCAAAUUUUAAUUGCAUUAUUUAUUAUUUUUCUUGGCUUGCCAAGGCAAAACCACUUUCAUCAAAAAAACUAUUUUCUUCUCACUUGUUGUAUUAAACUACUCUUCUAUCUAUAUGGUAUAGAUACUCCUUUACUCUAUCUACAAGUUCUAAUCAAUCAAGAAAAGGGAAGUAAAUUUUAAAUUGACAGAUUGGACACUCGUCAGUGAGCUGGUUAUUAAUAUUAAAAAGUGCAUUUAUACGAGGGAGUGCAGCAAGCCAUUUCAUUAAAAAACUCUCUUCUUCUCACUUUAUUUAUAUGUGGGAGUGCAGCAAGCCAUUUUCAUCAAAAAACUCUUAUCACUUGUUGUAUUAAACUACUUUUUUAUUUCAAAUUGAUUAUCUAAAUUAAACAGAAUUAAGGUUUCUGCGGAAUCAAUACUCACUUACUCUAUCCUCAAAUUCUUAUUAAUUAAGAGAAGGAAAGUACAUUUUAAAUUGAUGGAUUCGACAUUCGUCAGUGAGCUGGUUAUUAAUAUUAAAAAGUGCAUUUAUAUGAUGGAGCGUAUUCUGUUUUUGAAAUUCAUUGUUAGUGUAGAAGAGAUAUAUAUUGAUGAGAAAAAGGUAGAAGCAAUAUAGAAUUGACUCAUCCCAAAACUAUUUCUGAAGUUAAUAAAAAUGGACUUGUUAAGGGGUGUUCUUUGAAGCUGUUAUUCUAAAAGAUGAGAGUACCCAUUAAUUCUCUCAACAUAUGAUUUAUGAAUGGAGGCAUGCUAGAUGUCAGGAGUGUAGGAACUUUGAACAUUAUGAAUCUCAGUAUGAGAAAAAGCACGAGAGAUAAGUCUGGCAACUUAAGAAUAAAAAAAUGGAUGGGAAUAAGGGUGACAAUGUUGAAGAGGUGGUAAUGAUAGCACGGAAUAUAAAUGAAGGAAAAUGGAAGAGGAGAGUGGUGGGAAGUGGGAAAGAAAAAGAGAAAAUAUAGUCUCACGAGAGAAAAUCAUUAAUUAUAUAAUAUUAUAACAGGGAGAUUGAAAGCAUUUUAGUUUUUUUUUUUUUUGCUUUAUNNNNNNNNNNNNNNNNNNNNNNNNNNNNNNNNNNNNNNNNNNNNNNNNNNNNNNNNNNNNNNNNNNNNNNNNNNNNNNNNNNNNNNNNNNNNNNNNNNNNNNNNNNNNNNNNNNNNNNNNNNNNNNNNNNNNNNNNNNNNNNNNNNNNNNNNNNNNNNNNNNNNNNNNNNNNNNNNNNNNNNNNNNNNNNNNNNNNNNNNNNNNNNNNNNNNNNNNNNNNNNNNNNNNNNNNNNNNNNNNNNNNNNNNNNNNNNNNNNNNNNNNNNNNNNNNNNNNNNNNNNNNNNNNNNNNNNNNNNNNNNNNNNNNNNNNNNNNNNNNNNNNNNNNNNNNNNNNNNNNNNNNNNNNNNNNNNNNNNNNNNNNNNNNNNNNNNNNNNNNNNNNNNNNNNNNNNNNNNNNNNNNNNNNNNNNNNNNNNNNNNNNNNNNNNNNNNNNNNNNNNNNNNNNNNNNNNNNNNNNNNNNNNNNNNNNNNNNNNNNNNNNNNNNNNNNNNNNNNNNNNNNNNNNNNNNNNNNNNNNNNNNNNNNNNNNNNNNNNNNNNNNNNNNNNNNNNNNNNNNNNNNNNNNNNNNNNNNNNNNNNNNNNNNNNNNNNNNNNNNNNNNNNNNNNNNNNNNNNNNNNNNNNNNNNNNNNNNNNNNNNNNNNNNNNNNNNNNNNNNNNNNNNNNNNNNNNNNNNNNNNNNNNNNNNNNNNNNNNNNNNNNNNNNNNNNNNNNNNNNNNNNNNNNNNNNNNNNNNNNNNNNNNNNNNNNNNNNNNNNNNNNNNNNNNNNNNNNNNNNNNNNNNNNNNNNNNNNNNNNNNNNNNNNNNNNNNNNNNNNNNNNNNNNNNNNNNNNNNNNNNNNNNNNNNNNNNNNNNNNNNNNNNNNNNNNNNNNNNNNNNNNNNNNNNNNNNNNNNNNNNNNNNNNNNNNNNNNNNNNNNNNNNNNNNNNNNNNNNNNNNNNNNNNNNNNNNNNNNNNNNNNNNNNNNNNNNNNNNNNNNNNNNNNNNNNNNNNNNNNNNNNNNNNNNNNNNNNNNNNNNNNNNNNNNNNNNNNNNNNNNNNNNNNNNNNNNNNNNNNNNNNNNNNNNNNNNNNNNNNNNNNNNNNNNNNNNNNNNNNNNNNNNNNNNNNNNNNNNNNNNNNNNNNNNNNNNNNNNNNNNNNNNNNNNNNNNNNNNNNNNNNNNNNNNNNNNNNNNNNNNNNNNNNNNNNNNNNNNNNNNNNNNNNNNNNNNNNNNNNNNNNNNNNNNNNNNNNNNNNNNNNNNNNNNNNNNNNNNNNNNNNNNNNNNNNNNNNNNNNNNNNNNNNNNNNNNNNNNNNNNNNNNNNNNNNNNNNNNNNNNNNNNNNNNNNNNNNNNNNNNNNNNNNNNNNNNUAUUGUAUACAAAAAUUCAUUUUUAUUUAGAGUCAAAUAAAUUCAAUUUAAAAUUUUAGGUUAAUUAAACUAUGUAAUUUUAUUGAGAGCUAAAUAGAUUCUAACUUAAUAUUAUUUUUUAAUUAUAAAAUAUUAUUUUUAUAAUUUAAAACAUUAAAAAUUUAGUAGUUUAAUUAUCAUAAAAAUUUUAAAAAAUAUAUAAAUAUAAUAAAUAAUUUUUAAAAUUAUAAAAAUAAAGUUUCAUCAUAUAAAAAAUAAUUUUAUUAUUAAAAAAUAAUAUUAUGUUAAAUUUUAACUUAUUUGACUCUUGAGUAAUAGUAUAUAGAUUUAAUUGAUUCAAAAUUUUGAAUUAAAAUUAUUUGACCCUUAAAUAAAGGUAAAGACUUAAUUAAAUUUAUAUUUAAAAAAUUAUUAUUAUAAAAUGAUAAAUUUAAUUUGUUAUUAAAUAAUAUUCUUAUAUGAAAAAUUAAUAAAAAAAAUUACAAAAUAUGCUGCAUAUAAACAACUAGUAAUGCAUUUCCUUUCCCAAUUUCCUUUUGUUAUCCUAACCACUUUACCAGCUGGCAGAGAGCCUUCCCUUUCCGAUUUUCUAUUUCCUUUCCUCAUCCCAAUCUCCGAUACAUCCCUAAAAACAACUGACGAUAGAUCGAUGAUGAUGAUGAUGAAGAUGCCUUGGAGGAGCAAGAGCAGGAGCUUCCAUCUUCAGCUACAAGGGGCAAUUGGUACCAUUCAAUCUCCAUUCCUAUUCUUAUUUUUACCAAUUAUUGCCAUUCUUCUACUUCCACACUUGAAGAUGCACGCUUCUUAACAAAUAACUUCAAAUCUGCUUCUUUUACCCGCCUUGAUGAUGCCAUUGCUUCCUUUAAUCAUGUAAUUCAUAUGCAUCCUCUGCCUUCUAGGGCUCCAUUUAAUAGAUUCUUUUCUGCCCUUGUGAAAAUGAAACAAUAUCAUACUGUCCUUUCCAUGUCUAAAACAAUUGAAUUGCUAGGAAUCUCUCACAAUGUUUAUUCUCUUAACAUCUUAAUUAAUUGCUUCUGCCACUUGCACCUUGUGGAUUUUGGCUUCUCUGUUUUCGGCAAGAUGUUCAAAUUCGGAUUGGAGCCUACCACUGUGACAUUUACUACCUUAAUUAAUGGGCUUUGUAUAGAGAGUGAAAUCGAUAAAGCAGUGCAAUUUUUCGAUGAUAUGGUUGCACGUGGUUAUCAACCUAAUGUUUAUACUUACAAUGUGAUAAUAAACGGAAUGUGUAAAUUUGGGAAAACAAAUGUGGCUAUUGGGCUACUAAAGGGAAUGGCUGAUAGAGGUUGUGAGCCAAAUGUUGUGACAUACAAUGCAAUCACUGACGCACUUUGCAAGGAUGAGCUAGUUGAUGAGGCAUUAGAGCUCUUCUCUCAAAUGAGGAAUAAGGGCAUUUCACCUAAUGUCAUCACUUACACUGGUUUAAUUCACGGUGUUUGCAAAUUAGGCCAAAAGAACCCAGCUUUGGCCUUGAUGAAUGAAAUGGUGGAGCAGAACAUAUCACCUGAUGUUUAUACCUUCACUGUAUUGAUUGAUGCUCUUUGUAAGGAUGGAAUGGUUUCAGAGGCUCAAAAUACAUUCAAUAUAAUGAUUCAAAGAGGUGUAGAGCCUAAUAUGGUCACCUACACUUCCUUAAUUGAUGGUCUUUGCAUUUCAGACCAAUUCAAGGAAGCUUUGGCCUUGUUGAAAGAAAUGGUGGGGAGGAACAUAUCCCCUAAUGUUUUUACCUUCAAUAUAUUGAUCGACACUCUUUGUAAGAAAGGACUGGUUUCAAAUGCACAAAAUAUAAUCAAAAUAAUGAUUCAAAGAGGUGUGGAACCUACUGACUCGCGGUUGUCGAAACCGGUCAAAAAUAAUAUUUCUGGUUAUCAACAAUUUACAACUGCAGAUAGUGGUGAAAGGAUUGAAUCCACAGGGAAUUGAAGACUUACCUAUUAUCCUUAUUAAGACCAAUAAACCAAUAAAAUAAACUGAAACAAAAAUAAACUGCAAAAGAAGAAAAUUGAAAACGAGAUAAACUGAAACGAGAUAAAACUGAAACGAGAUAAAACUGAAAUAAGAUAAAACUGAAACGAGAUAAAACUGAAAACGAGAUAAACUGAAACGAGAUAAAACUGAAAUGAGAUAAAACUGAAAUGAGAUAAAACUGAAAGAGAAAUAAACGGAAAGCAAAAUAAACUAAAACGAGAUAAAACUGAAACCAACUAAACUGUAAGUAAAAUGGGGGGGUUUUGAGAUUGAUUUAAUUAAUCUAAAACUGAAAGCAAUAAAAAUAAGGCAAAUAAUAAAAAUAGAGAGAAAUAAAUAAUAAGAAAGAUCUAGUUGAAGAAUUGGAUCCACUUUAGUUAUUGGGAUUGAUCAUUGACACUUAAUUUUCUUUGGGUUGAUUCAAUAGAUUAGUUAUGGAGAUGGAAGACGCUUCUCACCACCAUUAUCUCUCCUUAUGAUUAAACCAAUUAGGGAACGUCCUCUAAUUAAUUACUAAUUAACAAAUUGCCAAGGAACGUUCUUGGGCCUUAGGCAUCAAAACAAUUGUCAAUUGCAUUAAGAAAUAGAGAGAUCCAAUCCUAGCUACCCAAACGUAUGGAGAUAAUGCUAGAUCAUACAAUUUCCUUGGGUUUUAUCCCAAGUGUUCUUAUGUAAGAAUAAUCUAAGCAAUUACGGACUUAAAUCAUCCAAACUAACAUAUUAUUACUUUGCAAUCAAGAAUCAACGUAGAUCUAAACAACAAAGCAAUAUUAAAAUCAAGCAUGAAAUUGCAUAAAUAUUGAACAACCAAAAGUUAAACAAUGUUUGAUCAAGUCUCCCAAUCCAUAAAACAACCAAAGUAUCACCUAAUCUUCAACUAGAAUAAAAGAUUUCAGCCUCUCAUGGCUGAAACAAAACCACAAAUAAAAGAAAAGAAGAAAGGUAGAAGAAGAGAUGUGAAUUUCGUAGGUGUCUCCCAAGGGGAGCUUAAGGGACAUGUAGAGGCUCCUUAUAUGGCUUUUUAUAGUUGAAAAGUGUUGCCCUAGGUCAUACUUACUGCCCAAGAGGUAUUUUCUGCCCAAGUUGUGUCUGAAAAGGAAAGAAUCGCGUUUUUCGGCUUCAGAAGGAAGGCUGCGCACGAAUGCUUUGCGGAAGGAAGUUGGUGCGCGCGGUUUGGUCUCCGAAAGGGAAGGAGCCGCAGAUUGUGCUUCCUAAAUAAGUUUAGAUGCUGACCUUGCUUCCUAAUUAGUGUAGAGGCUGCCCAAGGUGCUGCCCAUGCUCAACUUGUUGCCCAAGUUAUUGCAGAAAAGGAAGGUGGCGCGCAGAUGGCUCUCAGAAGAGGAAAGCGCGCAGAUUGUUUCUGAAUAGGAAGGAUGCACGAAUUUUGGUCUUCAAAAGGGAAGAUAUGCUGUCCAUACAUUUCUUUUUAGGUGGAGCCUCUUUUGAAAUUCGAAUGUUGAACGCAAAAGAGGAAGAGCAUCUCUUUGAGAUCUUGCUGCCUAAAUAGGAAGAUAUGACUGCAGCAGUGUGUGCACAUUUUUGAACAAGGAAAGAAAGAUCUGCGAUUUGAAUUUCAAAUAAUCUUCUGACUGAGCUUUCCUUGUUCGCUUUUGCUUAUGCACUUUCCUCAUUUAAAAACUUUCCUUUUCUGAAAACUUUCCUUAUUUGGAAACUUUCCUUAUUUUGAAACUUUCCUUAUUUGGCACUUUUUGGCAGUUUUAAGAGCAUUUUCUCCAGAUUGUCUCUUUACACCUAAUAUCUGCAAAACAUAAUUAAAACCACAAAAUUAAGCAGAAAAGAUGUAAAUAAACAUCAAGAACAUAAUGAUAAAAUGGACUAAAAUAUGCUCUAUCACCUACUGUUAUCACUUAUAGUUCAUUGAUGGAUGGAUAUUGUUUGGGCAACCAAAUUGAUAAGGCUAGAAAGGUAUUUGAUCUGAUGGUGACCAAUGAAAUGGUUGACAUUUUUAGCUACAACAUUUUGAUCGAUGGAUAUUGUAAGUGCAAAUGAUCAAGUUGCUGCUAAACCCACCAUCUUCCUUGCAAUUUUUUUUUGGGAUGCUACUACAGCCUUAACUUUAGAGCUCAGUCCUAAGAAUGAGUUGAGAA